rnacentral:lncRNA from 1 species
AGCUGGAAGGUAGUACUAUCUUUGUAGCAAAAAGCAAGACUACCGGAGUUGGUGUCAUCAACCCAACCAUUUUUCUGAGUUUAUAAAUUUGUUAAUUUUUAUCAUCUUUUUAGGGUUUAAUUAGGCAUAUGAGGUCAAACAAUGUAGCAAAAGAGCAAAGGGGCUAAAUUAAAAGAGAUUGAAUAAAAGAUGGCUUUGAUUUCUGGAUUUUUCACAUGUUUAGUUGGGGAGAAAAAACUAAAUAUAAAUUAUAAAAGUGUUAAAAUAUAAAUAUAAAUAUAUCUCAAAUAUUUUUAAAUGUAUUUUAUAACUUUUAAAAUUAGAACUAAAAUGACAGAUUUUGUAAACAUUAAGGGCUAAAUUUGUUAAAUCUUUUAAAUUUAGAAUUAAACUGGUAGAAUCUGUAAACAUUUAAGGCUAAAUUUGUUAUUAAGCCAAUAAAAGAAAAGCUCACAUUAAACUUUUGUUACUAAAUUAAUGGCAAGAAAAACUAAAAUAUUUAAUUUUGUAAAGUUAAUGUGACUAAAUAAAAAAAAAUUUAUACGAUCAAAAUAGAACGAACAAAAUAAUUAGAUGACUAUUCUUAUACCCUACUUACAAUUAUAAGUUGAUUUUUUUUUAUCUCCAUCCCACUAUUUAUAAUAAUGGUCAAAUUUAUUUCGUUAUCAGUCGAUAUAUUUAAUCCUUAAUAAAAAAAUACACAAUAAAAUUUUAACUUAAUAUCAAAAUAUGAUUUAUCGAUCAGUACGAUGGAUGCCGAUAUAGAUUUAAACGCUAUGAUCAGUUUUGGUGGUUUUGAUUUUGGCACUUUGUGACACCAAAAUUACAAAAAUUAGUUAUGUUUAGGUAACGAAAUUUGGAAUUAUCUUAGCAACUUUAUUUAUUAAUUAAAUCUUUUAUAUUUUAACAAUAUGUCUGUGUACUUGUUAUGAAACAUUGUUCCACAGUUUCGUGUCGUGUUCAUCCCAAUUAAUAUAAUAAUUAAUGCAUUUUUCGCAAGGGAAAUAAUCAAAUAAAAAAAUAUUUUUUUUAAAAAUUUGCAUGGUAGACUGACCUUAUUACAAGCAUUUAAUAUUAUGUUUUGUCUGUUUUUCUUAAUUAUUAUUUUAAAUUAUUUAUUUUUUUAAAUAGAAGACCAAGAUAAUGUAAUGACGGUUAAGCCAUGUUUACACUUAAAGCGGUGAAUACUUGAAUCAUGGAAUCUUUUAAUUUAUUUUUAAAUUCAAUUUUUUUUAAUGGAAGACUAAGGAUAAUGUAAUGACGGUUUAGUCCUGUUAUUAUAUUUAUUUAAGAUUCUUUCUUACUACUACAAUUUUAUAUUAUAUUCUGACAGUUGCUGAUCAUUUAAAUUAUUAUAAUUGCACAAAUAUGUGAUUGGGUUGAUUUAAAUCGAAAUAAAAUAUUUAUUGUGAAAUAUUAAUUUUAAAAUCUAAAUUUUUUAAAUAUUAUUAAAUUAAAACCUCACCAAUUUAUUUUUAACUUUUAGAUUAAAUUGAAUAUAUUUAAUCCUUAGAUUUUUUUUUCUGUGUAAUUACAAGGAAAGGAUGAAAAAAAAUUAGGGAUUUAAUUCCUUUUUUAAUAAAAAAAAUUCGAAACAUAUUUACUAUGGAAAUGGAAAAUAAGAGAUGACGAAAUUUAAAAGUAUUAUAAAAAUAUAUUUUUUUUAAAUACUGAUUUUAAUUUGAAUAUUGAAAUAAAAAUGGAUUAAUUAUUACUUAAUAAACAAAUUUCUUUUCAAAAGAAAAUAGUGCAAAAGGUAGGGGCAUUUGUCUCACGUGGCGGCAGCCCAUCGAUAUGAAGUGCCAACCAUUUUACUAGAAACCAGCCGCGUGGUUAUGUGACGCGUAGCAGUGGACUUCCCUUUUCGCCCUUGUGCUCCGCUGACAUGGCGGUCACCUAACCCCACAUGACUGCCUCAUUUCUUGCCAUGCCUACGUGUUGUGACACCCACCUUGUCCCCUCCCACCACUACACUUUACUGGACAAUUAAUUAAAAUAAUCUUAACAUUAAUUUCUUCAAAAACAAACAAACAAACAAACAUCCAAUUUUUCUACAGUCUUAACUGUCAAUCUACUUCCUUUACUACGUUGAAAUUCAAGUUUUAGUCCCUCUUCUUUAUUUUGGUAUAAUACAAUAAAUAAAUCUUUUUUCUUUUAUAAUAUUACAAAUAGGUCCAAUUUAGUAAUACCAUAACUUGUCCUUAAGUUAUCAUCUCAUUAAAUAUUCGGUUACAUGUAAUUUAUUAGGCUAAACUAUUAAAAUAGUCACUUUUGUUUACCUCAGGUUAUAUUUUAGUCACUUAUGUUUGAAAUGUUACGUUUUAGUCACUGAGCCGUUAAUUGCUAAUAACGGUGUAAUGGUAAGCUAACAUGGCACAUUAAAUCAUCAUUUCAAAUGAAAAUUUUAGGUUAAAUUCUACAAUUGGGCCCCAUAUUUUUUUAUUUUGAGCAAUUUAAAUUUUUUAUUUUAUGUUUUUUUAACAUUUUUCCAUUCUCUUCUACUUCUCCCUCUGUUUUACUCUCUUCUUCAUUUAUUUUAGCGUAGUUUUUCUAUGUUUUUCAUUUGUUAAAACUAGUCCACAAACUUGCCUCACUCGAAAAAAUUAAAUUGUUCAAAAAAAAAGUAUACAAACUAGUUUUAACAAAUGAAAAAUAUAGAAAAACUAGGUUAAAAGAAAUAGAGAAAGGAGGAAAACCAAGGGAGAAGUAGAAGAGAAUGGAAAAUAAAGAAAAAAAAAAGGAAAGUUGAAAAAACAUAAAAGAAAAAAAUUGCUCAAAACAAAAAAGUAAGAGGAUCGAUUGUAUAAAUUAACCUAAAAUUUUUGUUUGAAAUGAUGAUUUAACGUGCCACGUCAGCUUGCCGUUGCACCGUUAAUGACAAUUAACGGAUAAAUAACUAAAAUGUUACAAUGAGAUAACAUAAGUGACUAAAAAUGUAACCUAAGCUAAACAAAAGCGGCUAUUUUAAUAGUUUACCAAAUUUAUUAUUUCUUGAAUAUAAAUAAUUGAAUUUUUACGUGAUAUUAUAUGAAUAAAUAAUAGUAAAAAAAUCUACAUUAUCAUUUUAACCAUAAUAAAUUUCUAAAUUACAUCUAAAUAUGUUCUUUUUUAAGUUAAUAAACUUUCAUUUAAAUAAUAACUUAUAAAAUGAAAAUGAUGAAAACUUAUUUAAAUAAAAUAAAAGGUUUAACUCAUAAAUUGGUAUUUAAAUUAUACUCUCUCUUCUUCUUUUUUUAAUACCUAAACUUAUUUUUGGUUAUAAGUGAUAUUUAAAUUACUUUUUUUUUCUUAAGUUGGUAUCUUCAUUAGUCAAACCGUUAAGUCUAUUUUAAAAAGAGACUUAACCACAAAAUAGUACCUAAAAUUUGGGAGGUUUCAUUUUGGUACCUAAACUAUUUUAUUUUUCGAGUUAAUACUUAUGUUAGUUCAAUUGUUAGUUAAACUGUUAAAUAUAUUUAAAAAGAAAAGGUAACCAAAUAAAAAUUGACACAUGACAAAAAAGACAAUCUUUUAUAUAUUUUUUCUUUUUCCUUUUUAUUUUCUUCUUUGGAACUAGACAGAUGGUAGAUAAAAAAAAGUAUUAAAAAAUUCAUAAAAAUUAAAAAUAAAAAAUAGAGAAAAAUUGAUUCAACUGGUUUUUUUAGCUUGAUUUAAUUGAUCUGUAUCUGUUUGUGAGUGUCAGUUUGGUUCAUAAACCAUUGGUUUUGAUCAAUGAAAAUACUUUUUUGACCUCGUCGUGUCGAGCAAGUAGAUGGUAAAGUUUGAAAAUAGAAUUAAUUGCCAUCAUCUCAACCUCAGGGGGAAUAUGUGGUGAUUUAUUAUUGGUUGAAAAUUUUUCAACGAAUAUAACAAUUUGGUGUAAAACGAUGAACAAAUGAAUCGUUUAGGUAUUGCUUGUGACAAAAAAAAGUUUAGGUACCAACUUGAAAAACAAAAUGUACACUUUUGGCAAUAAUUUGUAGGUUAAGCCUUUUUUAAUAUAUAUUUAAUUUUGACUAACGAUUAGACUAAUAAAUGUACCAACUUAGGAAAAAAAGUAGUAUAGGUACCACUUGUGACAAAAAAAAAGUUCAGGUAUCAAGAUAAAAAAAAUAAUUUAGGUGUCAAUUUGUGGAUUAAGCCUAAAAUAAAAAUAUAAAGAUUAUCUGGUUGUUACCUGUAAAUUGUUUUUUUCCCUAAUAUUUAAGUUUAUUGUUUUGAUUUUGUGUUUUUCAGGGUUAAUGUAUUAUUUGAUACUUAACUCAUUUGUUUAGUUUGGUACUUGAGUUUUCUUUUUUCAAUUUGAUAGUCAAAUUUAGCUUUAAUGUUCAAUUUAAUCCAUGAGUUUUUUCAGUUUGAUACUUAAGUUUUUUUUUUCCAAUCAAGUAUCUUAGUUUUUUUUUUUUUUAUCUUAGUUUAACUUUAAUAUUCAUUGGUCCAUAUGGUCCCAUUUGAUUUGAGUACUAAGUUGAACAUUGAAGUAAACUAAAAUACCAAUUUAAGACAAAAAAAUUCAAGUACCAAAUUAUACACUAAAGACAAACAAAUGUACCAAAAUAUAUAUUAAUAUUAUUUGUUUAAACAAUUCUUAAACUACCUACAAACCCUUCAAAUCCUUAAAUCGAAAGUUAAGAUGUGUUUAAGUGUGUCCAGAAAUACAUCCUCCAAAUUAUUGCAAUCAAUGUUUAAAAAAUGACAGUCAACUUAGUUAAAUUAUUGUUUCUCGUGUCAUCAAUUUGAACGUCAGCCUAAUAAUAAUGAAAUAAAUAAUUAAAAACAUAAGAUAAUAUAUAAUCAAUUUACCUAUCAAAUUUUUUUUAUCGAUUUCAAAUAAUUUAACUAAUUUAAAUUUUUAUCCAAAUUAUUAUAUCAUUUAGUAUUUAAUUAAAUUAAUUCCUAUAUAAUUUGUAGAACUCUGACGGAGACCACAGCAACAAUGUAACGGAGGCUAUUUCCUUUUGUUUGUUUCUAUUUUUUUUAAUCGCAACUUAUCCGUAUGAGUGCGUGAGCCAUCAUCCACCUUUUGUCGGGCCCACAUCGACUAGCAAGAUGACGUGGCACUUUCACUUCCAAAGUCUCGGCCUCUUCCCCCUAUUUAAACCGCCAUCGAAGACUCGAACAUCCCCAAGCUCUCAGCACAGUCCACACCAAAAAAACUCCCUUCCUUUUCUUUUUCCUACAAUACGAGCGCUUUAAUUCUUGUUCUCCGAUCGUUCGAUAAAAUCCCCCUUCAAAAAAAGAAUGGCCGUCGAUUCGCCUCUCUCGUCUCCGCUAGGUCCGCCGGCGUGCGAGAAAGAUGCGAAAGCUUUGCAGUUCAUCGAGGAAAUGACUCGAAAUGCCGAGUCCGUUCAACAGAGAGUCCUCGCUGAAAUCUUAUCCCGAAACGCACAGACUGAGUACCUCACACGGUUCCAACUCAACGGUGCAACCGACCGAGAAACUUUCAAGUCCAAGCUCCCGGUCAUUACUUACGAGGACCUUCAGCCUGAAAUCCAUCGUAUUGCUAAUGGCGACCGCUCUGCUAUUUUAUCUGCCCACCCCAUCUCAGAAUUCCUCACCAGGUUCGUAUAUAAUAUAUAAUAUAUGAUUAUGAACUGUACUUAAAGAAAAGGUAUAAUUUCGGGUUUAGUCCUUCUAUUAUGUUAAACUUUGUUAUUUCUUUAAUUACCAUCAUUAAAGCGAUGACCUGGAUUCGUUUACUAUUUAUUUGGUCUCAAUUUCGAGACCAAAUGAAAAUUCGGUCCAUCAUAUUCACUUAAUAGCAAAUUUACAUCUUAACCGAAUGCUUCACAGUUACUAUACUGUUAUCAAUUUGUACAAACGGUCUAAAUUAUGACAAAUUCAAUUAGAAGGUUUAAAUUCUAGAUUUCAACAUAAUAAGAGGACUAAAACUAGAAUUAGACUACAAAUAAUGAGAUCCAUGUAUGUUUCUAUAUUGAUGCUGAUAAAUUUUCCUGGAAAAUCGUGCAGCUCCGGGACAUCAGCUGGUGAGAGGAAACCCAUGCCUACAAUUAAAGAAGAGCUAGAUCGCCGUCAGUUGCUUUACAGUUUGCUCAUGCCAGUGAUGAAUCUGUAAGUAUUUGGGGGAAAAAAAAGGGGUUAAAUUUUGGUUUUGGUCCAUUCGCUGUGCUAAAUUUAAGAUUUAAUAUCCAUUUUUAGUUUCUCAUAAUUUGAUUUUUUUGUCUUUUACAAAAAAAAAACAAAACAAAACAAUUAUUUAGUACAAUAGUUAACACUGUUACUUAUCAUAAAAGCACAGCCAGCAUCAUAUUAUGUGAAAUUGAACUCCAUGAAUUAAAUCACUAAUUUAAGUAGUAGAGGAUUAAAAUGAAAAAAUUGAUAGCACAGAAACAAUGUACUAAUUAGGUUUGUGAUGUUGAAUUAAUGGAACGCGGUUUCUAUGGAACAGUUAUGUGGCAGGCUUGGACAAAGGCAAGGGCCUAUAUUUAUUGUUUGUGAAAUCGGAGAUAAGGACCCCCGGUGGUCUCUUGGCUCGCCCUGUCCUCACCAGCUACUACAAGAGCGACCAUUUCAAGACUCGCCCUUACGAUCCUUACAACGUUUACACCAGCCCCAAUGAGGCCAUCCUCUGUCCCGACUCGUUUCAGAGCAUGUACACCCAGAUGCUCUGUGGCCUCCUUGACCGCCACCAAGUUCUUCGCCUCGGCGCGGUCUUCGCUUCUGGACUCCUCCGUGCAAUCAGGUUCCUUCAACUCAACUGGCGACAACUCGCACAUGAUAUGGAAACGGGUUCCUUGAACUCGAAAAUCACUGACCCUUCAUUGAGGGAAUGCAUUGUUAAGACCCUAAAACCUAACCCCGAGCUUGCCCAGUUCGUCCGCCAUGAGUGUUCGAAGGAUGAUUGGGAGGGGAUCAUUGUAAGAAUUUGGCCUAACACGAAAUAUCUCGACGUCAUUGUAACCGGAGCUAUGGCGCAGUAUAUUCCAACCCUUGAUUAUUAUAGUGGUGGGUUACCUUUGGCUUGCACCAUGUAUGCUUCAUCUGAAUGUUACUUUGGUUUGAACCUUAACCUCAUGUGUAAACCGUCGGAAGUUUCUUAUACCAUCAUGCCCAACAUGGCGUACUUCGAGUUCUUACCCCACGAGCCUAAUCUUGACUCAACUGGUUUCGAUUUCACUCAUGAAUUGCCUCCUAAACUCGUCGACCUCGUGGAUGUGGAAGUCGGGAAAGAAUAUGAGCUCGUGAUCACAACCUAUGCGGGGCUAUGCAGUACCGAGUGGGCGACAUUCUUCGCGUCACCGGUUUCCACAACUCGGCCCCGCAAUUCCAUUUCAUCAGGAGGAAAAAUGUGUUGCUCAGCAUCGACUCAGACAAAACCGACGAGGCUGAGCUGCAAACGGCGGUCGAGAAUGCUUCUCACCUCCUCCGUGAGCACAACGCCAGCGUAGUGGAGUACACGAGUCACGCCGAUACAAAAACAAUCCCUGGUCAUUACGUAGUAUACUGGGAAUUGUUGGUGAAAGACUCGACCAACUCCCCAGACAAUGAUACCCUAGAACAAUGUUGUUUAGCAAUGGAAGAGUCACUGAACUCAGUAUACCGGCAAGGGCGAGUGGCGGAUAACUCGAUCGGACCGCUAGGAAUCCGAGUGGUAAAAAACGGGACGUUUGAAGAGUUAAUGGAUUACGCAAUAUCAAGAGGAGCAUCCAUUAAUCAAUACAAGGUUCCAAGGUGUGUUAGUUUCACCCCAAUCAUGGAGUUGUUGGAUUCUAGGGUGGUAUCUGCACAUUUUAGCCCAGCUUUGCCACAUUGGUCCCCAGAAAGAAGUCAAUGAAAUGGGCAUAUAUAAAUAGAUAGAUUCUCUUUGUUUUUAUUAUUUUUUAAAAUUAAAUUUAGUUAUUAUUAUUAUUAUUAUUAUAUAAUUUUGUAGUAGCUUUUGGUGUAAGGUAAAAGUGUAAGUUGAGUAGGACGAUUCAAAGGCUGUUUCUUUCAUGUAUGGAGCAUAACAGGUAAGGUUUCUUUGCUUUAAUAUCCUGUCUUUGGCUUUUCUUCCUAGAUAGCAUUUUGGAAUUCAAGAUUAUAAAAAAAAGUUUUCCAAAAAAAAAUAUAUUAAAAUUUUAAAAUUGUCAAAUGUCCUUUAAUUUUAUUAAAAAUAAAAAUUAAUUUUUAAAAAUAAACAACAGUUUUCUAAAAAUAGUAAUCCUGUAUAUAUUACAUGCCAUGGAAGUAGCUCUAGGAAGGUAAUUACGAACCGAGAACUCACAUUUUGCUCUUUAAAAAACAUUAUUAGAAGGAAUUACCAUAAACCUAAUAAAUUAAUUUUCAUCAAAUAUUCCGGUUGGCAAUGAAUUUUUGGAGUUUUUACUGCUUCAAAUCUGGUUGACAUUUUAGUGAGUUUCAAUGCAUGUUUCCCCUUGUUUAAAGAGUUAGGGACACAUUAGGUAAGUUGUGUAAAUUUAGGGAACCAAAUUCUAAAAUGGUUUAAAUUGAAUAAUUAAACUUUUAGAGGGUCAAAAAUAUAAUAUUAUUUCAUUCGAUUAAAGUUAGAAAAUGAUUAAAUUAAAUUGUUUAAAAUUUUUUGAUACAAUGCUUAGAACUACCAAUAACCUCUUUUUGAUACAAUACGAUCUUAUGUGAUUUUUUUUUAUUUCAAAUCCACCUAAGUUAAUCUAUCUAUUGAAAAGUGAGAAUUCAUAAUAGAAAUUCUCAAAAACAUCGAAAAUAUAGCAGAAGCAACUUAAAUAUAAAGAAGUGAUGAGAGAACAGAAAAACCAUAAGAAAACAACGCCCACGAAGUGUUUGAGUAAAUGCUCUAAAAAUAUAUUUACUAACUCUGAAUGAAAUACGAUGAGAUUUAUGGGAUGUUUAUAAAUGAGGAGGAAUGUCUCUAUAAUCCAACGAUACAAUUUGCUUUACAGCGAUGGUCGAGAUUAAAGUUAAUUUACGAUUGAGAUUCUUAAAGGAUUUACAUGAUUCCCUAAUAUUAAAAAAAUCAAAUCUUCUAGAAAUAAAACUCCUCUCUGCUCCCAAGAGUGCUUUACGUAGAGUCCUAGAGAAAGCAGUAACUGCUGCGGCUUGGGAUGGAGGAAAGCGAUAGUGAGGAUAGAGAGGGGAGGGAUGAGAUCUCUCUUCUAGCAGAAGAACUCAUCCAAUUAUUAGUCAAGGGGUCGAUGGUGGUACCAAAUUCUAAACCAACGCUGAUAUGUACAGUUUAGACAGAAAAGCUUUAUAACCCAGAAAGUUUUAAGGCACAAAUGAAAAGUAUAUGGAAGACAAGAAAAAAGUUUGAGAUCCAGAUGGUGGGGCAAAAUUUAUUUCUGAUAGUGUUUGAUUUGGAAGAAGAUCUAGAGACGGUUAUGGAGGGGAGACCUUGGCAUUUUCGUAAAAGUAUUAUUUUAUUUGAUAGGUUAAUUCAGGCGGUGGAAAGAGAUCAGAUUAGGCUUAAUUCAUCUCCGUUUUGGAUAAAAAUUGAUUUGUAUUUACCAGAAUUUGAUAAGAAGGAACUCUUGCUUGCAAUUGGUGUUACGUUUGGAGGGUUCUCAGAUCUGAAAUUAAUGAAGUCUGUUGUCGCUCAGAAUCACCUUGGAUGUUCGAAAACCACUUCGCCGAGGUAUUUUUGUCUCUAGUAAUAAUGUUAAUAAAAUGUGGGUUCUUUUCAAGUAUGAUAAUUUACCGAUGUUUUGUUUUGGAUGUGGAAGAAUGGGGUAUGGGAUAAAAGAUUGCACUCAAAUAAUACCUGCAAGGAAAAGUAAAAUCAGUGUUGAUCCACCUUAUACGUUAACUUUAAAAGCAUAAUCAAAAUUAACUGGAAAAGAAAAUAUGAAAUUUAAUGCUAUGAUGAAGAAGGUGGGGUUCAAAGUUCUUACAUAGGAGGCAAAAUAGUGCUGGCAGAAAGCUCUAGAACAAUGGAAAAAGAGAAUAACGAGAUUCGGGGUGCACAGGAGAAUAUGGAAUUGAUGGGAGGGGAUGAGAUGAUAAAGGAGCAGGGAUGCAUAUAUGGGAUAGAUGAGGUCGAGAAGUUGAAUGAUAGUACAGUACAAGAGUGUAAAAACGUAAAUCCUGAAAAGAAGACGAGCUGGAAAAGAAUAAAACUAGUGGCUACGGUGAUACAAACAAAGGCUGAGAAUAGUACGAGAAAGAGUAAGUCCCCAGAAGAAGAUCUUGCAAGAAGUGAUAAUGAAGAUUUUGAUGUGGAUGGAACUAAAAGAUUGAAACAUGAUGAUUUUGAGGGUUGCGAAAAAGCCUUCUCAGAGGUGAUGUUAGAUAGUUCUGGGCAACUUGAUAUUAAAAAUUUCUUGAGAUCUGUGGCUACCAAGAGGCAAGUCAACCGGACGCAAUGAAAAUUAUAAGUUGGAAUAUUCAUAGAUUAGGGAGUCCACGAGCAGGAAGAAGGCUACAUUUUUUCCUAAAGCAGCACAAUCCCCAUAUGGUCUUCUUAAUGGAGACAAAGCUAGAUAAGCAAUACAUGGAAAAAGUCAGGAGGAGAUGUGGUUUUACUAAUGGAAUUGAUAUUGAAUCAGAAGGUUUGUGAUGAGGAUUAUGUUUAGCAUGGAAAGGAGACACUGUAAUAAGUUUACAAAGUUUUUUUAGGAAUCACAUUGAUGUUAUGGUUAAUGAAGGUAAGGAUGAAGAAGAAUAGAGAUUCACGGGGUUCUAUGGUUCGCCCUAUGUUAAUAAUAGGAGCGCUACGUGAAAUCUGCUAAAGAAAUUGGGGCAAGAUAGAAGUCAUCCAUGGUUAGUAAGUGGUGAUUUUAAUGAGAUCAUGUAUUCUUAUGAAAAAUGUAGGGGUGUACCAAGGGAAGAGAGUAGAUUGGAAGCCUUCCAAGAGGUUUUAGAAGAAUGCCAAUUAGAAGAUUUGAGAUAUUCGGGGGUUUGGUUUACUUGGGAAAGGGGAAAUUUACCGUAGAUAAAUAUUAGAGAAAGACUUGAUAGGGGAGUGGCAAAUGAUAAAUGGAGGCAGAUAUUUCCAACAGGUAACAUCAAACAUCUACCACACUCAAUGUCUGAUCAUUACCCACUUCUUCUAAAACAAAAUGUGAAAAUUCUUAUAAGGGCAAUCCAAAAUUUAUAUUUGAGGUGUGGUGGCUCAUGGAGGAAACGAUUGAGAAAGUAAUUAAAGAAUCUUAGGAAUCAGGAACAGGCACAGUAGCUGAAAAACUUGAAAGAUUACAAGCAGACUUAAAGAUAUGGGCGAGAUCAAUCAAAGAAGGGCGAGAGGGACUAAAGAAAAAGCUUACGAAGCAACUUGAUACGUUAAUGACGCAAGAAAAGACUGACGAAACGAUGGCAAAAGUUAUCGACACCAAGAUUCACUUGAAUAUAGAAAUUGAUAAAGAUGAAGCUUAUUGGGAACAAAGGGCAAGAGCAAAUUGGCUUAAAACAGGGGAUAAGAAUUCAGCUUUUUUCCAUAGGUUUGCCACAUAUCGAAGACACAUUAAUGCCAUAUCAAAGUUGGAACUAGAUGGAUGAGGAGAGGCUAAUGAAGUAAGUGAGAUUAAUGAAGCUGUUACUAUGUACUUUCAGAAGCUAUUCACGUCAAAUGGAGUCGAAGAUCCUUCUUAUCUCCUAACGGGCAUUGAAAAUAAUAUUCUGGCAGAUAUUAAUAGAGAUUUAAUGUUAAACUAUAUAGUAGAAGAAGUCUAUGAUGCAUUGAAAGGAAUGGGACCUACUAAAGCACCAAGACAUGAUGGUUUUCCAGCAAUCUUCUUUCAGAAAUAUUGACACAUUGUAGGUAAGGAAAUUGUUAACUUUUGUUUGAGAAUACUAAAUAAUGGUGAGAGUUUUGGUCCUUUCAACCAAACAGAGAUCGUGUUGAUUCCAAAAAUCCCUAAUCCCACAAGUCUAGAUAACUUUAAACCUAUUAGCUUGUGUUCGAUUAUUUAUAAAAUGAUGGCAAAAAUAAUUGUAAAUCGACUACAAGUAGGUAUUGGGAGAUGUAUUGAUGUGGCUCAAAGUACUUUUGUCCCGGGAAGGCUAAUUUCUGACAAUGUGCUUUUAGCUUAUGAGGUUUUGCAUACUUUUCGACAAAAGCGCAGAGGAAAAAAAGGAUAUAUGGCACUAAAGCUUGACAUGAGUAAAUCCUAUGAUAGGGUCGAAUGGGGCUAUAUAAAAGAAGUUAUGUUAAGAAUGGGUUUUGCAAAGGACUGGGUGUAGUUGGUUAUGAAAUGUAUCUCCACAACGUCCUAUGGAGUUAAUACAAAUGGAAGAAGUGGACGAAGCUUUAAAUCGACAAGAGGCUUGGGACUAGAGGUGCUUAUGGGCCGGGCUGGACCCAUAAAAAAUUUCAGCCUGUUACCUACGCCCGGGCCCGGCCCGGCCCGACCCGAAGUAUGGGUCUGAUAUUUUGCCCAGGCCUGGCCCGUGAAAAAAAUAUGAAGCCCGGGCUCGGCCCGGCCCUUUUUUUAACUUAAAAGUUAAAACUAAUUGUUAUUAAAAUUAAUUGUUAUUGAAUUUAUAUCAAAUAUCAAAUUGUAAUUUUUUUGUAUAUAAUGAACAAAAAAAUAAAAUAAGAUUAUAAUAUAUUAAAACAGUAUAUUACAUUAAAAAUUAUUGUUUUAAUCAAAAAAUUAACAAUAUUAAUUAUUUAGUUAAUAACAUUAUAAAAAUAUAAGCACCAUUUUAUGUUAAAAAAUAAAGUAUAGAAACUAAAAUUUAAUCAUUUUGGUAAAAGGAUAUAAAGAUUAAAGUUUAGUUGUAACUUGUAAGCAUAAUGGAAUGAGCAAAGAUCUGAGUUUUGGUAAAAGGAUAUAAACUAGUUAUUUAACUAUGCUAGCCUUGUGAUACAAGAUCAAACUUGUCACAUGUUUAAGUAAUACUAAAAAAACACACAUCAUUUAUGAAAAGAUCUGAGUUUGAUUGUUUCGAAGGAAAGGGUGUGAUAGCAACCUCUAAGUGAUAGCAACCUGACUGGGCCUGCUGUUUUUCUGCCUCAAUAGCUUGUUUCUACAAUAAAACAAAGCAAAAACAAAAAAGAUGAGAUUAAAAUUAUGAAUAACAUGUACAAAAUACAAUGGGAAAUGUUACUACUGCAAGAAGUGAAGUAAUAAUGGAAUGAGCAAAGAGUUGCAACAUCUACGCCACUAGAUUUCAAGAAGUGAAGUAAUAAUGGAAUGAGCAAAGACUCGAUUUUUCAAAGAGCUGGUACUGGGAUUGUCAUACAAGAGAAUUUAAAACAGUGUUGUACAAGCUUGGUCUGUUUUCAUACAAGAAGAAAGAACAUAAGGAUAUAAAUGUAGAUAGGCUCCUUGUAAGAGAAUUUAACACAGUGUUGUACUAAGAGAGUUUAAAACAGUAUUCGAGAGCUCAUCAGGUUCACUAAAUUUAAGGAAUAUAUGAUCUGUAAAUUCACAAGAAAUAUCAAUAUUAUACAAAUAUUAAUUAUAGAUAUUGAUUCCAUUAUGUUACAAAAUGUAUUUUUACUGUGACAGUACAAUCCUUUAUAGUUUGACUUUUCCUCAACAAGACCCAAAAUAAACAAAGUUGGAUGUAAUUUAAAUAUAAAAAUUUGUCUUUGUAAAGUUAAAUGGACAAUUUAGGCUUACUCAACCGCUCCAUAUCAUUUUAAAAAUAUAUACUUAAUAAUUUUUAUUUAAACUUUAAAUAGUUUUUCUUUUAAUUUGAAAUUAAACAAUUUAUCUAAAAUCUGAUUUUUUUUCUUGAAGUACUAACUUCAUUAAAAAUGGAAAUCGAAGUACGAAUGAAGUCAUUUCCACUGCAUAUAAUCAAACUUCCAAUUCUUGUUAUAAGGGCACAUUGUAAAUACCUAUCUAAUGAGACUUCAACAAGAUUUCACUUUUAUUUUAUUCAAUAUAUUCAUUCAAGGCAAUCAAACAUCCUCAAAAACAUCAAAUUAUAAAUCCAUAUCAAAUCUUCAGAUACAAAAAAGAGAUAUGAUUGAAUCAAGCUAUGAAGGAGACCACCAAUCAACCAAUGGUCAAACAACAAAGAGAUAAUAACUGGAUUUCAUAUGGAACAUAAGAACGCAAGCCCAAUUAGCUACCUUCAGUUUUAAAAUGAAUAUGCCACUGAAAGUGAAAACCAAUCCAAAGAAAAUUAAUACAACAUAAUCUUAUCAUUGUUAGCCCUCAUUCUAAACAAACAUGAACCUAGAAAAAAAAAUAGGUAGGAGAUUCAGAACAACAAAUAUCCCAUAUAUAGCACAAAAAACAAACAGAAUCAUCUCAGAAACACGAAAGAACAUUCAAGACCAACCAUUUAUAAAAACACCCAAGAAUAAAAACCACUCAAAUCGCAUGAAAUGAAGAAAGGCCCACUAAUUUAAUCUAUGUUGGAUGAAAGCACAAAGAUUGCAAACACAGGUACAUUAACCCCAGAAAGAAAAAAUGGAAGUAUGAACAAUCUUACCUCUCAAUAGCCAGAUUAUUACAAGCAAGGACUUUAAUAGUCAUGGAGGACCGGACACUGGAGGUGGAAUGGUGGAUCGAUGGAGAUGGUUUUUCGAUUUGGGGAAAAAAAUAGAGGGGAUGGGUUAGGGAUUUAUCAGAUACACGGGAAAUGGGAAACGGGAAAUGUAAUAAUAAAUUUUAAAAAUAAAAAAAAUAUUAAUUAUAUCCGGGCCGGGCCCAAAAAAUUUUACCCAAGGCCCUGUUCAUUUUCUAAACAAGCCUAUAUUUUUACCUAAACCCUCUCAAAUUUCAGGCAGACCAUUGGACCGGGCCGAGCCACCCAACCCAUGAGCACUUCUACCUGGGACAAGGAGAUCCUCUAAGUUCUUUUUUAUUUUUAAUGUGUAGCAAGGGAUUAUCAUCUUUGAUGAGAUUAGCAUUGAAGGAAGGAUUGUUAAGAGGUGCAAAGGUGAGUAGAAGAGGCCUAGAAAUUUCACAUUUACUUUUUACAGAUGACAGUAUUCUGUUUGGGGAAGCAUCAGAUAGGGGGCAAGGUGCUAAAAGGAAUUCUUAAGACGUAUGAAAAAUGUUCUGGCCAAUGUGUAAAUUUCAAUAAAUCUACAAGCUUUUUCUGCACGAACACUAUAGAAGGAAAAAAUAAAGAAGUCUCGGCAAUCUUGGGGGUAAGGACCUCAACAAAUAUGGAAAGAUAUUUAUGUCUCCCGAAUGUGGUUGGUAGACGGAAAAAAGAAUCCUUUCAGCUUUUCAAAGAGAAGAUUUAUACUAGAAUUGAAGGAUGGAGUACCAGAAUGUUAUCUGAAGGAGGUAAGGAAGUAUUAUUAAAUUCGGUACUUCAGUCUAUUCCAACCUAUGCUAUGUCUUUUUUCUUACUACCAAAGUCGCUUUGUAGAGAUAUAGAAAGUAUAUUUGCUAAAUUUUGGUGGCAAAAAGCGCACGGGAAAAGAGGAAUUCAUUGGUGUCAAUGGAAAUAUUUGUGUUGGUCAAAAGAAGAAGGUGGUUUGGGUUUUAGAAACAUGGCUCAGUUUAAUGUCUCAUUACUAGCCAAAUAGGGGUGGAGAAUUUUAAACAAUCCAAAUUCUUUAAUAGCUCAAGUUUUAAAGGCAAAAUAUUACCCAAAUGUUAAUUUCUUAAAUUCACGAUUGGGGAUCAAUGCUUCGUAUAGAUGGAAAAGCAUUUGGGCUACAAAGGACACUUUAGAGGAAGGUUUGUGUUGGAAGGUGGGCAGGGGUACGCAUAUUUCAGUUAGUAAUGAUUUUUGGAUCCCAGAUAUGAAAAAGAACAGGUUAUCAGCUUUAAUUACGAAUUUGAAUGAUUUUAAAGUUGCUAAAUUAAUUGAUCAAAGUAAUAGAACAUGGAAGAAAGAAUUGAUAGCUUCUACCUUUCCAGAGGAUGUUGUCGAGAAGAUUAUUUGCAUUUCGUUGGCAGAAGAACCUUUUGAAAAUUUUCGGGUCUGGAGUGCUGAGGCGCCGGGCAAACUCACAGUACGCAGCGCCUAUAAACUAUUACAAAGCAUUGAAGAUGAUCCUAGAGCUUACGCUUUACAAGCCGACUAUAAGGAAUUCUACAAAAAAUUAUGGCUUCUGAACCUUCCUUCAAAAAUAAAAAUUACAAUCUGGAAGAUAUCAUAGAAUUUUCUAUCUACAUGAGUUAAUAUGCUACUAAGAAAGUUAACAAACACAACAGUAUGCCCCCGUUGUGGAGUAGGAACAGAGAAUAUGGACCAUCUUUUCUGUGAAUGUCCUGCUUCAAUUUCAGUUUGGAGAGAGUUAUCAUGCCAAGCAUUUUUGCAAGAAAAUCAGUUAGAGUUUGUACAGUGGCUAACCUGGGUAUUUGCGAAGAACUCGGUAUCACAGUGUAGGAUAUUUUGUUGUGCAUUAUGGGCAAUUUGGGGAGAUAAGAAUGAUAGAGUGCACAAAAAAGUGAGUAAAUCUGGAAAAGUAAUAGGGAGAUUUGUUAAUAGUUAUAUAUCAGAGUUGAAUAAGAUUGAUAAAAGCAAACCACAAACUUCUAUAACUAUUAACAAGUAGAGGAAGCCACCUGAUCAGGUUGUGAAAAUUAAUUUUGAUGCAGCAUGCGACGAAAAUUUUAAUCAAGCGGCUGUGGGGAUUGUGGCCAGAGAGAGUGAGGGCAUGGUUCUUUUAUCAUGCUCGAAGAUCUAUCAACCGAUUGCAUCAGCCUUUGCGACUGAGGUACUCAUGUGCCGGAAAGCGAUCCAAAUCGGCAUAGACAUGCAUUGGGAAAAAGUCAUUAUUGAAGGAGACUCUUUAUCAAUAAUAAAAAAACUAGUAGUUUACUUAGUUGGAGGUGUCCCCGAAUAUGCAGAAGAACAAGAGGAAAGGGAUAGAGUGAGAGAGCCAGAUUGAACAGGAAAGGGAGAAGAUGAAAUGGGGGGAGUCUGAAUGAGGGUUGGUAAUGGAAUGGACGAAAUUAAAGUCCCCUCGGGAGUGUGAAUGCGUCUUGAUGAAGAAAUGGCAGAUGAAGUGACAAGACGGUGAAGAGUCAUCUUGCUGAUUGGCCAAAAAUAACAGCAACAUUAAUGGGAAUCCAGAGCGUUCUGACUCUAUUUUUGUUCUGUUGAUUUUCUAGGCUGAAUUAGGAUUUGGUUUGUUGUUCUUAGUUUUUAUCGUUUCUUUGUUUAUUUUGAUGCUGGGCCAAAUCUCAUAUCCGGGCCUUUCUUUUUCUCUAGGUAAUUAUUUAUGUACUUUUGAAUUUAUUAAUAAAGCCCAAUCUGUAGUUUAAUUUCAAAAAAAAAAAAUCAAAUCUUCUAAGAUUAAUUUUCAUAUUUACCAUGACAACCCUAAUUUUCUUUAACCGUUUCAUUGGGUCACCAAUACUUCAAAUAGGUGAACUUCUCCACAAGCAAAUAGUAUUAUUUUCAAAAUGUUAAGUGUGACAAGAUUCACAUGCAUGACAAACCCGCCAUUUGAUAUGGUAGGAUUACUUUUUGAGAAAAGAAAAUCUAUCAUAUUUUUUAAAUAAUUUUAAAACUACAACAUCUUUCUAAAUAUUUUUUAAAUUAUAAUAUUUUUAUAAAAUUAAAUUUUAAAAAUAACAAAAUUUGGCCAAAUUGUCAUGUGUCAACUUCUUGUGAAAUUGCCUGACGAUCUCACAGGAAGUUGUUAUGUGGCAAUUCAACCCUUUUUUUUUUAAGUAUAAAGUGUGACACAUGUCAUAUGCAAAGCGAACCUGUCAUUUGUCAUUAUAUUUAGGGAUAAAUCUCAAAACUAAAAAUGAACUUUGCUCUAAUAUGUAAUUUUAUACAUAAACUUUGAUUUUGUACAAUUUUAUACAUGAAAAUUUGAUUUUAUCCAAUUCUCACAAAUUAUUAACAUAAUUAAUGAUAUAACAUCAUUUUAUGUUUAUAUAUUACAUAAAUGUAUAAUUAUAUUUAUCCAAUAUAAAAAUAAAUUGAUGUACUUAUUUACUUAAAUGUGUAUGGUUUCACCAAAAUUAAAGUUUCAUGUGCAUAAUUGCACUAAAUUAAAGUUCAUGUAUCAAAUUGUACAUUUAAUAAAAGUUCAUGUAUAAUUUUGAGAUUUGUCCCUUAUAUUUAUCAUAAAUAUGAUUGUACUUGUCCACAUAAAGUUUCAAAUUGAUCUGAUAUCUUUAUCAUAUUGAUAGAUAAUUGUUGGGCAUUUUUAAAUUACUCAAAACUCAACGUGCAUGUAUUAUAAAAAAAAAACCCAUCAAGAUGCAUGAACUAUGUGAAUAAAACAUGAAAUAUGAUCGUUGGAUUAUUAAAAUAUUAGUUGGACAAAUUUUAUCCAAAUGCGAAAAUUAUUUGGGUUUUACAUUAGUGUAAUAGAUCACUUAUUGUUGAUACAUGGAGCAAGUUAUGGUGGUUUGUGAUAGUUUUCUCAAUGGGUGAAAAGUCAUAAGAAGGUUGAGAUGAUUAGAAUUUGGAUGCCUGGGGAAAGAUAGAAGAGGUGAGGAGAGAGAGUUGAGAGUGUAAGAGGAAAAAGUGCCUCAACCUUAUUCCCGGUUCCAAUAAGCCUUUCAGGGGUUGCUUCGAAUAGUUUCUAAGGUGCCACAUGCCAACCAUAUAUUUGUUUCGAACUUAUUGGAAUUUAGCUAACCUACUACUACAUUGCCAUCCUAGGUACGACUAUCAUGUCUAGGGAACAAAUAUAUAUGAUAUUUGAGCGGUAGGCAUCCUAUCCAUGUUAGGUGUGUGGUCCUAUUGAUUAGAUCUUGUGAGGUCUUGUGCUCGCAAGAUUUUGAGCUUACUGGUGUCUUAGCUUGCAAAGUGUUCUCCUCAGUCAAAAGCGUUGACUUGCAAGAUUUGCUCGUGUGGUGUAGGUAAUAACACUUUUAUAAGGUUAGCAUUUGAUACAUUUCUAGUGAAAUGUUUUAACUUCACAUUAAGGCUUCAAAUAUUUCCAAAUGUCCUUAUUUAGUACUUUAUUUUUAAAAAAAAAUUACCGAAAUGGGCCCAUUAUUUAAUUAUUUACCGGAAUGGUCUAUUUUCCGGCAAAUCACGUCCACGUCAGCGCGAUGUCAGGGGACGCGCCAGGAAAUCGCGUCCACAUCAGCGCGAGUUACUGACGUGGCAACAAAUCGCGCCCUCUAGGACGCGAUUUGCUGCCACGUCAGCAACUCGCGCUGACAUGGAUGCGAUUUCCUGUGCCACGUAGUGCGUUCCGGGGGACGCCAUUUUGCCGUUUUUCCUACGUUAUGUUUUUUCGGCUUUUAAGGCUUAGGGUUCAAGCUUUUUAGGGUUUUUAGGUAUUGGAAGAAAUAAUUUUGAGUUGACGUUUCUGAUCAAAUAGUAUAAAAUCGUUUCUAGCAAGAUGCUAUUUGAGAAGAAUUUGUGAAAUCGCGCCCUCGUGGACGUGCUUUUGCUACAGUCGGUCAUGGAAGAAAUACUUUUUUUUGACGUUUCUGAGCAAAUAGUAUAAAAUCGCUUCUAGCAGGAUGCUAUUUGAGAAGAAUUUGUGAAAAUCGUGCUCUUGUGGACGCGCUUUUGCUACAGUAGCAUGUUUAGGCUGAGGCUAUAAAUUAGGCAUAAAAUGUUCUCAGAAUGCAUAAGUCACAGUAGAAACAAUUUAGAGAGGCUAAGAAGGUUAGAGUUUCAAAUAUGAGUGAACGUAUUAGUGUUGUUAUUUACUACGAUGGUGAGGUUUGCCACACCGAGAAUGGUGUUGUUUUUUUGUCAGAGAAUACAGUGCGACUGGUUUUUAACCAGAACAUAGAUUUGACAGAACUUCGUAAAAGAAAUAGGCGUAAAAUUUUCAGAACGACGCCAAUGAAAGUUCUGUCUAUCACAUAUCGAUUUUGUUCUUCUGUUGAUCCGGUGACAUAUGACUCGUUCGACAUAAAAGAUGCUCGUAGCUUGGAGGCAAUGGUGCAGACUCAUCUUGCUAGUGGAGCACCUUAUAUUAAGUUAUAUGUACAAUUUACAUCGCUAACUGAUGUACUUGCGACCGGUGUUCGAGAUGUAUACACGACCCCUGGUCGACACUCGGUUAGUGGGUUACAAAAUACGGAACAGUCCAUGUUCGAUAGCGGUGUCAAAUGCACAUCCCCCGUAAGACACUCUGUCGGUGGAUGGGACAUGUACGUCAGUGGCUCGACGUUUGAUGCUGGAAAUACGUUCUGGGGAACGGCAUCAAGUUUUAGUGGGUGGCAAUUUACAUCCAAUUGGGGACGUUAUCAAAUGCCCAGAAGAAGGGAUGACGUACUCCCUACGAUGUCAACUGGUGAGGGGACCUCGUACGCUGCAGAUGAUUGUGAGUUAGAAGAUGACUCCGAUGUGGAUCCACCUCGAGAUCCCGGGCCGGAUGGUGCAGAAGUUGGCUUAUUUUCUGAACUGAAGCCUAUUCUAAUAGAACCUGAUUUUUGCUCUCCUCGAUCGCGUCGCCCCGCACAUCUCCCGAUAUAACGUUGCCAAGACGGCAGACCCCCAACUCAAUUCACCAGCUGCUCUAAAAUCAACGAGUUUCAGUAGCCAUUUUAGAUGUACGCGGCUCCGUGACGUGUCGGGCAUCAGAUAACCUCCAAUUAAUUGAAGAAUAUAUGCUUAAGCAUAUUGGAUUAUUUCAAUUUCGGUUAAAUCUUCAUCCAGAUCAGGAAAUGUAUCACGUAACUAGCCCAUUUCGAUCUUACCUCCCUCAAUUUUCUCCGGAAUAGCGCCCAAAAGCUCGUAGAACACCGCCCCCCAAUCGCUAGAUUGGGCAGACCCGGUGACUGGGCUCCCGUCCACCGGUAAUCCCAAUUGCAGACUGACAUCUUCUAGAGUGAUAGUGCACUCUCCACAUGGAAGAUGGAAUGUGUGCGUCUCGGGUCUCCACCUCUCGAUCAACGCACUGAUUAGUUUCGGGUCCACCGUGCAUCUCCGGCCUACCGUCGCCAUGUGCCAAAAACCCGCUUCCCGCAGGCAGUUCUCUACCAACGGUGAUGGAGGAGCAUGCAUAUUCCGGAUAUUGCAUUCCAAUAACCGAUCUACAGACUUUUAUAACAAAUAAAAAAUUAAUAAUUAUCUAAAAAUGCAUAAAUAAAAAAUUCUUAAAUAAUAUUUAAAAAUUAAAUUUAAUACUUACCAUUUUCAUUUGUUCCACCGAUAUGUGAUGCUUAUCAAGACGAGUCAAUUCUCCGGCCAUUGCUGAAAUUGUACAAAUUUUUACGGUUUAAAAAAAAAUAAAAAAAUAUUUUUAAAAUUAUUUAAAAAAUGGAGUUAAGAGAAACUUAAGAGGAACUUAAGAGGAACUUAAGAGAAUUUUUGAAGGAAAUUGAGAGGAAAUUUGAGAGAGGAUUAGUUUGUGAAAAAAGGGGUGGGAGAUAUUUAUAGUUUUUUUUUUACCGUUGGGGGGGACAACGGUCAAAUUUUUGACUAUUGGAGCACUGUUCACGCAAGGGUCAAGUCUCGGCCACGUCAGCGCGAGUUGCUGAAGUGGCAGCAAAUCGCAUCCUAGAGGGCGCGAUUUGUUGCCAUGUUAGCAACUCGCGCUGACGUGGAUGCGAUUUCCUGACGCGUCCCCUGACAUCGCGCUGACGUGGAUGCGAUUUGCCGAAAAAUGGACCAUUUCGGUAAAUAAUUAAAUAAUGGGCCCAUUUCGGUAAUUUAAAAAAAAAAGACUUUUUUUGGUAAAAUGCCCAAAUGGAACACCAUAUAUAAUCCUUUGAAACUUGCUUGUGGAGUCUAAAAAUUUCAUUGACUGGGUAUUAAAUAUUUUAUAUAUAUAUAUAUAAGAAAAAUCCACUUACAUUAUUGUAAACUCAAAUUGUUUAUCUGCUUUCAUGACUUUUUGUAGGAUUAAUAUUUUUAGAAUCCAACUGUCAUAUUUCAUGUUCUAUUUAUAUGAUUAUCUAUGUCAAGUUUUAAGUAUAUUAAAAAUGUCUAGCUAUUUGUUUUAUAUAAAAAAUUCAACCGUUAUAGAUAAAGACAAUAUUUUGGAUCAAAUGCUAGAUAUAUUGGAACUAUUGAAAAUUUACUUACUUGACAAACACAAUUAUAUUAAUAAAUUCAACUGUAGAUUAUUAAAAUAUUUAUCAUACAAAAAAGUUAUAGAAGUGUGUAAAACUAUUUGAGUUUUACACAAUCGUAGGGGGAUCUCUUCCAUAUGUAUUAUUGUAUAUUUAGAAGUUAAAAUCUUUGAUUGAAUUGGUUCAUGAGUCAAAUGAAUAGGAAACCAAUUGUGAAAUGAAAAAAAGAAAAAAAAUCUUCUUUUUUACAAAGUAAUUAUAUUAUUAUGAUAGUAUUUUGGUUUUUUUUUAUACUCAUAGGUUUGAAUAAAAUGCAACCGGGUAUUCACCCUAUCAAUAUCUCAAAUCAAUGAUGGGUUCGAUUCAGACCUUGCCUAAACGGCACCCGAAUCAGACCGAACCAUUUGUCAGGCUAUUGUUCUCUUGUUUUGUUCCUUCAAAGUAAUGUAGUAAGACAUCGAUUUCUCAAAAAGAUCAAUUCUUUUGAUUACAUGAUAGACUUCCCUGAAAAACAUUGGCGCACGUGUAAACGAGGUGCUCUACCAACUGAGCUAUAGCCCUUGUGUUUGUGAUACAUAUUUUAUCAUAUUAUGUAGAUAAUUUCUUGCCAAGAUGAAUAUUACAUGAUCCAACAUCAUAAUCAUACCCUAUUGGUCGGUUUGAUUGGUAUUGCUUAGAAGUAAUAUUGGAUUUAUAAUCCAUCGAUGUAAUAUGUCCCUUUUCUUUCUCUUUAUGAUUCCUUAUGAUAAUAAAUGACCUACUUAACUCGCGGUUAGAGUAUUGCUUUCAUACGGCGGGAGUCAUUGGUUCAAAUCCAAUAGUAGGUAGAACUUAUUAGAUACCAUCGAUCCUGAUGUCUUAUAAGUUUUUCUACCCAUAUUCUUUUAUUGAUUUUCUAUCUUUUUCAUCCUAUUCUGUUUUCGUUUUCAAUUUUCAAAUUUUUUGUUAGAUCAAAAUUUGAUUUCACUUUUGAUUAUAUUUGAUUCUAUUUAAUCGACAGAAUCAAAAUUAGAUGUAUAAACGAAAGUUUUGUUUCUACUAAAAUUAUUUCGAUUAACCAACUCGUUACGAAAUCACGUUGGUAGCCUCGACUCAUGUCUUAGCCCAUUUGAGAGCUAGAUUUGUCUCAAUUUUUUGCCUAUUGCCUUCAGCUUUCGUCAAGUUAGCUUUUGCUAUUUCAAGAGCUUGCUGAGCUUCUUGGGGAUCAAUGUCACUACCCUUCUCCGCAUCAUUUACUAAAAUAGUAAUUUCAUUGUUGCCUAUUCUAGCAAAACUACCCAUCAGAGCCAUCGUUAACCAUUGGUCGUUAAGGCGUAUUCUCAAAAUACCUAUAUCUACAACUGUGGCAAUAGGCACGUGAUUUGGUAAUACGCCAAUUUGUCCGCUAUUAGUAGAUAAAAUGAUUUCUUUCACUUCUCAAUCCCAAACAAUUCGAUUAAGGGUAAGUACGCAAAAAUUUUAGGUCAUUUCUUCAAUUUUCUCUCCAUUUCUAAGUUCGUAGCCUUCGCAGUAGCUUCGUCAAUGUUACCUAUCGAAUAAAAGAUCUGUUCAGGAAGACCAUCUAAUUCUCCAGAAAGUAUCAAUUUAAAUCCUCUAAUUGUUUCUGCUAGACCAACAUAUUUCCCCGGGGUACCGGUAAAUACUUUCGCUACAAAAAAGGGUUGUGAUAAGAAACACUCAAAUUUUUGCACUCUUGCUAUGGUUAAACGAUCCUCUUCGGAUAAUUUGUCCAACCCAAGGAUAGCUAUAAUGUCCUGAAGUUCUUUAUAACGCUGUAAGGUUUGCUUAACCCUUGGUACAGUUUCAUAAUGUUCCUCACUAACGAUUCGAGGUUGAGGCAUAGUGGAUGUUGAGUCUAAAGGAUCUACCGUUGGAUAAAUACCUUUGGCAGCUAAUCCUAUUGAUAGUACGGUAGUAGGAUUUAAAUGCGCAAAUGUUGUAGCAGAGGCAAGGUCGGUCAAAUCAUCCGCAGGUACAUAACCUGCUUGAAUAGAAGUUAUGGAUCUCUCAUUUGUAGAAGUAAUUCUUUCUUGUAAAGUACUCAUUUCGGUACUAAUGGUGAGUUGAUAACCCACAGCGGAAGGCAUUCUACCCAAUAAGGCAGGUACUUCGGAUCCCGCUUGGACAAAACGGAAGAUAUUGUUUAUAAAUAGAAGUACGUCUUAUUCAUUAACAGCUCAGAAAUAUUCUGCCAUAGUUAGGGCAGUCAAUCAAACUCUCAUACGAGCUCCUGGCAGUUCAUUCAUCUGACCGUAGACUAAAGCCACUUUUGAUUCUGUGAGAUUUUGUUCAUUAAUUACUCUAGAUUCUUUCAUUUCCAUGUAAAGAUAAUUUCCUUCACGAGUCCGUUCACCUAAUCCGCCAAAUAUGGAUAUGCCCCCAUGAGCUUUGGCAAUGUUGUUGAUCAAUUCCAUAAUGAGUACUGUUUUACCUACCCCAGCCCUCCAAAUAGUCCGAUUUUUCCUCCACGACGAUAAGGAGCUAAAAGAUCGACUACUUUAAUUCCUAUUUCAAAAAUAGAUAAUUUUGUAUCUAAUUGUAUGAAAGCGGGCGCGAAUUUAUUAAUAGGUGAUGUUGUGCCAGUAUCUACAGGACAUAAAUUAUCAACGGGCUCCCCAAGCACGUUAAAAAUUCUUCCUAGGGUCGCUCCACCGACUGGAACACUUAGAGUAGCUCCUGUGUCAAUCACUUCCAUUCCUCUUGUUAGACCAUCUGUAGCACUCAUAGCUACAACUCUAACUCGAUUAUUUCCUAAUAAUUGUUGUACCUCACAAGUUACAUUAAUUUGUUGACCGGCGGUAUCUCGACCCUUAACUACUAGGGCGUUGUAAAUAUUAGGCAUCUUGCUCGGAGGAAAGGCUACAUCCAGUACUGGACCGAUGAUUUGAGAAAUAUGCCCUAGGUUUUCUUUUUCAAGCGUGGAAACUCCAGGAACAGAAGUAGUAGGAUUUAUUUUCAUAAUAAAGUGAAAUAUGUCAAUUUGUUUUUCCAAAAUUAUCUAAUACAAAAUAAAUCUUUGACAGGAGGUUGAUCGAUUAAUUCAAUAAGAAAUGGGGUUCGCGCUUGAUUUCGUUGGUCCCAUCCAAUUCAAGUGCAUGCAAUUGGAUUGUUUCCUUAUUCAAUGAAGGAAUUUUUAAGUUCAACCAACCUAUUUUCAAAAUAGGAAGUGGAUAAAUAAAAAUUUUGGGAGAGUCUUUCAUUUGUCCAUCAUUAUAGGCAACACCAUCUAUAUUAUCUAUGGAAUUCGAACCCAAACUCUAUUUAUGAUUCAUUAUUUCUAUCUCAUUAGCCUUGUUUAAAUUUCAUUUCGUAUUUAUUUUAGCAUAUUGGUUUUUUUUUACUUUACGUCCAACCUCUCCCCCUUUUUCCAUCUAUAUUCUCUCUUUUUUUCAUUUCAGGGUUGAAUUACGCCUGUUUUCACAUCUAGGAUUUACAUAUACAACAUAUAUUACUAUCAAGGGUGAAUUUCUUAUUUCUUAUUAUUGAGGUUAUAAUAUAUAAUAUAUAAUUUAUAUUAGAUGUUAGAAUAUUAAUUCUAUUAUAUAUUUAUCUAUUCUAUUAUAUAUAUUCUAAUAUAUAUUAGUAUUAUAAUUUAUUUAUAUAUUUAUUAAUUUAUUUAUAAUAUAUUCACAUCACACAAGAUAUAAACAUAUCAUUCAACCAUAGUCGCAAACUAGUACAUUGAAACAUAAAUAUUUUUGGAAAUAAUCACAUAAUAAACCAUUUCACUAAAGAUUUCAUAAUUUAAACCUUACCACCCAUUUCAUGAUCACAAUAUUUAUUCAUAUAUCAAACUUUCCAACAUGUGUUAAUUCAAUACCCAUUCACGACAUUACUUCAUGCCAAAUCAUAUAUCAAAAAUACAAUACACACGUACUAUAAACUUUAUUUUCCCACAUGAGCUUAAACCAUGACCAAUACUGCACAAAUAUAUGCAUCAUUUCUAUUUCAUCGUUUAUCAAUUAUAAUUAAGCAUAUGACCAAUUAUACACAAAUCAUUCAUAUAUUUUCCAAUUUUUCCUCCUCCUCCUCUCCAUUCCACAUCCUUAAUGUGUAUAACACACUUAAACAACACUAGCUAUAAUUUCACUAUUCACUCACAUGUAUAUUCAAAGCUAUUUAUCCGAGUCAGAGUCACUAAAUUAUUUUUAUCCGGAGAUACAGAGCUCCAAAUUAAGAUCCGUUAAUUUUCCUUGAAACUAGACUCACAUAACUUCUUACAAUAAAAUUUUUAGAAUUUUUGGUUUAGCCAAAUAGUACAGUUUAUUCUUUAAAGUUUCUCCUGUUUCGCUGUUUGACAGUUCUGACCACUCUUCACUAAAAAUGAAUUAUCUAAUUGUACAGAAUUCGGAUGAUGUUUCUGUUUAUUUCCUUUGAAAAUAGACUCAUUAAGUAUUCUAAUCAUAUAAAUUAUAACUCAUAAUUAUUUUUAUUCAAUUUUUGAUGAUUUUCCAAAGUCAAAACAGGGGAACCCGAAAUCAUUCUGACAUUGUCUCACAAAAUUUAUUAUAUCUCAUGAUUUACAAUUUCAUUGCUUACACCGUUUCUUCUAUGAGAAACUAGACUCAAUGAGCUUUAAUUUCAUAUUUUAUUAACCCUCUAAUUCAAUUCCCAAAAUUUUUUUCUGAUUUUUCAAAGUUAUACUACUGCUGCUGUCCAAAACUGCUUUAGUGCAAAAUGUUGAUUUCCUUUUUGCCCCAAAUUUCACAGUUUAUACAAUUCGGUCCUUUCUCAAUUAACCCCUUAAUUAAUUUAAUUUUCUCAAUUAAUACUUUACCUAGACAUUAUAAGUUGUUUCAAAACUAUUAAAAUUCAUAAUUUCCACAUAUAACUCUAUCUUCAAACUCUUUUACUAUUAGGUCCCAAACAUUCACUUUCUAUUCAAUUCUUUCAAUAAAAUCAGCAUAUGAACAAUUUAAAGCUCUAAUUCCAUGCUAAAUAAUCAUAUACUUCCAGCAUGUAUUCAUAGCAACUUUCAACUUCUUUCAUAGAAUCAAAAACUAAUGAAUACAAUAAGUGGGCCCAGUUGUAAAAGUCACAAAAAUACAAAAUUUUCAAGAAAUAAUCAAGAAUUGAACUUAUUUGCAGUAAAAAUAGGAAGAAACAGCUUAAGGAAACCCUUCUAUGGUGUUUUUGAUGAUGAGAAUGCAGAAAAAUAAAGAGAAAUCUAGAUAAUUCCACUUUGGUCCUAACUUUAUUAAGUAAUUUUGCAAUAUUCCAAUUUUGCCCUUAAUUCUCGUUACUUUGUUGCUGAUUUCAUGCCUUUGCCGUCCAGCCCAAAUAGACCUUGGGUCUAUUUUCCUUUUAAGCCCUCUUCCUUUUAUCAUUUAAGCUAUUUAAUCAUUUCCCAUAAUUUUGCAUUUGUUACAAUUUAGUCCUUUUUGUUCAAUUAAUUAUCAGAACUUUAAAAUUUCUUAACAAAACUUUAAUACUAACUUUUUAACACUACAUUAAUAUUUAUAAAAAUAUUUAUGGCUCGUUUUAACAUCCCCGAGGUCUCGAUACCUCAUUUCGAUUCUAAUUAUUUUAAUAUUUAUUUCUAGUGUACUAUUCACUAUUUCAAAAAUUUUCCUAACUUCACAUUUAACUUAUAGUCACUAAAUUAAUAAUAUUUUCUACCCGUUUGUCAAAUUUAGUGAUCUCGAAUCACCGUUCCGACACCUCUGAAAAUUCAGGCCAUUACAUUUUUCCUCGUCGGAUUUGUGGUCCCAAAACCACUGUUCCGACUAGACCCAAAAUCGGGCUGUUACAGAGCAAGAUAGAUAAAUUGGAAAAAAAGUUCAAAUUGAGUAGAAUGCAGGGUUGAGUACUUUCGUUCAGUGAUAAAGACGAAUUGACAGAAAAUACCAUGGAUGGGCCAUGGCAAUAAGUGAUAUGUAAUUCCGUGUAAGACCAUAGCUGGGCUAUGACAUCGGUAUAUGUUAUGUGAUUACGUGUAAGACCAUAGCUGGACUAUGGCAUCGAAAAAAUAAAGUACUCAAUUCCAUAAGAUGUUCACUAAUUUGACAAAGUUGGUAAGUGUUACAUGGACUCACACUCAAGUGAUAGAUUUAUUGUGAUUAUUGAAGUUGAAUUCAAUUAAGUGAUUUAACCAAUUGGAUAUUAUAUAUGGCAAGAUGUGUUAGUGAAUUACAUAUUUAUGAAAUGAUAUUUGAAGUUCAGUAAGUGAUAUAUGAAAUUAAUAUGAAAAGAUUUAUGAUUGUUAUUAGUAUUGUUUCUGACAUAAUGUGGAUUCUUCGAUUUUGAAAUUAUUUAACGGAUUUAUUGAGCACAUGAAUGAGUAUGAGACUCAUACGAGUUAGUAUAGAUAUGUACAUGUGUCUUAUAGGCUUUGAAUGAUAAGACUUGUGAAUUGUGAAUUAAUCUAUGUGAAAGUAUAUGGGAUAGAUUAGCGAAUAUUUACAUGAUAUUGAAUAUUUAAUAUAUUACAAUGGUUUAAUAGGAAAAAUAUGACGAUACGAGAAUAUGAAAUGAUACGGAUCAAUUCAGGUACUCGCGAGAAGCAAGUAAUAAUUGAUAAAUUCAUAUGACGAGAAGUGAAGGAUUAUAAGUUCAUAUAUGGCUAUGAAAUGAACAAAUGGUGAUAGCUAUAAGGCUUGGAUCGAAUGAGUAGAUAUAUAUUGGGCCUUGUAAGUGCUAAUUAGCGAUUCGAAGAUAAUAAUUUGAAAGUUUUAAUCUGUAUAAAAUUUUAUAACUCAGUUUAAUAUGUUUAUAAAUGUAUGUGUUUUGGUAAUGCCUCGUACCCUAUCCCGGCGUAGAAUACAGGUAAGGGGUGUUACAAUAUGACAUCGCAAGAUUUGGCCAUAACGUUUAGGUCGGGUUUGGGGUGUUACACAUCCUGUAUGUUGUCCUUUUGCCCCCGUGUUGGAAUAGAAACUUAUUGUAUUGUAUUAGUAGACGAGAUUUUAUGAAAAAGGUUCUUGAUAGAAGGAAAUUUUCUUUUUUCCAUUUUUUCCGUGCGGAUUUUACACAACAUGGGGAAAUCACUAUUUAUAAUUGAAAAUUGAUAUUUCUAAUUCAAAAGAAAAAAGAGCUUUAUCAUAUAUAAUGAACUACUACUCCAGGUUCUCACAAAAGAGAAUUGUUUCUUUCAAUAUUCACUCGUUGUUCGUUAAUAACCCUAGUGAUUGUAUCUAGUAUGCAUAUUCUGAUAGGAAAUAAAAUAUUCAAUUGAUUUUUCAUCGAAUGACUAUUCAUCUACUGUACUUUCAUGGAAAUAAAGGCAAGAAAGCUCUAUUGAAAAAUCACAGUUCAAUUUGAUCUUGUCUAAGGGAGAAUUAGAAUACAGAUGUGGGCUAAGUAAAUCAAUGGAUAGCCGCCUUGGUUCCACUGAAAAUACUAUUGUAAAUGAAGACCUGACUAGAAAUGAUACGGAUAAAAACAUUCAUGAUUGUAGUGACGGCUCUAGUUAUUACAGUAAGGUUGAUUAUUUAGUUGACGUCAAAGACAUUCGAAAUUUCAUUUCUGAUGACACCUUUUUAAUUAGGGAUAGUAAUUAGGACCGUUAUUCCAUAUAUUUUGAUAGUGAAAAUCAAAAUUUUGAGCUUAACAAUGAUCAUUCUUUUUUGAGUGAACUAGAAAGUUUUUUUUUAUAGUUAUCAUAAUUCUAGUUAUAUGAAUAAUGGAUCGAAAAAUGAUGAGCCCCACUAUCAUUUUAACUUGUAUGAUAAUGAUACUAACUAUGGUUGGAAUAAUCACAUUAAUAGUUGUAUUGACUCUUAUCUUCGUUCUCAAAUCUGUAUUGAUAGUUCCAUUUUAAGUGGUAGUGAUAAUUCCAAUGAUAAUUAUAUUUAUAAUUACAUUUGCGGCGAAGCUGGAAAUAGUGGUGAAGGCAAGAAUUUCGAUAUAAUAACUCGUGAAAAUGGUAAUGAUUUAACUCUAAAAGAAAGUUCUAAUGAUGUCGAUCUAUACAAGGAUUUGUGGGUUCAAUGCGAAUGCGAAAAUUGUUAUGGAGUAAAUUAUAAGAAAUCGCUUAAUUCAAAAAUGAAUAUUUAUGAACAAUGUGGAUAUCAUUUGAAAAUGAGGAGUUCAGAUAGAAUCGCACUUUCGAUUGAUCCAGGCAUUUGGGGUCCUAUGGAUGAAGACAUGAUCUCUCUGGAUCCCAUUGAAUUUCAGUCUGAAGAAGAGCUUUAUAAAUAUCGUAUUGAUUUUUAUCAAAGAAAGACAAGAUUAACUGAGGCUAUUCAAAUAGGCACGGGUCAACUAAACGGUAUUCCUAUAGCAAUCGGGGUUAUGGAUUUUCAGUUUAUGGGGGGAGUAUGGGAUCCGUAGUAGGCGAGAAAAUCACCCGUUUGAUCGAAUAUGCUACCAAUAAUUUUUUACCUCUUAUUCUAGUGUGUGCUUCUAGAGGAGCAAGCAUGCAAGAAGGAUGUUUGAGCUUGAUGCAAAUGGCUAAAAUAUCUUCCACUUUAUAUGAUUAUCAAUCAAAUAAAAAGUUAUUUUAUGUAUCAAUUCUUACAUCUCCUACUACUGGUGGAGUGACUGCGAGUUUUGGUAUGUUGGGGGAUAUCAUUAUUGCUAAACCCAAUGCCUAUAUAGCAUUUGCGGGUAAAAGAUUAAUUGAGCAAACAUUGAAUAAAACAAUACCAGAAGGUUCACAGGCGGCUGAAUAUUUAUUCCAUAAGGGUUUAUUUGAUCCAAUCGUACCAUGUAAUCCUUUAAAAGGUGUUUUGAGUGAGUUAGUUUAGCUCUACGAUUUUUUUCCUUUGAAUCAAAAUUCAAUCAAGUAGAGUCUUAAGUGAAAUUUUUUAUUUGUAGUGAAAAGGUAGUUAGUUAGUUUAUCAGAAUCAAAGUCAAAGCCCACGUAGUGGGCUUUGACUUUGUGACAAAAAAAGGAAUUAUUGAAAAACAAAUUAUGUGGAUAAUUAUUAUUAUCAUUAUUCGAUACUACUAAUGAGUAAACCUCUAGCAACAAGAUAAAAAGUGAAAUUUUCAUUCCGUGAAAUGAAAUUCGAAUUUGGAGAGACAAAUAAAACAAAUUUUAUCUUCCUCUAUUGCGUAUGUAUAUAUAAUUUAAAUAGAGAAAAAAAUAGAAUAGAAAUAUAGAGUUUUGCAUCUUUCUAUAUCUCCCGAAAAUUCUAUUUUUACUAAUAAUCCCUGUUCUUGGAUCGGAUUCUAACGAAAUCGAAUCUUUCGAUAAUUUGUAAUAAAUUCUUUCUUUAUUAAAUUCAAAAAUUUAAAUUAGAAGACAAGAACAAUAGAAUAACAAGAAAAGUAAGAAUAAAGUAAGAUAAUAAAGAAAGUGGAUUAUCUUAUCAUAUACACCUAUUUUAUUUGAUUUAAAAAGAUGGGAAAGUCCUCUAAUUUAAUUCUAGAUUCCUUGCACUUAUUAGAUAUCUAUUAGAUAUAUGGACUCGCUUCGAUAUACUUAGUAUUUAGAUAUAAUUAGUAUAAUAUAAGAAUUAUAAUAUAAUCGUUAUAAGAUAUAUUUCUAACUAAACAAUAUAACAAUAACAGGUACAAAUAUUAAAUUGAGGUACCCAUUUUAUCACAACUUUCAGCAGUUUUCUCUCUAUUUUUGUGCCUUUAGUAGGCUUAGUAUUUUCCGACAAUUGCAAUGGCUUCUUUAUCUUUGUAUGUUCAAAAAACUAAGAUUUUUUAGAUUCGAUGUGGCCAAGACCAAAUCUUAUCAAUUUUUUUCAAGACUUAGAUGUCAUAGAUACCUAUUUAGUAGAAUAUUGUAUAACAUCCGGCUUACCUGAACCAAACAUAAAUGAAAAAGCCCCUCUUAUGCAUACGUAAACAUGAUAUAGGGUUAAAUGAAUUAUAGCAAGUGGAUCGGUACCGAACGAAUGUAUGAAAUUAAAGUCUAUAUAUCUAGUAGGUCCGUAUAUGUGAUUAUAUAAAGGGGAUGAUUUUAGAUCGAAGCAAUUUGAUGAAUUCCUUCAAAAAGUUCAUAUCAAAAUAAUCCUAGUUGAUGAGAGUUACUUCGAAAAUAAAAAAAAUAAAGUCAAAUUUUUUUAUUGUUCUCUCAAUUCGAAUAAAGUGCAAUUGAAUCUAGUAUGUAUGAGUUGAUGAUAUUAAAACACGUCAUUCUCUUAUGUAUGAGUGGAGAAUCUCUACAUGUUUUCAUGGAUUCCACUAUUGAGAGGGGGAGAAAGCACAAAUAUAUAUAUUUCAUCAUAUUAAAUAAAAAAGAAACGAGGGAAAUAAGCCACGUCAUCUAGGUAAUGACAUAAUGUAAGUAUGAUGACACCGUGUUACGUUACCUCUAACAUUUUUCGUUUCUAUUUUCCAUCCACUCAAUAAUAGGUGGCUGCCGUCGCUACACGAGGGAAAAGGGAAGACCAAAAAAAAAAAACCCUAAUUGGCGGAGAAAGAACGACGGAGAGGAAGAGCCGCGGUGGCAGAAAAUAAAACUAUAUGGCCGCCCCUCUUUCCUCUCAUUUCCGUCCCCUUUGCUUCUCUUCCCAAUCAUGUUCGAUUCCAAAGCCCAAUCUCUUUCCUUCCUCUCUCUCCUUCCCUCCUCUUCGCUCCCUCUCCCCUUCGAACGCUAAAAAAUUCUCCAAAUCCCCUCUCCUCGCUUUCUCUUCCUCUAAUUUUGAUGCCUCUCAUUUCAAUGAUGGCUUCGGUCCCAAUCCUACCCCAUCUAAGGUAGGCUUUUCAGAACCAGUUUCAGUUUGGUUUAAUUAGGCCCUAGUCCCUUUACUCUUCGGACUUUUAAAAUUGAGUUCCUCUCUGUUUUUAUUUUAGGAAUUUAGUCCUCUACUUGGCUGAUUUGAAAAUUAAACUCCAAUUGAUGACAUUGGUAAUGGGUUUUCGUUAAAUUUGAAUAUGUUAUAUUUUAAUAUUCAAAAUUUUGGCUUAAACAAUUAAAGUUGAAUUGCUAAGACAUAGUAACCAAUUGAACAUCUGGACUGAGUUCGAAUCUUGAAGUCAUCUGGGAAGCUUGAUUAGAUUAGACUUAGAGAAUAAAAUGGAUGAGGACGCGUAUGAUUAUAAAAAAAAAUGAUAGCACAGUCAAAUUUAACAGAAAUCACUUAAUAGUGUUAUGAGUUGGACUUUAAUUUUUCAAUAAGAGAAGUUGAGGAUUAAAUUCCUGGAAUUAAAUGCAGAGGACUAAUUCAAAUAUACUAAGAGUACAGGGAUUGGUACAUAAUCAGAUCUUUCAAUUUUGGAAAGUUACCCUUUUUUUAUAGUUUGCUAAAGUUAGAUUGGGUUUGCUCAUUUCUGGUUUAAAAAUUGACUUUUAGCAAUGUUCUUUCAGAAAUCUGUCCUUACCAAUCUGAUACAGGAGAUUGAACCACUGGAUGUUAGCCUUAUUCAAAAAGAUGUCCCCCCCACAACUGUGGAUGCCAUGAAAAGGACUAUCUCGGGAAUGUUGGGUUUACUUCCAUCUGAUAGGUUUCAAGUCUUUAUCGAGGCACUAUGGGAACCUCUCUCCAAAUUGUUGGUUUCUUCUAUGAUGACUGGGUAAUGUUCAUAUGUUCUGCAUAAGGUGCUCCAUGUUACUAGAUGUUGCUAUAUUUGUGUUGGUUGCUAAGAGGACGAAACCUUGGCUAGGGCCUAUAAAUUCCUCUGCUUGUUGUAGUUUCAAUACUUGUUGGCUUUGUUAAUGGUAAUCAGGUGUGUCAAAUAUGGGUAUGUGCUAAACUCUGGUAUAUUCAUUGUUGAGAAGUUUUUCCAUGUAUUUGGAGGGUCAUUGGUGUCACAUACAAUAUAUACUUUAAGAAAAGUUAAAACUUGGAGAAACAUAGGUUGGUAGACAUAACCUUUUUAGCUUUGCAUAUUGACCACAGUAUAUUUUUUCUCUCCCCUCUUUUGGGCAGAAAAUGUUGAUAUCCUAUUAACAUUUGUUUCAGAGAAGUGCCAAAUCUUAAGCUCAUUUAGAUUAUGCCAAAAUUGGCUCAAUAUAUAUUUGUUUGGCACCACUGGAACUUAAAAGCUGAAUCCUAACGGUUUUUUUAUCUCCUCUGUGCAUACAUUUCUGAUUUACAUCCCAUCUCUUAAUGUGGUACAAUCACUUUAACAUGUGAAUCUUAAGAAUAUUUGUUUUUAAUAUUUAUACUAAGAUCAUAAGUUUAAUUGUUUGAUGUACCAUGAGACAUGCAAAGUAGCAUUUACCUCCAAUAUAGAUGUCUGUCAGAUAUGGGGAUUAUCAGGAAUAAUAGUUCUUCUUUUGAAUUGCAGUUAUACAUUGAGAAAUGCUGAAUAUAGGCUUUGCCUUGAACGGAACCUUGGUUGUGAAGGAGAUUUGGAAAAUCAAACUUCAGAAAAGUCAAACUUUGAUUUACAAGAGAUGUUAUUGGACAGUACAAAAAUAAAUGAAUUUUCAGAGAAAAAUGAUUUGUCCUCUGAAUCUGAAAAAACCAUUGAAGACCAAUUUGAAGAUAUUGACUUUCAAGGCCUGGGUGAAAUGCCCCUGGAAGCUCGUAAAUACAUUCUUCAUUUGAAGGCUCGACUAACUUCAGUGAAAAAGGUAUGCUACAGCAUAUUGAGGAGCCUCCCAUGGUCUGUUUUUUCCUGUAAAUUGAACUGUUCAACUUGAUGCAUUGCCUAGAAAGUUACCUUUUAUGUUUUAUGUGUGAGUUUGCUUAAUUAGAGACACAUCAUAGUUUGCUUCAGUUAAAAGUACUCAAAAGAUGCUAGGAAGGCCUAAAAGAUGCCAUUGUCUCUUAUUGGCUGUGCCUUAAACAAAGUGAACACUAUCUGACCCUUUUUAUAUGGUAUCCGUAUUUCUGAUACCUAGUAAACAUUCUCCCUUGAAAGCCUAUGUUUUUCAUUUGAGAUAGGAUAUUAAGCUAACUUAUACAUUCCAAAUUGUUUGUAAUAGCACUAUGGAAGAAUUUAGACAUGCCAACCUGAUUAACUGAAUAGAUCACUCAAUGGAAACAUACAAGGGAACAGAAAAUUUAAGAUAUUAAAUAUAUCUUUCUUCAUAAUUUUAUCUUUUGAGAGUUAACCCCCAUGGAAGUAUUGGUAGGUGAAUUCUGGCUUACCGAAAUCUACAUUGCAUGAGUGGCAAUUCCCAUGGUUGGUCAGGAUCUGAUAUUAACGAUUGCUUCAUACAUCCAUGCUAUGUUAGAACAUUGAACCUUCUCAGAUUGUUGAAUAUCUCAUUUUCCUUUUCAUCUAUCUUUACAUAUAUAUUCAUUUCACAAUUUCUUCAAAUCCUUUUCUGCAAAUUGGUGGGGUACAUGCUCAUGUUUCCAUUUUUUGCUCUAUUGAAGGAACUUCAUGAAGUAAAGAGGAAAAAUGCUGCUCUACAAAUGCAACAGUUUGUUGGGGAAGAAAAGAAUGAUUUACUUGACUACUUAAGAUCACUUCAACCAGAAAAGGUUAUCCUUGGUCUCAAAACCCUCUAAAGCAAAUUAAUCUAGUAAUAUCCCAUAAACACGAUGCUAUGGGUUUGAUAUCUGAAAGGAAUAUACUAUUUGAUUUUUUUGCUUUUUUCCCCAUUCACAUGAAGGCAAGAUUGAACUAAUUAAAAGGAGUUUUUUGCAAUUUCGCGAUUUGUGUCCCGCUCCCGCCCCCCUUCUUUCCCCUCGGGUUGUAUAGGAAGGAGGGUUUUAUAUUGCCGUGGCUAAUAAGGUUGUAACAUAAUCUCAGGUAGCUGAACUUUCUGAACCAACAUCUCCUGAACUGAAGGAAACAAUCCACUCUGUAGUCCAUGGUCUCCUUGCCACUCUUUCUCCGAGGAUGCAUUCCAAGGUUCCUCCUUUGUCAGAGAACACCACAACUGGAACUCUAAACAUUGGGAGUGAAGACUGUGCAGAACUUGUUGAGAAUACUUCACUUCAAUUCCAGCCCUUCAUUUCAUUAACGCGGGACUAUCUUGCUCGUCUUCUUUUCUGGUUAGUCCACCUCCCCCCCCCCUCUUUCAAACACACGCUACUCUUAUUUCUUUUAGAUCACUUUGACCCAAGAAGCUUAUGUAUAAUUAAAAAAAUAUAAAAUAAAAUGAAAUCUGGUUUUUCAGAAGUUUAACUGGAUAUCUGCAUUUCUAUGUACUUAUUUGCUCACCAUAUGGUACAAUCCUGUUUAAAUUUGAACGUAUUAUUUGUGUUUGACCACUACACUUUGUAAGAAAGAAAGAUGACCGUAUGGAGAUCUGAGAGAUUUUCUUGUGUUUAAACUUCAAAUAAGCUUCAGUCACUCCGUCUAAGAUUCAAAGAAUUUUUCUGAACCCCAUCACCGUAUUAUAAUAUAGCUGAGUUCUAAUAUUCUCAUAUCUGUCCUGAAGGUGCAUGCUGUUGGGGCACUACCUUAGAGGCCUCGAGUAUCGGUUGGAGCUAAUGGAGCUUCUGUCGUUGACAAGCAGUCCCGGCAAUAAUAGUUGUGGUGAUGAGCAGGUUGUUUAGAGUUGCUCUCUGAUUCCAGUGCUACAUGUGUGUAAAUUGGCAUAUCGACUAACUUCUUUUACAGGAAGAGGUAAGAAUCGGACAAGAUUAGGCCCUUCACUCUCUUGCAGAUGGCGAAUUGUUUUUAUGUAUAAAAACGAUACAUUGUUUUUUGUCAGUGUGGAGUUUAGCGUUGGUAUGUUAAUGUUUUUUACCCAGAAAUAGAGAAACCUUGUUGAUAAUGCUCAUUAUUAGUUGCAUUAAGGUUUGCUUUGAACCAUCUUGAAUGUCAUUGUUGCAAGCCUAAACUAAUAAAAAGGAAGUUGAACUGUCGCUUUAUAUUAUCCCUUAAUUAUUUCUUUAAUUUUUUUGAUUUCUUCAGUGUCUACUUUCAGAUUUUUUGUGAAAAUCUUCUUUGAACGAUAAAUUUGACCGAACUGUUAAAAUUUUAGUGGUACUACGUUUUUAAAAGUUUUAAAUUUUGAAAAUUUUUAUUAAUUUUAUCAUAACUUUUCUGAAGAAAAAUAAUUUGAUUAAAAUUUGAAUUUUGAUGGUGAAAAUGAUAAAAAUGAAAGAAUAAGUGUUAAAUUUGUGAUUAAGCUAUGAAAAAGCCAUUAUACAUUUUUGAGUUGAUCAAUUUUGACAAAAAAAUACUUAUGAUUUCCAUGACUGGAUUGAGAUUCCUAAAUGAAAAAAUAGGACUUAAUUUUUAAUUUUUUAAGUGUAUGAGCCAAAUCUCAAAUUUGGUCAAAGUACAAGUACUAACAAUAUAUUUUAACCUAAUUUAAAAUAAUCUAAAGAUAACAUUUAAUUAGAAAGUAUCUUUAAUUCUUUUUAUUUUAAAAGACGAGUUAACUAUAAUAAAAACUAGUAAAACUAUUGUUUUAUAAAAGUAUAAACUUAUUUUAUAUAUUUUUAUUUUCAAUAUUUCUUUCAUUAAAUAAAAAUUUCAGGUUAAUAUAUAAAUUUGAAAAGAUUAACUUACUUUUAACUACUAAAAUAAAAUAUUUGAAAGGAUAUUUUUCUUGUUAAAUUUUGUUUUGAAAUUAUCAAAAUUAACACUAGCGGUCAAAUUUUAAUUAGAAUAAUAAAAAUAAUAAUAAAUUUAAAUAAAAUUCAAAGUUUAGCAGCAAAAUUUAAUAACAUAAAAAUUGAUUGGUAAAUUUAUUUAUAUUCCCGAAAUAUGAUAGGAAACAUCAAUUAAAAUAAAGUAUAGUGACAAGUUUUAACAUUCAUCAAUAAUAUGGUAACAAUUUUACACUUUAAAUUAACUUUUAAAGUUUUUAUCAAACAUCAGUUUAGAACGGAUUUGAACCAUGUUAUCUCAUCCCAACUCUUAAUAUUAUAUAAAAAACUUAUAAUUAAAUAAGGUUGACUUUUGAAUAUUUACUUAAAUGAACCCUUAAGAUAAAUCAAUCUUCCAAAGUAAGGGCUUACCAAGAGGAUUAGGGUUUAUUUAGGAGUAAAAAUAGAAUAGAGCUUAUUCAAUAAAACAUUAUAUAUCAGUUUUUUUCUUUAUCUAAACCAAAGAUUAGUCUAAUUUAUCUAAUAUUGGAAAGGGUUUGAAAAAAAAAUAGAGAAAUUGAGACCCAUUUUAAAGUGGGUUGGAUUUCGAUUUCAAGCCAUGAAAGAUUCAAAAUAGUUAUAUCUAUUUUAUCUAAUAUUGGAAAGGGUUUGAGUAUUUUUCAUAUCUGUUUUACUGUUUAAAUUCGGGUUCGUGGGUGUUUCUCUUAACAAUGUCAUCUUUAAAGUUCAAACUUGUGUUCUCCUUUUGAAAGUACAAUGUGCCUUACUAUUACACUCAACCGCUUGUUGGUAGUUAUAUCUAUUCUUUAAUCAUGUAAAUUAUGAUUUUAUAUAAUAUAAAGAUUAAAUAUAUAAUAUCAAAGUGUAAAUGUUAAAAAAUAUGAUGAUUUGCUUAUGUUUAGAUCUGUUUAUGGGCUGGGUCGAUACAAAAUAUUAGGCUCAUAUUAUUGAUUUGGGUUCAGCUCAACGCGAAAAAUGGGCCUAAAGUUCUGCCCAAGCUUGGCCCUGAUUAAAAAUGCUAAACUGAGCUCGACCCGAUCCGCUUGUAUUAAUUUUUUUAAAAUUAUUAUUUUUAUAUAAAAAUAAAUUUAAAAAUAUAAUACAUCGAAUACACUAAAUAUAUUAAAAUAAAUGUUCUCGACAAAUUGAAAAUAUAUUAAAAAAUCUUUAUACUUAAAUAACGCUAAGAUAGUUGCAACUUAGCAAACAAAUGCCUAUUAAAUUGUAGCAAAAUUAACAAUAAAACAAGAGUUGUACAAUAUCCAAAUAAUAACAAUAAAAUCAUAGCAAUAUAAUAGCGAAAUUGUAGCAAAAUAGCAACAAAAUGACAACAAAAAGGAAAGUUUAGGCUAAUUCGGAUUGAAUUGAGUCGGGCCUAGGCAAAAAAUCCUACCCAAGGCCUAGCCAUUUUAGAAAACGAACCUUAUUUUUUUGUCUAAGUCUAUUUUUCGGGCCUAUAUUUUUAUCCAAAUCCUCUCACUUUUCGGACAGGCCUUCAGGUCUAGACGGGUGACCCAACCCAUGAUUAGGUCUACUUAUGUUUAAGAAUUAAUGAAAGACUUUUUUUUAUAAAAAUUUAAAAAUAAUAUAUAUUUUUUAUAAAGUUACUGAUAUAGUGACAAAUAAUUUGUAUUGAAAUCAAGCUUAAAGUUGGCAUCAAAUUUAGAGUUCAAAUUCUAAAUCAUCAAUGAUUCGAACCCUAGACCUAAUGUCAGUUGUAAACAUAACUUUAACACAAAUUUUUUGUCACUACACCAAUGACUUAAUUGGUACAUGUGAGAAUAAAUAUUAAAUUUAUAUUUAGAAUUGAGUUUUUACCUAAUUGGGCUUGACUAGUGACCAUGGGCCUUUUCUUCACCAAUGUUAAUCUAAGACUAAAAAGACCAUAAUAAUGGAGAUAAUUAUUUGUGGGUUGAGGUGCUUUUAGAAGAUGAAGUCUUGACAAAUAAAAAACAAGCAGGUUUAGAUGAUUUAUCUGUAUAUAUAAAUAAGUUUUGGUAACAUUAAAAUUCAUAUUUUAAUUCAAUUGAGUUUACAUAAAUAUACGUAAUAUCAUAAAUAUAUUCUAUGAUUCAUGUUAAUAAUAUUUAAUAUUUAAGUAAGGAUGACAAAAUUUAUGUUAUUUGAUGGAUUUUUAUCUGAUUUUCUUGAAUAGAGAAAUAUUUUUUUCAACUUGAGUAGCAAAGACAAGAUGUAAUAUGUAAUUAUAUAUUAUACAAUAAAUUUAAAAAUAUUUAAGUUAGAUAUUCAUAGAUUAUCUUUUUACGUUUAUAUGUUAACUACACAUUGACCUUAUUAGAAAUUAGAAACUUCAUCGCACAUGUAUGUGUCACGGGAUUAGAACGAGGGACGGAUCUAAGAUUUUACUCCAAAGAGGAUAAAAUUUCUAAAUCCGAACAACCUUUUUUUAACGUAAAAAAGUAAAUUCUUCUCGGAUCCACAUUAAGGCAAUUACGUAAAAGAACUUCACAAAUUGCCUUUGCCAAAGCUAAUGAUGCGGUGUCCUUCUUUAUCAACAAACCGCAAUAAAAUUGCCAUUUGUUCUUUCUUUGACUCAUCAUGAGUUUCAUCCACUAUAAUGCAGAACUUUGAAUCUCCAAUCUCUUCCUGAAUGAAUCCCUGAAUUUUACUCGCCAAAAUAGAAAGAAUGUUCUUCUAAACAGUUGGACUGACAUACUAUGCAUUUUAAGGGGCAUUUUCUAAGACAAUUGCCGCAUCUUCAUUAUAAGAAGCCAGAAGUUCUAUUAGUUCAAGAAAGGUACAUCGAUUUCUUGAAUCUUGUGCUUCAUUGCGUCCCCUAAAGGCACAACCUUGAAAUAUAAGCCACUUGAUAGCAUCUAUUGACACCUUGAGCUGUAGUCGAUUUCUUGCAAUUUGUUCAGAAUUUUGUUUCUCAAUAAUCCUCCCAAUAAUUUGCAAGGAAUUCUGAAUAUCAAGAUAAUUUUUCAUUGCAUUCUUAUUUAAAUAAUUUUUUGCAUCCUUACCUACAUGAGUAAUAAAAGGACAUUUAGAUCAUUCAUUGACCUUUUUCCACGAUCAAAAUCCUUGGCUUGUAAAAGUAUUUCCAUGACGCCCAAAUGACUUGUUGAAGAGAAAACAAGGAAGGCAAUAUGCAACAUUCUUGAGCCAAUUUGGGAAUAACUUGUACCAAGAUGGGAGAAAUUUAUGUCUAUUCUUGUUAAUAUACUGAGGAGAUGUUGGAGCCUCACUUGGAGGUAUCGGUUGAUAUGGCACAAACUUAAUGUAAGCUUGAUGAACUUCAUCCUGUUGAUUUGGAGGGUAAUCCCAAAUAGAUUUUCAUAGUCCCAGAUCAUGCUCUAAAGAAGAAGCAUCAAACUUAUUUGUUUUGACUCUUGGCACCUUACAAGGACGUUUAAGAACUUGAGAAGACCCAAUAUCUUGUUCAGGAUCUUGGGAAGACUCAAUAUGCCGUUCAGGAUUUUGGGAUUAAGAAGACUUGAUAUCUCGUUCAGGAGCUUGAGAAGACUCAAUAUUGCGUUUUGGAGCUUAGGAUUAAGAAGGCCUGAUAUCUCAUUCAGAAGCUUGGAAAGAUCUAAUAUUUGAUUUUUCUCCACUAAUAACAGAAGGUUGAGGAACCGAUUGAUCAUUAUUGCUUUCUGACAUUUUUUUCUUGAAAAAAAAAUUGAUCUUUUUGUUGACCAUAAUUUAAUAGAAAAACCUGAAGACUGUAAUAAUAUAUUAAAUGAAAACAUAUUAGGAAAAAGUAAAAAAAAUUCAAAUAAAUAAAGAACAUAAUUUAUGUAAAAAUAUUUACCGAAAGGUUUUUUGUGUAAGGAGCCAAAAGGAACAUAAUUUGUAUUUUUUUACUCUGUGCUCUCAGUAUCAGCAUCAAAUUCCUUUCUUUUUCUCUCGGCAGUGUCGGUACCUUACCAAAGGAAGAUAAUUCCUUAGCAAGACAUACAAAUCAAAAUACAAAAAAGUCACUAACUUAAUAUGUAUAGGUAUGGGCCAAAUCAAUUAAUUAUGGAAUUUAGCUUUAAAGUCCAUAUUGGGCCUCUAAGUUUAGUCUUUCAAGGCCCAUCAUAUAUUAAUAUUUGAUUAUUAUUAAAGUUAUAUAAUUAAAAACUGAAAAAUACUUUGUUAAUAUAAAGUAUAACCUUAUGGCUUAAGGGGGUGAAUCAUAUGAAAUACAAUUUAGCUAAGGGGGCGAAUGUUAUACAAUGUGGACACCAAAUCUAAAAUACAUGAUAAUUUAUAUAUAAAAUUCAAAAAUCUAAAAAUUCCGCCCCCUAGAUCCAUCCUUGGUUAGAACUUUAGUUUGGAAAACUACGUGACCUUAGGCAAUUUCUUGGGUUCAAAUCUUGCCUAAGUCAGCCUACUCCUGGAAAAUGAGAAUUCUUACAGAAAUUCUUUAAGGCACCGAAGCAAAUUGAAAGCAAACUCGAAAGAUAAAAAGAAGCUACGAAUGAAUAAAAAGCCAUAGAAAAAUACCACACACCAAGUGUUUAAGUAAAUACUCUCAAAAGAAAUCUAUUACUUUGAAGGUUUAUAACUGAAUGAUUACAAAUAAGGAGGAAGACCUCUAUUUAUAGUUAAGCUCCCCCCAAAUCUAACAAUACAGAUUAAGUUACAUCUACAAUCGAUAUUAGAGCCUAUCUACAAGAUGAGAGUCUUAAGGAAUUUAAACUCUAUACAUCUUUAUCCCUUAGGAUUUACAUUAAUUACUUUGGUAAGUCUAGUUUUACUGGAGUGUUUUAUAGGACCACCAAGGCUUUAAGUAAAUGGGUUUGUUCAUGGGUUCCAUGAAUUGGGCCAGUUCAAGUGGGUCAAAUGAGCAUUAUAUAAUAAGUUGACCUCUAUGAGACGUUUUAUGUGUAGUGUUCAUGGGCUUCGAUCCGCGGCCCGUGACAUUCUGCCCCACCCAUUCUCGCGAUGCCCUCAUCAAGUCCUCGGAAUGACACUGGUUUGACUCAUCUCAUAACGGUUUUGAUGCCUCAGCUAAUUCUCAACUAUUGUUUUUGUCAGGUAGUUUUGCCUCUUGGAACAUUUGCCUUAGCUUAUGCCUCCGCCGUUGCCUAACUAGCACUAUAUUUAUCUCUUGUACAUCUCAUUCAUAAGAGGCCACCGCUUUUACUUGCCCCCACUGUGACUGGCUUUGAUCGAGAUUCUCUUGAUUCAUACAAAUAAGCUUAAGCAUGCCUACUGAUCUGCCGUAAUUUUAUAUAUCAAAUUAGGCUCUCCAAUACACUUGAAGAGCUUAUUAUUAAGCAAUUUAAGUGCCUUUUGUAUGUUUUUGUCAAUUUUUAGCUUUAAGCAUUAAUAAACAUUUUUACUUAGUUUUACACCCUUUUUGAGACCCAAAUUGGCCAAAUGUUGCCAAUGGGAAACUAAGGAUGUGAUUGAGUUGGUGUAAGGAGACGAUAAAGGCUCAAACUCGAGAAUAACAUCAUUCAGAGUGGGUAUCGUGACAUUGAUACCAUGGAAGUCAUGAUAUCCCUGAAAGUGUUAAAGUGAAGAAAAUUGAGUCCAGUUCUAGUGGUAUCAUGACACUGAGACCUUUAAGACCCCAAUUUAGCCACUGUGUUGGGAUCGCGACAUUGAGGAAUAGGUAUCACGACACUGAGUCCCCCAAAACCUCAAUUUAGCUACUAUUUUAGGUAUCACAACACUGAAGCUUAGGUGUCACCAUACUACUUCUUGAAGGAGGGAAAUUUUAUUACAGGGGUCGUUUUUGUCCAACACCAACCCAAUCAAAAUAUAGCAUCUAGAGGCAUUUUGGUCCAAAAUAUUGGAUUGUAAUAAGAUGUUAAAAGCCACUUGUGGCUGAGAAUAAAAGGGGGUUGUUGUCUUUACCUUUUCUUUCAUUAUUUUAGCUUUCUAGUUAGUGUCUUCUUUAUUUUCUUAGGGUUUAGUUAAAGCUUUUCUGGUUUUAGUUGUUUUAGUUGUUAAGUUAGUUAGUAUUUAUUGUAGCUUGGUCUUAAUAGCACUUUGGUGCCCAAAACCUUUUUAGUAUUUUCAUUUUAAUCCAUAACAUUUAAUAUAGCUCAGUUUUAUUUUCCUUUCUUAGAUAAAAAUCUGAACUUUAGUGUUAACUUUCACCACCAUUAUUGCCAUAUUUAUCUUCCUCAAAUAACUAUAAAAAAAACUUUAAGCUUUCUUUAACCCUUUUUUUGUACUUAUUUUAAUGCAUGCUUUGAAUUUAUGUUGGGUUGUUGCUUGUAUAGAAAAGAUGUUGAGUAACUAAAUCUAUGGUGGUUGGUUGAUUGAAAUGUUGCUUGGUUAGUUUUUGCUACAUAGACUAAAUCGUAAAAACUAGACUAAAUCAAAUAAACUUCAAAACUUAGAAUUGACGCCUUUAAGGUAAAACAUAGAUAGGUGAGUUUGAGAGAUCCUAUUGAGCAUCAAUUUGGUUGUCCCAAGUUAGUUUGGUGAGGUUGAGAGAUAAACCGAACUCCAUCGUCUAAUUUGGUAAAAUGAUGCUCUAGAGGUAAAAUUGAGUCAAUUAGAAGUUUAGGCUUUUUAGAUCCAUAAUCCAACUACUAAUUAGCAACAUAGAAGUCAUCCAAUCGCUAUUGUUUAUUGAAUUGUUGAUUACUUAGUUUUGUCUGUUUUACAAUUUGCUUAUUUUUAUUUAAUUAGCGUAAUUAACUUCAGUUAUGAAUUGUUGUAAUAUAAGACUUAGCAAGUAGUUAGCUAGACUUCUUGAUUCCAUGUUAGUUGAAUAGGAAUCACUUAAUACCUAAAUUCCCUUGGGUUCGAUCAUUAGAAUACUUGAGUGCUCCAUUGUAACACUACAAAUAUUACAACUCAACCUGUCACACUUGCAGUAUACCACCAUAUCAUAAUUGUUUUUGUGUUGAUUCAUAGCCUUGGUGCACAUACACCGAGGCGCGAUCACCUACAUUGAACAUCGAGUUCACCUUGAGUCUUGCCGCUAACUCUGAUUUGUAAGUUUCUCAGCUUACCCCCUUCAAAACUCUGAAAGAGCCCUUAUGUCUUUGCCAAGCCAAUUGUAAGUCAUAAUGUAAAACACUAGAUAUGUGUUUGAGAUGUUCCUCGCUCAUAACAUUUACUCUUUCUAACUGCAUACUCUGUAUCACUACUUUUCCCACAAAAUCUGAUGCACAACCCACCUCUCUCAUAGGUGGUAGCCCCACUAAUAUCUUAACAGGCCUCAUAUCGAUAUUUUGCCCCUUUAACAUUUCCAAGGGGAUUUUUGUAGUACUAUGAUCUAUCAAGUCAAUAUCCCCACCACACAGAACAUCAUUGGCUAGCUGAAUUACUGACAAUACCUUGGUUCCACCCCUUGUGUCUUGACUCAUCGACACAACACAUUGCUUUUGUUGAGCAUCUAAGAUGCAAAUGCAUUUGACAAAAGGAAUAAAAAAAAACAUCAAUCUUGUUGAGGAAAUUCAACCCAAGCACGAAGUUGUAAUAAUCUAAGUAAAUUACCUUAAAAUCUUUCUAGUCUUUUCAUUGACCGAUCUGUAACUCAACUUCUUGUGCUACUCCCACAGUUGGGACAUCUUUGGAAUUAACAAUCUUGAUUUUCUUAGUCGAUUUGCUAACUGAGAGACCAAUUUUACCCACGACUUUCUUCGAAAUGAACAGAUCAAAUGCCCCUGUAUUGAUAAGAGCACUCCUCCUUUGAGCUGCGAUGUUGAUGUCUGCAAACAUCAACCUUUUUUUACUUGUGAUUCCUUAUUGCCUUAGCAAAACUAAGUAUAGUUUAUCCAAUCUUCGAUAGCCUUUUCUUCUUUAGGCUCCUCUUCAACUUCUUUACUGAUCGCGGACAGUUUGGAUCGCUCUAGACAGUUUUGCCUCCUAUGCUGACUACUACAUAAGAAGCACUUCGCUAGUUUCUUUCCACUCUCUUUGCCCCUAUUGGUUUCGACACUAUGCAUGAUCGAACCAAACCUCAUGGGUGCUUUUUUUUUGCUCAUAAUCCUUUUUUAUGGUAGAAAACACUAAUAAUUUUUAGAGUCCCUUACCAUUUGCAGACUGCCACAUAAGAAACAUUUUAUCUCUCUUCUUUUUAUUCAAGUUGUUGAGUUUUUGUUUCCCAUUUCAUGGUUUCCCAUUUCCACCAUUACUGUUGAUAUACUCAACUUGUUUUUCUUCAUAUUCCGCACUGUUUCCCUUGUCCUUGGGCUUGAAAGACUCGAACUUGUCUUUCUUCAGAACAAACUCAAUUAAGGAUGCUGCCACAAUCAUGGCUUUAGACAGUUCUUGGACCCCUCGACAUUCUAAUUCCUGUUUCACCCACGGCUUCAACCCACCAUGAAAUAGAAGAAUUCUUCUUUCUCAUUUAGGUCAAAGAUUUGAAGCAUCAAUUCACUAAAGUCUCUGACAUACUACCGAACAGUACCUUGUUGUGUAAGCCGACGCAACUUAGCUCGAGCCUUCUCUAGCCAUACUACAGGUAAAACUAUUUUUCAAUUUUUUUAACUCCUCCCAAGUCCUAAUUACGAUACCACCUCGUUUCUCAUUUGUGGACCUACGAUGCUACCAUAAAAUAGCGACAUCAACAAAAAAACUACAGCAGUGUUUACCUUAGUGAUAUCAUCCUUGAUGCCUAUUGCACGAUAGUAUUGUUCCAUCCCCCAGAGAAUAUUGUCCACGUUCCUCGCAGACCUCGUUCCAUUGAACUAUUUCGGCUUAGGGACAUCUAUUUUAUAUUGCUUAGAAACUGAAACCAAUAUCCCUUUUCCCAUAGCAGCUCUGCACAUAACAAGCUUUCCCUUGAACUCCUCAAUUUUUGCCAUCAUGGCUUCAAUUUCCUCAUUCAAAGCCAUAAUCGAAGCUUCGAGAACACUAUUACUCUUAGUUAGCUUCUCGAUCUGAUCACCCAUGGUGGCAUUGAGGGCCUCUUUCAACACAUCCUGAUUGGCACCAAGAGCCUCUACCACAUAGUCCUUAAGUUGCACUCUCAUCGAGUCUAACUCAUCGGUUCGUUCUUCAACUACCUCGAAUGUUUCCUUCAUACCACCCAUGGAUUCCUCGAUAUUGGUCACCUGACCUUCUAAAUUUGACAUCAUAUCCCUUAAUCUGUUAUUUUCUUGGACCUCCCACAGGUCUUUAUCGAGACAUUCUGCUCGUCUCCUCCUUUCAACAUCUCAAUCGGUGCCUUUGAACACUGGCUCAAAUACCAACUGUCACGGGGCUAAAAAUUUAAUCUGACAAAUUGUGUGACUUUAGGCGAUUUCUUGUGUAACACCUCUAACCCAUAUGCGUCGCCAGAAUAGGGUUUUGAAGCAUUAUCGAAGUUUAUCGAUGAAACAAACAGAAUUCCCAAACAUUUCAUAUCAUCAAAAUAAGUCAUCAAAUUAAAAUUAUAAACAUGCCAAAAUCCAUCAAUUUGGCCUAGUUUAUAUCUACCUAAAACAUUAACUUAAAUUCACAUGCACAUACUAAGCUUUGAUUCAAUUUACCAUACCAUACUAUGGUUUCAAACACAAAUACAUGUUUAUAUGUAUAAAAUCAACCAAUAUUAAACUUAUAAUCUCAUUUACAAUCAAUCCACAAAAUAACUAUUAUUUAGACACCCUAGGUACAUGCCGACACAAAAGAUAGACAUCACCACAUUUGAGUUCGGGAGCAUUGUUGGAUGCUGAAUCGGCGAUCAAAAUUGAAGUACCUAAUCUGCGCAUAAAAAACAAAAUCGUACACUGAGUAAAACUCAGUGGUAUUUAUAUAAUCUGAAUAUUUAAAAACAAGACAAUAUAAUAUGCAUAUUUUAAUUAUAAGCACAUUUGAAUAUUUAUGACCACAUUUAUUCAUACAAUGGCAUUAGCCAUUCAAUAUUCAAUUGAUAAAUACAUCAUUUCAUACCAUUCUCAAAUCUCAUCACUUGCUAUAUAAUAACUUUUCACAAUUUAAUAUAUAUAUCAUUUAAACAAUAAUAUUAUUCAAUCCACAUCCAAUUCAUGAAUACGUAAUUCAUGUGUGUCAUUUUCAUGUUUCAAUUCACUAUCCCAUUUUCAUUCACAUGCAAUAUCAUCCAAUAUCAAUCAUAGUAUUAUUUUAUUUAAUUACCCCUAUUAACACGACUUAGACUCGGACGGAUACACGAAUCCAACCAACACACUAGUUUGGCACCCAGUGCCUCAUCGGAUAAAUCCAAAGAAAUAACUGUGCACAUCGCUAUAUAAAUUUGAAACAUAGUGUCUCACUAGUUAAACCGAAGUAAAUUGACACCUAGUGCCUCAUCGACUCGAAGUCGAAGAAAUACUUGAACUCUUCCAAUCCUAUGGCAUGCCAUCUAUACCCACUCAGCUCGAUACAGUUAAUAGGGUUUAAUUUCACUUUCCAAAUACAGCCAAUAUUCAAUAUUCAAAUUUCACAUUAACACAUAUAUUCAUUUCAAUUCAAUUCAAUUCAAUCAAUUUUAAAUCAAUCCAAUAAUCAAAGUUCCAUAUACUCACCUUAACCACUUACCAUAUACAUUAAAUUAAAAUACAACAAUGAACAACUAGGUUCGGAUUAUAGAAAUACAAACUAGAAAUUCCGAGCUAUUCGAUGUCGACUUUAUCUUUCCCUUUUUUAAUUGAGAAUUCCAGUACGACGUUAGCUACGGAAUUAAAACAAUUAAAAUUCAUCAAUACAACAAAAUUCAAUUUCAUAUUGAAUAUUUAAAUUUGACUCAAUGUUUGCCUAAUUUCCAAUUUAGUCCCUAAACCGAGACUAAUUUUUAUUCUUCACAAUUAAUUCUAUAUUUUCAUGCAAUUUCCACUUUAAACUAAAUUUAAAUCCCUAUUUUCACUUAAAUCCCUAAAUUUAAAUUUUUUCACAAUUUAGUCCCUAUUAUUCAAAAUUUACAAUUCAUUGUAUCCUUUUUCAUUUCUAACUUAAAAAUCUAUCAAUUUAAUCCCUAAUACUAAAAUUAUUCAACAUUAACAACACUUAAAAACUCAAUAAUUGCUAAAAUUUCAACAUGGGUCGAGUAGUACUUAACACCAAGAUUUCAAAAACAUAAAAAUUAUAAGAAAAAAUGACUAACUUGACUAACCAAUUGAGCUUUGAACCCUAGAAAUCCCUAAGCCUUACGUAUUUCUUUCUCUUUUUCUUUCUUUCUUUUCUAUUUUUGUUUGGCUUUUGCUUUCUAUUCUUUCUUUUUUAUUCAUUUACUUAUUUUAUUUUAUUAUACAUUAGUUUAUUAUUAUAAUAUAUAUACUUAAAUAUUAAGUAAAUUUAUUUUAUUAUAAUAUAUAUUAAAUUUAUAAAUAUCUUACCUUAUGCCACCUUAUUAAAGAACAAUGGUAUAAUUACUUCUUUAAUCCCUUUAAUUUUUCUUUAAUCUAUAAUUCAACUUUCACCCUAUAUGCAGUUUAGUCCUUAUAUCUAAUUACUCUUAAUUCAUGCAAUUUCACUUAACCAAAACCUAAUUAACUACACAACUAGCUUUGUAAAUAUUCUUAAUCAAUAUUUACGAGUCUGAUUUGCGAGAAUAGAGUCUCGGGAAUACACUUUCUGACACCCCUGACUAUCGAGUCGUUACAUCUUGGGUUCAAAUCCUGCCCAAGUCAGCCUACUCCCCAAAAAUGAGAAUUCUUCUAAAAAUUCUCUAAGGCACUGAAGCAAAGCGAAAGCAAACUUGAAAGACAAAAAAAAGCUACAAAUGAACAAAAUGCCACAGAAAAAUACUGCACACCAACUGUUUGAGUAAAUGCUCUGAAAAGUAAUCUAUUACCUUGAGGGUUUACAAUUGAGUGGUUACAAAUGAGGGGGAAGGCCUCAAUUUAUAGUUGACCUCCCCAAAUCCAACGGUACAAAUUGAGUUACAUCUAUGGUCGAGAUUAGAGCCUAUCUACAAAUGAGAGUCAUAAGAGAUUUAAACUCUAUACAUCUUUAUCCCUUAGGAUUUACAUUAAUUACCCUGGUAACUCUAGUUGUACUAGACUGUUUCAUAGGGCCACCAAGGCUUCAGGUAGAUGAGUUUCUCCAUGGGUUCCACGAAUCGGGCUAGUUCAAGCCGGUCAAAUAAGCCACAUUUAAUAAGUUGACCUCUAUGGGACGUUUUGUGCACAAUGGUCAUGGACUCUGAUCCGUGGCCUAUGACAUAUGCGUGUGGAAAUAACGAAUUUAGAAUAUAGAUUUCUGUUUGAAAAUAACAUGCAAUAAAUAAUAAAACGUAUGAUAAUAUAAUUUAUUUGUGUGAAAACUCUAUCCCGCCAUAUGGAUAUUUUUAUUUUUUAAUCAAAAAUAUUAAAUUACCCUUGAAUAAUAUAACUUAUUUUAAAUACUUAAAUUUUUAUAAUUUUUCUAACCAGGUUGGGGCCUGGUUGACUCGUGACACCAACUCAGUCAAGAAUUUUAUUAAUAGUAAGUAUAGAUAUACAAUUGGAGGUAAUAAAGUGUGCAUACUAAACUUGAAAUGUAUAAAUAAAUCAAAAUAAAUUUUUAGUUCAGUGGUAAAUUUAAAAUAUUUUCAACAAAAUUGGCAUGGGUUCAAAUCCCACCAUAUGUAUAUUUUAUUAUUUUUUUAAAAUUAAAAGACUAAAAUACCCUCAUAUAAUAUAACUUAAUCAUUUUGUAAUUUUUCUAAUCGAGUUGAUGCCAGAUUGACUUGUAACACCAACUCAAUCAGUGAUUUUAUUAAUAGUAUUGAUAAUUAAGAAGUAUCAAAUAAGGUAGGGUCAAGGAUGAAUCUAGGAGUAUUUUUUCGAGAAGAACUAAACUUUUUUCUUUCAUUUUUGGAGAGUUAAAAGUACAAUUUUACCAUACAUUUACUUAUAAUUUUAUCAUUUAUGGAGAGAUUAAAUUAUAAUUUCUUUUCAUUUUUAGGAAUCAAGGUUCUUGCCUACCUUCCCUUGGAUUCACCUCUAGUAGGGAGGGCCAAAGUUGUAAUUUUUAAAAUUUGACAUCUGGGACGAAACUAGACAAAAAUAAGAGGGAAUGGAACUAUGAUAAAUUUAACAAUAUCUAUCAUCGCCCCAUCCUUCUUUAAAAUUAUAACAUGAAUAUUGACAGAGUGUUGUUGAAUACUAAAUUAAUAAAGUACUUCUUAAAGCAUGAUACUGAUCAUCAAUGCUUAUGAGUUAAGGAAUAUACUGUGUCUGUGAAAAAGCAAAAAGCGAGGUUUUAGGAUCUAUGCGCACCGUUUUGUACCACAUAUUUUGUUUUACAAUGUGGUCCUUCAUAAUUCAUUGAUUCAUAAUGUGAAACAACAAUCAUUAAACUAACCACUUAAGCCUAUCAACAACCUCGAUUGACUUUAUUAAUUAUAACUAAAAUAAAAUUUGGCAUAAUUGCAAAAAAAAACCCUCAACGUUUGGGGCUUUUGGUUUUGUGCCAUUGACCUUUUUAUUUUUUAAUUGACACCCUCAACGUUAUGCUUUUUUCAGAAAUCAGCCCACUUUUAACGGUCAACGCAAAACCAAAAGCCCCCAAACGUUGAGGGUUUUUUUUACAAUUAUGCCAUAAAAUUUUAACUAGGUUAAAUAUGCUCUAAUUCCCUUACUCAUUCUAUAUUUGAAAUUUAGCCCCUUUAUUUUUUAGAUUUAAAAGUACAAUUUCUAUUGUCAAUACCAUUAAAAUUCUUCUACUAAAUUCAAGUCUACUACAAUUUCAUUAUUUUUAUUACAUGGUUACGAAAUAAUUUACGAUUAUUUGUGAACUGCCCUUUAAUGCAAAACCCUAACGGUGGACCAAUCAUAAUACAACACAAACAAAAGCUUCACUUCAAUUAAAUAUGGAGUCCCAUUGAUCCCACCGAGCUAUUGACGGUGAUUCUCAAAUAUCGCGGAACAGAAUGUGAUACGAUGAGAUAGAAUGUAAUAGAAACAAAGACACAGGGAACGGGUUACCUACUCUUAACAGUCAAAACGAACCCUUUCAUUCUGACAUUCUGAAUUCUUUAAUUCGGAAUGAAUCAAAUCUCCUCAAGUAGGAUUCGAACCUACGACCAGUCAGUUAACAGUCGACCGCUCUACCACUGAGCUACUGAGGAACAACGGGAGAUUAGAUCUCAUAGAGUUCAAUUCCCGUUCUCAACCCAUGACCAAUAUGAACUCGAAGUUUCCUUUGUAACCCCCAGAACUUCUUCGUAGUGGCUCCGUUCCAUGCCUCAUUUCAUAGGGAACCUCAAAGUGGCUCUAUUUCAUUACAUUCCAUCCAGAUCCCAAUUCCAUUUUUAAUCUUAAAUUGAGAGUAAAAUUUUUUUAUUAUUGUUUUAUCCAUCCACAAGACUUAAAUUCAAAAUUUUAAGCAUUAAGGUCCUUACAGUUUAGCUCUAAUUAGAUUAUAGAUGUGGGUGUUGGACAUAAAAGAAUAAAAAUCAAAGGGGGUAAAGGAAAAGGAUUAUAAAGUUAUAUAUUUUCAGAUCCAAUGUUGAAUGCCUUUGAAACUUUGCUCCUUCUUGGAUUUUUAUUUUUUAUAUUUUUAAUAUCAAAGAUUAUGAUUUGUGACCCAUCUUUUUCCAUGAAACUUAAGCUUAACUCUCAUCUCUCUAUCUAUUUUUCUUUUUUAAUAUCAAACCUUCUAAUAUUCAAUCCCAAAUAAAUUUGAAAUUAAAUCGAGUUGGGAUUCUAAAUAGGAAGCAGAGUUUUCCAAUUUUCUUUAUUAAUAAAACUCUAAUUUAAAUUUUUUUUAAUUAUUCGAUUCAAUAAUCAGUAUGGUGUAUCUAUCUGUAUUAAAAUAACUGAAAAUUUUAACUAAAUAAAAGAGUAUAGAAUAAGAAGUGCACGUGAUUUGAGGGCGUAAAGAAGAAGGCUGUUGAGUAAUCAGUCAAAAGCAAUUAGCAUGAAAUGGAAGAGAAUAUAUAACAUCAACACUUGCAGUACCUUGCUUUUUCGACAGUUAUAAUACUAAACAAAUAACAGAAAAAUUACAAAAUUGCAUCAAAGGGACCAAAAAUAAAUUAUAAUUUUUUGGAAUGAUCAAAAUAUAAAUUUACCAUUAUAUUAAUUUAUAAUUUACAAAUUUUAAAAGGACUCGUAAGAGCAAAUUAUUACCCGUGCCCGUUUCUAUAAAUUAAAUUUAGACAAUUUUUAAAAAAAUGAACACCCCAACAAUUAACUAUAACUUAAUUCAAAUAUUAAUUGAUAAUAAAUACUAUUUCUGUUAAAUAAAAUGCUAAAAUAGCAUAAUUAAUUACUUGAGUAUAUACUUAUUUUAUUUUUAUUAUAUCUCCUCAGUAUCACAUCACAUGCAGUAAAGUUGCUGAGCAAGUUCAUUUUUUGACUGACCAGCAAAUUAUUAAAAAAAAUUACUCCCCCAUAAAUACUAAGGGUUAGGCAAAAGUGUCUAAACUAUCAAUCAUAUUUUAAAUUAAACUCUAAAUUAUAGAAUGUACUAAUUGAAUAUAUUAAUUGGAUCUUUUCAUCGAUUUAGGUGUUUGGUUCUAUAGUAAGCAUAUUAAGAACAUAUGGGUAUACUAAUCAUAUGGACAAUUUCAGUAUGAUGUGUUAAAAUAAAAAUGUUGGUGCAUAAGUAUACUUAUGUUUACAAUAAGUUAGAUGGAUAAAAAAACUUGAUUGAUAUUAUAUUGAUACUUUGAAGACUCAAUUGAAAUGUUUUGAAAUUUAGAAAUUAGUUUAAAAUUUGAGUUAUAAAUUAAGGAUGUUUGGUACAGUUAACCCAAAUUUUUAAAGAAAAUAUUACUAUUCAAUGCCUAAUUAAAUUAAUAUCAUGAGUUAACUGGAUCGAACAAAAAAAACUAAAAAAUCCAAUUUUUUUAAAAACAACAAAUUUUAUUAUAAAUGUAUUUAUUUUUUUUAAUAAUUUAAUACUUUUUUUUAAAUGAUCACAUUAUAGGUUUUGAUCAUAUCUACUUUUUUUGACACAAUGGCUAGACGUACCCAUAACUCCUCCUCAAUCUAUAAUAGGAUCUGAUCAUAUCAGCUCUUUUUGACACAAUGCCUAGAACUAUCAAUAGUCCCUCCCCAACACGCAAAUAAGAGGAUAAUGCGCUUCAGCGCAUUUGAACUCACAUUUUUCUACAUUGGCAAUAAUAUUCAUGCCAAUCAAGUUAAAACUCAAUCGACAAUAAAUUUUGUAAUUUUAUAAAUAAAUAAUUAAAUUUAUGAUGCUUUGGAGGGGGGGGGGGGUUGGGAUUUUGACGUUGUUUAUAUAAAAUAAGAAUGCCUUUGUCUAGAAGGAACAAGGAUUUUGUCCACUGCUACUGGCAAUAUUUUUAAAUAUAUGACGACCCACUACUUCAAAUUAUGUGAUUCACUUGUAAAUCUAUGAUCGCUGGUAAGAAACAAUUAUAGCAUUGAUAAUGACUAUUUAAUUCUAUGUAUAAUUAACUAUUUAAUCAUAUCAAACAUACUUAUACACAUUAACUAUUUAAUUGCAUAUUAAAUUAGGUUAGAUGUAGGAUUUAGGUUAAAAAUAAAAUUACGUAACAAAUAUAUUUAUAAAAAUUAAAAAAUAAUUUUAAAACGUAAAAGGUUAGACUCUGAUUAAAAUAGUGGAUAGAGAUGUUAAACACCGUAAUAUUUUGGGUUCAAAUAUUUCAUUAUGUGUUUGUAUUUUUCUAUCUUUAUAUGAAUAUAUAUAAAAAAAAUUCCAAUUCUCGGGUCUAAUUUAAUUGAGAAAUUAGGAAAACUCAUUCAUUUUAAAAAAUGAAAAACAUUACCAUGAGAAUAUUUUUACCGUUUUAUAUUUUAUGUCAAAUUUAAAAAAUUGUAUUUUAAUGAGAUCCAAGCUCAAAGUAUAAUGGUUUUGAAUAUCUUUAAUUUUACUAUUUCAGUUAAAGUCUCGUUUGUUUUACAUUAAUUCUUUUUAUAUAGAAUUUUUCCUUAUGUCGUAAAUGUGCGAUAAUCUAAUACUGAAUAAAGAAUAAAAAAUACAUUUAUUUUUUUCUCAUUUUAAAAUUAUUUUAAUAAAUAAAAUUUAAGGGUUAAUAUAUUGAAGAUGUAAAUAUAUAGAGAGGAAAAAAGGAUUAUAUGAACUGUGAUACUAUGUUAUUUGUAUCCAUUUACAAUAAAUUAAUGUUAUUUUAACAUUUUCAUCCUUAAAAAAAAUAAAAUUCAACAUGAUAUGUUGAAAUUUAAGAUGAAAAUGCUAAAAUAAUAUCAAAUUAUUAGAAAAUGAUACAAAUGAUAUGGUAUCUCAGUUUCAUAUUAUCAUUUCUCAUAUAUAGAAAUAUGGACGAAUUUAAAGGAGUAGUUAGGUGCAUUGGUCCUCGAAAAUUGAAAAUUGCUAUGUUGAUCCCUUAAAAUGUUUAAAUUAUAAAUUAAUAUUUAAUCAAAUUGUAUUUUGACCCAAAAAAUCGAUUAAAUCCCUUAAAAAAAAUAAUCAAAUCAUAAAUUAAUACCUGAUAAAAUUAUAUUAUAACUUGUCAAAAAAUUAUAAUUCAAUUCUGGUUUCUAGAUUCACUCCUGUAUCAAUCAAAGUGAGAAGCAAGUGUCUUUUCAUUUUCUCGCAAUGAAGUAGGCCUUGGUAGCUAACAUUGUCUACUUUUUUUACUUAGAUAAUACAAAAAUAAUAUUUAAAUAUCAAAAUAGUAUCCCAAUGCCAUUAUUUACUAAAAUGGCAUGUUAUGAACAAUGUUUAGGGCUGGAGGGUUUGAGGCUGGUAGCACUAGGGGUGUUCAUUCGGUUACUCGACCCGAAAUUGCUAUAAUUGAAUUAACCGACCUUUCAAAAUUUUUAACCGUUAACCGAACCGAAUUUUAAAAAAAAAAUUAACCGAACCGAAAUUUUUUCAGUUUAUAAGGUCGGUUAACCGAAUUAACUGAAAAUUAUGUGUUUUUUUAUUUUUGGUUAAAAAUUACCCGAAUUACCCGAAAAUUACCCAAAAAAAUUCGGUGUUGAGCUUGAGAAAAAAUUGGGUCGGGUUUAAUUUGACCUAUUUUAGGCCCUACCCUGCAAAAUUCGGUUUACCCGAUUUUUUUCGGUUAACCGAUAGGUUUCGAACCGAUUUAACCGUUAACCGAAAAAAUAAAAAAAAAUUAACCGACUCCCGACCGAAUUUUUUCGGUUAACCGACCGAUUAACCGAACUCGGUCGGUUAACCGAAAAAAAUCGGGUUAACCGAAUUAUGCACAGCCCUAGGUAGCACCACCAUUUUUUUUGCUACCCAAUCAUUAAUCUGUUACAAAAAAAUAAGUGUUUUAACGGUGGAGGGUUCGGGUUCAACGACACCGAUAUACAUUACGAGUUAAAUACGAGUAUUUUGGGAAGCAAAUUUUAGUGAGUGGUGACAACUUGGUAAGCGAACACCGAAUGAGUGGUGCCUUCUUGUCAAGUGACACCGACUAUGGAUGUAACCGAUUGUUUCAGUUUUUUCUGACGGCCUAAUGAGAUAUUGUGGGGAAAACUAAGGGGACCUUAUAAUAACCAUGGUCCCCUCAGCAAUGGUGGUGUAAAAAAGAAGAGGGUUUUGGUUGUAAAAAACAAUAACAGAGAGGAGAAAAAGAAGGCGGUAAAAAGAAGAAGAUAGCAGCAAUUUAAGGAGAGAAGAGAAAGAAUAGAGUUUUAGUCAUACAAAAAAAAAAAGGAGUGGAGAAAAGAGAGAAGAGAGAGAAGAGGGUUUUACUUGUUAAGAAAAAGAAAGUAACAGUUGGGAGAAGAGUAGUGUUUAGGGUUUUGAAAGGGGGACAAUAGCCAAAUUCUUUGAUUUUGAAAGGUAAAUUUUCUUUUUAGUAAUUAUUAUUUAUUUCUUUAGUGUUUAUGGUUAUUUAUUAAUUGUUUGAUUUUGUGUGUUUAAGAAGGAGAGGCAACGGCCAAAUUUUUAUUUAAAGGUAAAUUUAUUUUUUGUAAUUAUUUAAAGGUAAAUUUAUUUUUAGUUUUGGAAGUAGUAAUUUAAUUUGGUUUGAAGGUACAUUCGUACAUAUUUUUUGGUGGGCAAUAUUUAGUUGUUUGUUUGAUAAUUUUUAAUAUUUGUUCGGAUUUGUGGUGUUGUGUUAUUUAUUAGUUGGAUUUGUAAUUUUAUUAUUUAUUUGAUUUUAUCAAAAUAAUUCAAAAAAAAAAACCAAAAUGGGUCACUGUACAAAUGAAUUACUGAAACAGGUUGUUUGCUUCAAAUUUGUACGGUGACCCAUUUUGGUAUUUAAUUAUUUUUGGAUUAUUGUGAUAAAAACCCCAAAUAUGUUGUAAAUUAAUUGUCUUCAAGCAGAGAAAUUAUCAUAAUACUUUUAAUUUUUUGAUAAGAAAAUUAAUUUAUACAUGUUACGUUAAAUUGAUUGAAUGCUAAUUAAUUGAACUGAAUUGGUUUUACAAAUUUUUACAGUUCACAUACGUUGAAUAUCUGUUACGUAAUAAAAAAAAACUGUUAUUAGAAUAACAAAUGAAAAAAAUGAGAUGAUUUCUAAAAAAUAAAUGAUCGACUUACAUUAGUGUAUCCCAAAUUACGUUGUUAUUGAUUUGUUUAUAUGGGUAAAAAUAUUAUUAAUUCUUCAAAAAAAUAACAAACGGUACAAAAUUCAUUUUCGUUAUUUGUUCAAGCGAUGAUUAAAUUUUUUAUUUGAAACUGCAGAUGUUUGAAUGAAUUCUUUGAUUACAUGAAUGGAUCACACAUCAGACACGAUUAAUGCGGUGUAACAAAAUUGUUAUUUGUUAAUCAUGAGUCCCUUUAUAAAGUUUCACAUCAUUUUUUUAUUUAAUUGGGAUAUAUUAACUAUUGCAGUAAAUUAAUAUGGUCAGGGCCCGUACCGCGUAUUGAGGGGUCAUGUCAAUGUUGUGGGCUAUCUAUCGGAUGAGUGUCUUAUGCCAUACUUGGAGGCAUCUGGAUUCAGAUUAGUGACAUUGAUCUGCAUGUUUGAUUUGAAAUACAACUUGAAAUACAACUUGAUAUUCACAUUUCAUUUGUCGUGUGGGAAGUGUACUAUUAUUCUGGAAGAUAUUGCACUGCAACUUGAGCUCUCAAUCGACGAUAGUGCGGUCACGGGUGUAAGUACAACAUCCAAACCAACGACCCUUUGCUAUGACUUACUAGGCACUCGUCUAGUGAUGGUGGCAAGAAAUUAUAGUCAAUUUAUGUUUUAAAUCAUUUUUCUUUUUAAUGAUUACGAACUAUAAACAUAUAAUUAAUAAAUACUAUUCAUUCAACAAAUAUAUAAUUAUAGUAAAUUAAUGUUUUAAAACUUUUGACUUAAUUUUUUAACAAACUUUUGAUUUUUUUGAAAACAAUAUUCAUGCCAAAGUGGUGUUUAAAGAUGUAAUAUAGUUUUGUUGUUACUAAAAUAUAAAUAUGAAAAUUCCAUCAUAAACAUAAAAAAUUUAUUACAAGUUUGAACAUGGAGUACAUUAAUUCAGAUUCCACCCGAUCGAGACGAUUGUCCAAUAUGGUAGGUUCAAUGCGGGCAUUUAUUUCAGUUAUGACCAGUUGUUCUGCACACACCACAAAUUUUGGGGUCGAUUUUCUCACUCAUGUCCAUUUCAUUACGGAUCCUGGUAACUUGCAAGCGACCUUUCGACUUCUUAUGGAACCCCUUGUCUGAGACAAGCUCGAAAGUCAGCGGAGACACUUCCCAUGUAGACAAAUCACGCAAAGCGGGAAACUCAUUUCCCUAAAUACACAAUGUGCGCUCGAGAGUGUACACCACAUCAAUAUAUUGUUCAACAUUUGAUAAAGGUGCAAGCAUAAGCUGCAAUGAUAUGCGUACUUGGGUAGCGAAAUGCCUGGAACUUUCUGCAAUUGCACCGUCUGUUUCAAAUAUCAACUCCGUAGGACCUAGGUGGAAUACCGAGUUGAUGACUAAUGGACUCCAUAACUUGAAAAGUUUCUAACUAUUGAGAAUAUAUUUCUACAUUUAUCGAACUCGAUCUCUGAUGGUUCACAUCCAUUGCCUUACCGACCUCCUCGACAAACACAUGUCCCGCAUCCAUUUGGUCUACUUAUUUCAGCCCCAUUUUUGGCAUCAAGGUUGUCAGCAUGUAGAACAUAGUUGAGAAAAUAGAUGAAAUUAGAAGAUGUCGUGUUCGAUUCAACACAGAGUUAACCACCCCUGCCAAGUUGAUGGUCAUAGGCGUACACCCAACGCACCAACUUUCAGUUUCUUAUCUAUUUAAGUUAGACUUUUACUUACAUCAAGGUGGACGAGUCACACACAUAUAGUCUGUUUUAAGUAUGUCACACUAUAAACGUCACAAGUGAAUAAAUCCAUAAAUGGAUUCAGGAUUUAUUCUGUUUGGGUCAUGUCCAAUAUACUGUUAGUUUAGUCAGUCACAUCUAUAUCUCUAUCUUCUAGGAGUCAUCCGCUCCGAUGCCUAAGACAAAGCAUCUCCCCAAUUGGACUUGAUAGACGACAUAUUAGUCUUUCAAUCAGUUUGAUCAUUUCUUAUUAGACUAAAGAUAUAUUUAGGUUCGUCUACUAAUACAAGUUGUCUUUCUGUAUUACGAUUCAACCACAUAAUACCGUUUAGUAUUACUUAAACAUUUAAACAACCAAUGAGCAAUAUUUGCUUCUAUUUUGAUUUUCAUGAAAAAAACUAUGCGAGGACAAUAAUACAAAUUAUAUUAAUGUAAUUCAUGAAUAAUUUUAUAAGUCAAUCUGUUCGGAAAAGGUAUAAGUGUACUUAGAUGAAAAUACUACACUCAGGGCACCAAAUCUAACAUACUAUUGAAGGGGCUAUUUGUGAUUGGGUUAGGAAGAUCUUUGAAGGAAACACUAUAGAUUCGGAGUUAAAUAAUACUCUUAUUGUUCUAAUUCUUAAAGUUCCUAAUUCGAAAAAUUUUACGCAGUUCCGUCUAAUCAGUCUGUGCUCCUUUUUAUACAAGCUAGUUAUGAAGGUGAUAGUGAAUCGAUUUGAGAUUAUUUUUCCUAAGAUCAUAGGCCAAGAGCAAGCGGGGUUUAUUGUAGGUAAAAAUAUUAUUGACAAUGUUGCCAUAGUACAACAAGUGUUGCAUUCCAUGAAAAGUAAGAGUACAAUUUAGUGGAGAACUAUUAAGAUAGAUUUAGAGAAAGCCUAUGAUAGGGUGCAUUGGGAUUUUGUGGAAGCAUCUCUUAAAGUGGCAGCUAUUCCUAACUUUCUAAUAAAGGUUAUUAUGUCAGCUAUCUCGACGUCCAUUAUGCAGGUUUUAUGGAACAAAGUUACGACCCCUAAGUUCAAGCCUGUUAGAGGAAUUCGUUAGGGCUGUCCUUUAUCUCUAUAUCUUUUUUGUGUUGUGCAUGGAAUGGUUGGGCCAUUGGUUUCAUUCGACUAUCUCAUUUGGGGAAUGGAGUCUUAUUCAGUUAUCUCGAAAGAGGGCCUUCCCUUUCGCAUUUAUUUUUUGCAGAUGACUUAGUGAUUUUUACCAAAGCGAACUUGUAGCAUAACAAAAUUCUUAAGGACUUCCUUGAGUGAUUCUGUGAGUUUUCCAGGCACAAGGUUAAUGUUUGGAAGAUCAAUAUGUUUUUUUCUACUAGAGUCAAUGGGGACUUAGUGAGGAAGAUUAGUGAUAUACUCGGAUUCCAACACGUUUAAGAUCUUGGUCAUUAUUUAGGAGUUUCCUUUCACCAAAGAAUUACCAAAGGUUCGUUGAGUUUUUUGGUAGAAAAAGUUCGGAAGAAGCUUUCUAGCUGGGAAGCUAAGGAACUCUCAUUUGUGGGAAGGGUAACUUUAGCAUAUACAGUUUUACUUUCAAUCCUAAGUUAUCUCAUGCAAUUCUUAAUGGUCUCGAAAGGCGUCUAUAACAAAAUUGAAGAAAUGGUGCGGCAAUUCAUUUGGGGAUCUUCUGGUGGUAAAAGGAAAAUGACAUUAGUGAGGUGGGAUGUUAUUUGUCAGCCUAAAUCGCGUGGAGGUUUUGGGAUACGACAUCUUAGCGAUCAAAACUUCACUUUUAUGAUGAGGCUUGGUUUUAAGAUUGUCACCAAAACUGAUGCUUUAUGGGUUUGGGUCCUUAGAGCGAAGUAUGGGAUAAAUGACAAAUUGUCGAAAUGUAUUACAUGGAGUAGAAGCUUUUUUUAUGUGGAAAUCCAUUUCUAAAGCACGACCUUUACUGUGUGAUAAUUUGAUAUGGUCAGUGGUUGAUGUAAAUAACGUUCAUUAUUGGAAGGAUUCUUAGGUCCCUAAUAUGAGACCAUUAAGAAAACAUGUUUCUGCUUAUGCAAAUGUUGUUUCAGACUGUAAGUUGAGUGAAAUGGUUACGAAAAAUGGCACAUGGUGCCUCGAUCUAUUUCGAGUUUGGUUGACAGAAAAUGUUAUCCAACAUAUCGUUAGCAUUCCCCUACCAAUGUCUUUUUGUAGGACCAGAUUUGAUCUUUUUGUCUCGUUCUGCAAUAGUUGCCUUCUUUGUUAAAAGUGCAUAUUGGAUAUUGAAAUAGGGGUCUUGGAAUCCCAGAGAUGCAGUUUGGAAUAUAGUGUGGAAAUUCCCUAGGACUCAGAGAGUUAGGCAUUUCAUUUGGAUAGUUUUGAAACAGAGACUCCUAACCAAUGUCGAGAAAGUUCAAAGGAGGAUUGGUCAGGAUGAGUCAUGCCUUCUUUGUGGACAUAGAUAUGAGGAUGCAUUACAUGUGCUUAGGGAUUGCCCGGUUGCAAAGGAUGUUUGGCACCAAGUUUUUCCACUAAGUCAACAUGGGGUUUUCUUCUCUAGCAAUUUAACAGAAUGGCUGAUUUUAAAUUUGCAUGAUCACUCAAAUCACAACACGAGGGAUCCGAGUUGGGUCUAUCUAUUCGAGUUAUUAGUGUGGCAUAUUUGGAAAAAUAGAAAUUCUUUUAUCUUCCAAGGUAUAUCCAUGAAUCCAAAUGAGAUUAUUAAGGUCUCAUAUAGCUAAGCUAAACAAUAUAUUUUAGUACAUAGGGAUGUGUCGAGGUUGGGAUUAGAACCCUAUUUUGAGCAUUCAUUUCCAAGUAUGUGUUUUUUUUCUCAAUACUAAAGGUGUCGUUCAGGCGAACACUGAUUUAUAUGUUGCAAGAGGUGGUGUGGUUUGGGAUGAAAUGGGGAAGUGGAUAUUGGGAUAUAAUCAGUUCUUGGAAAAGUGUUCAGUCUUUGUUGCCUAGCUAUGAGGCAUUUUGGAUGGUUUACUUCUACUUCAGAAGUAAAGGCAUGAUAGGGUCAUCAUCCAAUUUGAUAAUCUUGAUGUUGUUAAAGCUAUUUGCGACCGUCAGUUAGCUGGGGCAAGUAUAUCACUUGUUAGGAGAAUCCAACAUAUUUUAUCCCAUGAUGACAAAUGGUUCAUGCGACAUACCUUUAAGAAAAAUAAUCAGGUAGCGAAUGCAUUAACUAAAAUGGCUUUUGCGAAUGAUGAAGAUUUGUGUUUAUUUGAUGUCCUUCCUAUAAAGAUUCAAGUAAUUUUAAAAGAGGAUAGAGUGAGAGGUAAUUUGGCUCCAGUUAUUAUUUUAGUUUUUUUACACCAAAAAAACACACCUGUUACCUCUCUUAUAUUAACUAAUAAUUAAUAAAAAUAUUUCAAAGUCAAUUCUAAUUAAAUUUGUGCGACUUGAUUCACAUACACCAAAUUCAAUUAGAGCUAUAGAUUAAUAAAAAUCUCAUAUGGUCGCGUAACCAAUUUGUUAAGUUUUUAAAUGGACAAGAAUUAAAAUGUCCUUUUCAAUAAUAAAAGGAUUAAAAUGAACAUUUGGUAUACUAUAAGGACUCGUAUUGUAUUUUAACCUCAUUUUUUGAGUAAUAGAUGGUAUUAUAAAAAAAUCAAAUUAUAACAAAUUAAAUAAUACCGAAACUAUACUUUAACCCCCAAAAAACAAUAUCUUCAAUAUAUAUUCACACACAAUUUUUCUUUUAAGAAAUAUGACAUAUUCUCAAGAGAAAAUACAUAUGUUUAAACUUUAGAGACAAUAUUGUUAGAAAAAAUAAAACAAAUACGAACAUAAAUCAUGAAAUAAUCAUAAAAAAUAUCAAAAAAUAAGAGUAAAUCUGGCAAAUUUAGAUAUUAAAAUAUUGGGAUUAGUUUUAUUCAAGUUGAAAUUCAACUUCUUUUGAAUUUAAAUUAUUUGGAGUUAAGGUAAUGUUUUAUUAAAUUCAUUUGGGUAGGUUAGUUCAUUAUAUAAGGUAGAAUUAUUAUCUUUUUAUGUUGAAAUAAAAUUAUAUCAAAUUUAAAUAUAUAUUACUUAAAUAGUCCAACAUAAGUAAAAUCUUCAAUUAAAUUUAUUUGUGAGAUAUUUUGAAAUAAACAAAAUACUUUCUCCGUAGCAAUGUAAAUAAUAACAUUUUAAUUUACUUGAAUUUAAUAUAAAAUUCCAACAAUUUUUACAAUUAAAUUUAUAUUUUUAAACUUGAAAAAGUAAAAAAUAGAUAAUUAAAAUUUUAAAAAUAGAAAUAAGGAGACCAAAUUUUAAAUAUAUGAAGAUUACAAGGACUUAUAUAAUAUUUUUAAUUUUUUUUAAUUAACUCUAUUUCUUUCUCUCUCUUGACACCAUACCACACUAUAACUAUAGGGAAUUAGGAAAAGCAAAAAUUCUGUAUUUAGCUCCUUGAAAAUUCGCUACGUUUUCUCCCAUAUUAUAUGCUCUGCUUUGCUCGCCAGUUCCCGGUUGCUCCAUGAAAGAACCUUCCCUCUCCCUUUAUCCUCUCUAAACUUCAUUUCAAUUCAACCCUUUUUUUCUCUCUUGUUUUUUCAUUACUAAAUCAACUAAGGAACCUCUUUUUUUGGGUUCUUUUUGAAAAGCAAAACGCCCGAGCAUUAAUGGAGAAAAAGCAAGGUUUUUUCUCAGCUCUCAAAGAGGAAGUAAUUCGUGGGCUUUCACCUUCCCGCUCGAGGACCAACAGCCCCGGAAGAGCCCGGUCACCCAUUGCGAUUCUGUUGCGGAGAAAGAAAAGCGGCCACAACAACUACGGAGGCGCUUACCUGGCGCAACCGGAGCCCUUGAUCGCGAGGUACGGUGUCGGGGAAGCGUUAACUCCGCUCAUGGAAGGUCCCGACCAGGACGGAGGUGAAACCGGGGACUCCAAGAGGCUUGGGUCGGGGCUAGGACAAUGGGUUAUGGGACAGUUAUCGAGGACUCCAUCCAUGGCUUCCUUGAGUUGCAAAAGGUCCGAUCUAAGGCUGUUGCUGGGGGUCAUGGGUGCACCUUUGGCUCCUGUUCAAGUUUGCUCCACUGACCCUUUGCCUCACUUGAGCAUCAAAGACACUCCCAUUGUUAGUCCCCUUCCGCCCCCCCCCCCCCCCGGUCUUCUUUAGCUUAUAAUAGACUUAAAAAAGAACAAAUGAACUUCUGGGUGUUUUUUUUUCUGCUUAUGCUGGUUUGAAUGGUGGCUAAAGUAUUUAUCAGUUAUAGUAUUUUAUUUGUAAUGUUCUUGUAUUUUUCUUUAAGCUUCUUCUAUGGUCUGUGGAUCCAUUUUAUUAAAUCAUGGUUUUCAUUCAAACUGUGGUUAGCAAGAAACUUGAGUAAAAACUCCAUUUCAUUGCGGUAUGGUGCAGGAAACUUCCACUGCUCAGUACAUAUUGCAGCAGUAUACAGCUGCUUCCGGUGGUUUGAAGCUGCAAAACUCUGUUCGGAAUGCGUAUGCAAUGGGAAAACUGAAAAUGGUAGCUUGUGAAUACGAAACUGCUGCGAAGACGGUUAAGAACCCAUAUGGCUCCAGGGGUGCGGAGUCCGGUGGGUUUGUGCUCUGGCAAAUGAAUCCGGACAUGUGGUAUGUUGAACUUGCGGUUGGGGGCAGCAAGGUUCAUGCUGGCUGUAAUGGGAAGCUUGUGUGGAGGCACACACCUUGGCUUGGUGCUCGCACUGCAAAGGGGCCUGUUAGACCCUUGCGUCGUGCACUUCAGGUGAGGUCUCCUAUGCUUAUCAGCAGCUGAACAUUGGGUCUUCGAUUAUACUUCUAGCAUUACUGGUUUUCUGAUUCUCUCUUUGUGCUUCACUAUUCCUAAUUCAGGGUCUUGAUCCGAGAACUACAGCUAGUAUGUUUUCUGAUGCAAAAUGUAUAGGAGAGAAGACAAUUAAUGGUGAGGAUUGCUUCAUCCUCAAGCUCUGUACCGACCCCCAGACAUUGAAGGCAAGGAGUGAAGGCCCUGCGGAGAUCAUUAGGCAUGUCUUAUUUGGCUACUUUAGUCAGAAGACCGGGCUUCUGGUUCACAUGGAGGAUUCACUCUUGACUCGUAUUCAAUCCAACGGUGGGGAUACUGUUUAUUGGGAAACCACAAUCAAUUCAUAUCUUCAGGAUUACCGUCCCGUCGAAGGUAUCAUGAUAGCACAUUCUGGCCGUUCUGUCAUUACACUUUUCAGGUUCGGGGAAGCUGCAAUGAGCCAUACAAAAACAAGGAUGGAAGAAGCUUGGACGAUCGAGGAGGUUGCCUUUAACAUACCAGGCCUUUCUGUUGAUUGUUUUAUUCCUCCAGGUGAUUUGAAAUCUGGAUCCAUCAGUGAAACCUAUGAGCUACCUCAGGACGAAACAGGGAAGAGUGGGAUCGCCUUAUCAGCAUAUCAUGCCAAAGUUGCUGCACUCGAGAAGGCACAGGAUAAUUGGCUGACAGUAUGAUUUGCAGGAUACAAGUCUGAAGAAGUGUAGAAUUCACAACUUAGAAAGUGCUCAAUUUGGUAGCUAGUUCAGUUGACUAACCCAUUAGAAAUUAAAAAAGAAGGUAGAAGUCAAUUUUUGGACUUCGGUUUUAUGCCUCUAUUAAUCUGUAAAUAGAGCAUAAUGGUUCAUAUCGGGACCUCUAUGGAUCUUUAUACUCUCAAUGCAGAAUCCAACUAUGGAGAGUUGGAGCUCAGUUUUUCCAAUUAGGGAUAGAGCUAAUGGAGGUUGGUUUUUAGUUUACCCGGCUUUGAUGGUAAGUAGCAAAGCUACCCCAUCAACCCUUUUAUUUUUUCUAUAGUUACACUAACUAUAUAUAGUAUGGCAGCAUAAAGGAUGCUGCCAGUUUAACAGUAAUGUCUAGUUUUUUUUUUUUUGAUGUUACAAAUUCUGGAUUUGUGAUUCAAAAUGUGAUGAUUUGGGUUGAAAGUUGUUUGGGGGGUUUGAGAGAAGGGAAAGAGAUUUUGCCAUUUUUGUGGAAAUGGUGAUAAAUAGGCAUAAUGGUAAAUGAGAUGGAACUAACUAUAUUUCUUACCUUCUGAAAGUUAUUCAAUGCUUUUGAUGAAUAUACAGUGAUCCCCAUAUUUCCUUCAUUCUUUUCUAAGUUUUAAUAUGUGACUUGUGAAUGCCCAGAUUAUCUUUGUACUACAAGUGACGACACUCGAACCCUAAUGCUGUUGUUAGGGUGUUAAUAAGAACUUUGGUUGAACCACCAUAUCUUUAAGAAUAUACUUAAUCUUCCUACAUCAAGUAGGCAGCAAUAUCUAAGGUUAUCUUUGACCCAUCACUGCCAUUGGAACCCUUUAAGGCUUGAGUGUGUCCCCUUGGUGGGGUGUCCAAAGCUUUUUUUAGUCAGACAAGCCAACAUAUUUUUGAAGCAAUGCAAAGCCCCACCUUUGACCACAGGUGUAAUGUGGGGUUAGGUUGGGUCAGUGGUGUGAAGUUGUGGUAGCAUCGUUCAAAGCUAAAAAAGCUAAGCACGAGAUGAAAGUUCCUCAAAACCCCCAUGUGAUUCUUCAUUCUUCUUUUGCUUUUGCUUUGGUUCCUUUGCUUAACUGUUUUAGCAGAUCUUUUUACCUGCUUUUGCCAACUUAUUUAUUUAUUUAUUUCGGUCUUUCUUCAUGUUUACUCUCUAAGAUAUAGGUGCUGAGGGUGGGGAAAGUUCCAACUCAUCCCAUGUUUUCUGAAAAGUCAAUCUCUCUUUCUUUUACUCCAUUUUCUUUUUAAGGAGCCAUAGAGGACUUCUCUCUAUAUGUAAAAUCAAGUCAUAUAAAAUUUGGGCAUAUUUUAAUAAAUGCCUUAUAAUAUAUUUUUACUAAAAUGUUUUUCUUUUAAUUUUAUAGAUAUUAUAUCUAUUUUGAUUCAAUUUUAUCAUUAUAGAUGGCUUGAGGAGUUUUUUUUACUUUACCGAUGGUGUACAAGACAAUAAUUCAAAAUAAUAAAUAUAAAAUAAGAAAAAAAUACUAUAUAUGUAUUUGUAUUAAGAGUUUGAUUUUAUUUUGUCUCUCUACUUAAAAAAUUGGUAAAUUAGUCCUGUAUGUUAGAUUAAAGAGCAGGACCAACUUGCUCUUUGAUCUAAUGUACAAGAAUUAAUUUAUCUAUUUUUUGAGUAGAGGGAGCAAAAUACAAUGUGACUCCUAGUAUAAGAGUCUUUAUGGCACUUCUAUCAUAUAAAACAUUACGAUAUUAUGUAAAAUAUAGAGUUGAGUUGAGAUUUUUUUUUUCAAGAAGUUGGAGGCCACGUGGAUUGAAGAAAUCAUUUUGGGCUCGGAAUUGGAUGUUAUUAAUUUUGAGUUUAACUUGUUUAAUUGUCGAUUUAGUUUUAAUUUGGUUGACAUCGAUAUUUUUAUCAAUGUGGGAGGACGUGGAUUCAAGUGCGUUGUAACGCAUUCAUCCUCUUUUUUGAGAAUCAGGAAGGGGUCGUGAAUAAUUAUAAGCGACUUGAUUAAAUUCAAAAUUAAAGUACUUUAAUGAUUGGCUGGUUUAAUUUCAGAUUAUUAACUAUAAAAAUGGGUUAAAUUUACAUUAAAGAUUUUGGUUAAGCUGCAAUUGAAUAAAUAUUACGUUGUUUGUGAGGUUUUAUCCCGUGAAUAAUUUACUAUAAAUCAAUUCUUAUGUUUGUGAGGCUUUGUUGAAUGAGUAGUUUAUUAUAAAUCAACUCUUACAAAAUAAGUCCAAUUCACUCACCAACCCUUUUCCCUUAAAAACUUAAUUCACAAAACAAGUUACUUACAAUGAAUUUGUACUAGAAUAAUUUCUUGACUUCAACAAAAUAGAUUCUCUCUUAAUCUCAAGUAUUCUGGUGUUUAAUGGCUUGCAAAAGUACAAUUAGGAUGUUCAAAUUUUGGUUAAAAUCGAAUUAACCGACCGAAAUCGAACUAAUUCGAUUAAUCUAUCAGUUAACCAAUCUAAUUCGAUCGGAGGGCGGUUAAUGGUUUCUUGAAAGUUCGGUUAUCGGUUAAUUCAGGUUGAAAUUGGGUAAUUAACCGAAUUAACCGAACUUUUAAAAAACCAAUAUUAUAUAUUACCAUUUCGGUUAAUUUUGGUUAAUUAAGUUAAUUUUAAUCUAGUUAAUUCGGUCAAAUGAACAUUAUUAAUUUACUUUUUGAUAUGUUUUAUACUUGUUUUAACAAAAAAACAAAAACAUAAAAAUUUCAGUUAAUUCGGUUAACCGAAAUAAUUUGGUUUGGUUAAUUUAUUUUGAAAAAAUUUUGGUUCGGUUAACGGUUAAGGGUUUAAAAAUUUCGGUUAAUUCGAUUAAUGCUAGUUUGGUUUGAUUAACUGAUUGAACACUCCUAAGUACAAUCAAUGUAGAGCUCUCUCUUUUUUUCUCUCUUCAAAAAUAGUCUUCAAUAAAGAAAAAAGUGGUAGAUAUAUUCUCAAUAUAAACUUCUUUGAAAAUAAAAUCUCUUCGAUUAUGAAAAUUUCGAUCACAUUGAAAGUCUUGAUAAAGUCCUUACUUUGACAUGAUUCUUGUACGAUUUGCCUUCACUAAUGCUCUGCCAGAAAAAUCUUCCAAGAUGCUCAAUUAAAAACCCCAAUAGUUUUGAUCAAAAGAUGUCAACCAAUAUGAUAAGUUACAAUUGUCUACCAAAUGCACGUUAAAUUGCAACUGGAGUUGCAUCUGACAUUUAUAACUAGCACUAACAAAUUAAUUGAGUGUAAAUCUUUUGAUUGCCUUCACUAUGUGUAUACUCAAACAUAUAUGUUGAACAUACAUCCAAUAAUAACAAAAAUAACCAACAAGCUAUUGGUUUAGUAAUAACUUGCAUGUGGGUUCAUGUGUUGGCAUGCAUUUAGGGCUAAAAAAAGGAAAAUAAUAUAUACUUUAACAAUUUUUAAGGUAUCUACUAAUUAUUUCAUUUAAUUUUUUAUAACCUUUUAUUUGUGUAGAGGGUUCUUUAGUAGAGAGAGGAGGUGUUGCAAGCAAGUAAAUAGAAUGUAUCAAGAGUAGCUAAAGAGGAAAACUAGAGCAAAUCUUAUAAAUUGAGCGUAGUAAUAGGUGGGGGCUUGUAAGGUGGAAAAAGGUUACACGUGGCUUAGAAUAAGACUAAGUAUGAGAAUAGUUUAAAAGAGUCUUAGAGAUAGUUUUGGGAGUUAGAAUGCUAAAAUUGUUAAAAAGUCCUUUCACAAGUUGCAAAAGGCUUCUAUUUAUAAUGUCCAAAAACAAGAGUUACAAAUUUAAGUAUUAAAUAGGAGUAAUGACAAAUAUUGUAAGUUACAAAGGCAUUAAUAUCCUUUUAAUAAUAAAUAGUUUAGGUUAACCAUGAAGGGUAAAUAGUGAAUAAGAAUUCACUAUGUUUCUGAAAGAAAAGGGAGAAGCACACAAUGUUAUAUGAAAAAGUUAAGAGGAAACCAUUUAACUACCUCCAUAUUUAAUACACCAAGUCAAUCUCUUCAGAACAUCCCGAGAAUCUUGCCUUAUUUUGAGGUUAUUUUCACUUCUUGUGCUUUUGUGAAGUAAUACCUUGUGAAACAUUUUAUGUAGAACAUCACUUGAAAUGCAAGCUAUUCUUAAUGAAGAAUUCUUCUUGAACGAGAGUUGUUCCUGAAUAAGGGUUAUUUUUAUUUAUUCCAAACAUGAAUUGUUCUCAACAUAGCCACUCUUAGUAGUGGUUGUUUCAAACAAGAAUUGUUUUGCAAUGAUGCUUUUCUUUAAAGAGAUUGUUUUGAAUAAUGACUCAUAUUUAAAAAAAACUCACAAUUGUUCUAAAUAGAAAUUGUUUUGAAUUGUGGUUGUUUUGAAUUAUGGAUAUUCUAAACAAAAGUUGUUUUGAACAUUAGUUGUUCCCAAAUAACAACUACACUCACAGCUAUUUUAAACUAGAGCCUUAUUCUGAACAUAGUCGCUCUGAACUAGCUAUUCUCAGCGACGAUUGUUUUGAACAACAAUUACUCUAAACAAGAAUUGUUCUUCCGGAAAAAGAAUUAAGUGAAACAAUAUCAUUACUUAUUCAUAGUUAACCUUUUUAUUAUCACCUUUGGGAGUGCAAUUCCUUAAAACAGAACCUUAUUAUCUUUGAAAAGAGAUAAAAGAUUAGUAGUAAAACUAGUACCUACAUUUUUUUGUUGUAAUCAAAGUAUCUAUCGUCCACGGCAAUGACUAAUCCUCUCACCAUGGGUGCUCUCCGAAAAAUAAAUGAUUAGUCAUAAAAUAUGCUCUAUUCCCAUGAGCAGAGAUCGAAGCCCCAACCAUAUAAUAAAUAAUGAGAUGAGCAAUCACCAUACUACUCCUCAUAAUUAAAACUAGUAUCUACAUUUUAUCUAUCUUAUGGUUUCUUUUUGUGUUUUUUCCCAUCUUCAUAAGUUGCAGCAGGAUCUUUAGGGAGUGUUGUUAAACUGGUGGACAUUGUUGAGCACUUCAAAAAUACAUGUGCACAAUACACAAUAUAAUAUGCAAUAAAAGUUAGCAAUGUCAAUUCAUAUUAGAGUGUCGGCAAAGGAAAUUUGGACGUGAAAGUGGUAAAAACAUAGAUAGAUAUUUAUGAGAGUGAAGGGGAAAAAAAGACCAUAUUAAUGACAGUGCAUGGUGGAGCAAUGGAGCAAGAGGGUAUCUCAGUUGACUUCAACGUACAUUGCUUUCAAAGGGGGGAAAGGGGAAACUUAAAUUUUUUUUUUUUGCUAAAAAUUUAUUGAAGAUGGUUAAGAAAAGGACAAUACGAGGGACUUGUACACGAUUGAUAAAAUCUAAUUGUUGCAACAUUCAUAAUAAUUUGUUUUGGGUAAGAGGUGAGAGACUCUAUUACCUAUCCAUAAGUUGGGUUAUUGGUUUAAGUUUGAAGGUUACUCGAAAUACGAAAGGUUUGGACAAAAGUGCGAUACCUACAAAAUGAGUUUCGGCAAGCUCGACCCACCCAUUCUAUACUUCUGUAAUAUAUUUUUAUUUUAUGUAUAUAUUAUGUAAUUUAUACCACAUAAAAUUAUAUAUAUACAUAUGAUAAUACAAUACUAGGUAACAUUAUAACAAAGAUGUCUAAAUUUAAAUUUUUAAUAAAAAACCAUAUUAAAUAUUAAAUAUUAAAUUAAAAAUAAUAUGAGUGUGUCUAAAAUGGACUUAGAUUAACUAUUUAUAAAUCUGGGUAAAUUUGAAUUAAAUUUUAGACACAUAUUUUAGAUCAGAUCGAGUCAAGCUUGGACAAAUAUAAAGUGUGCUAAUAUUAUAAAUAUACUUAGACCCACCCAUUAACGUCUCUAACCUUUACUAAUUGAAGUUUGGGAAACUAUUUGUAAUAGAGUUGAAUUUUUUAUAUUUCACAAGUAUGCAGGCGAGGUUUUGGGUUGAUGGCAUGCAUGGUUGAAGGUUUGGAAAUUUUAAAAUAUCAAGAUUGAGUCUCAAUUUAUGUAAAUCAUGUUUAGAUUUGUUUUGAAUUAGAUUCGAAUAUAUUUUUGUUAUCAAUUUAUUUAUGCAUUGUAAUGAUUGAUUUUGAUUAUAAUGAUAUAAACGUAUAAAUUGUAAAUAUAAAUAUAACUUUUAAGAUUAUAUAUAUUUAACUAAUUUUCUUUCAUGUACAAUGUACAAAUUAAUUAUAUGUAUUAAUUUAAUUGCAUUACAUUAAUUAUUUACAAAGUUUUGAUAUUUUUUAGUAUUAAGAGUUUUUUUAAAUUUAUGUCCAUCACGUUGCAUAUUGAGAAGUUACCACAUAUUAACACAAACUAACGAUGUUUAUGCGAAGAUACUCACUUGAAUAUAUAUGCACAUAUACAAAUAUAUAUUGUAAUGAUUGAUUCUGAUCGCAAUGAUAUAUGCGCAUAUUUUGUAAAUAUAAUUUGGAAGUGAAGUAUAGAUGGAUAUUUAGGAGAGUGAAGGAAGAAAAAACCCAUAUUAAUGGCAGUGCAUGGUGGAGCAAUGGAGCAAGAUAGUAUCUCAGUUGACUUCAACAUGCAUUGCUUUCAAUGAGGGAAAAGAGGGAAACUUAAUUUCUUUUUCUGCUACAAAUUUAUUGGAGAAAGAUGGUUAAUAAAAGGGACAAUAAGAGGGACUAGGACCAGAUUGAUAAAAUCUAGUUGUUGCAACAUUCAUAAUAAUUUCUUUUUGGGGAGACACCAUGGUUGAUUGAAAUGUGGGAAAUUAUUUGUAAUAGUGUUGAAGUUUUUAAUUUUCACAAGUAUGUUAAUGAGGUUUUGGUUAGAUGGCAUGGUCGAGGUUUUGAUAAUUUAAAAAUCUCAAAUUUGAAUCUCUCAUUGUAUAAAUUAUGUUUGAAAUUUUAGUUUAAAUUUGUUUUCCACAUUUGAAUAUGUUUCGAUUAUCAAUUUAUUUAUGCAAUGUAAUUAUUGAAAUAUUGAUCGAAAUUCGAUUUUAGCUCGAUUGAGUAUAUAAUUAUAAAAGCUUCUAACUUGUUUUAAAGUAAAAUUAAAUUAUUUGUAAGGACAACUCCCUCAUAGACAAUCAUGGGGCUUUAGAUGGGCCUAAUACACAUCAACUUAUUGAACCCACAUCACUCAAUAACUUGGCCUAUGCAUAUGAUUCAAAAUAAUAGUAUUGUUGUUGGGUCCCAAACCAAAUAAAGCUAAAAUUAUGUUGCCUAAAUUAAAUAACUCGUACAAAAUCAUAGAUCAUUAUAGAAAAAAUGUGGAGUAUGCCUCGCAUUUCGGUCAAAUUAAAACACAAACAGAGAGCAACGCCGUGAUAAGGAUCCUUGGAUGUCGCGACAAUGAAAUAGGGGAGAAGCAGAAAUGACGUUGCGACGACACAAUAGGGGACGUUGCAAUGUGGCAACGUGUCAUGCAAUUUUCUUGAUUUUCUUCUUCCAGUCAAAUUCUGAUUAUUUGUUCUAGUCGAACUCUGAUUAGUAUAGAUUAUUUUAAGAUUAUUUGAUUUACGAAUUUAGCCUAUAAAUAGGCCCUAUUUUCUACCCUAGAAAGAUUAACCCAUAACACAUUUAAGUAUUAACUUUUACAAGCUUUCUGAGAAUUUUGUAUUUAAGUUUUGAGGGUUUUUAUUUUCAGGUUUCGGGGUUUAGUUUUUAUCUCCAUAUUUAUACUCUUCUUUUUUUGUCGAUUUAGUGAAUUAUCUUUGCCCGUAGUUUUUACCCUCUUUGGAGUUGUUUUUCCACAAAAUUUGUGUGUUCGAUCUUUUCAAUUUCUUCGUUAGUUUUCUUGUUCAUUGCUUACACAGGUUUAUCCCCAACAGAAGAGGUCAUUGUCAUCAUUUAAAGUAGAAUCACAACUUAACAUAACUUAAACUUGAUAAACAACUCAAAAAUAGAAAUUUGAUUUCAUAAAUUUGAUAUUCCAAGCUUGACACUAAAUAAUCAAUGCCUACAAAAAUACUUAAAAACAAAAAAAAAGAUAAUCAAUCUCUCUUCAUCUCACAAGACACAAAAUUUUCAAAACAAAAUUAAAGAACUGCUACAAGAUCUGGUCAAAACAUCAAGUAAUGAUCUGAUCAAAAUUCCAUCAAAGAAUAUUAUUUACAAUUUCAUUAUGUUACAGCCAAAAUGUCUCUAAACAUUAAAAAUUGGAGAGAAUGGUAACCAAACUCAAAACAAGAUCCAAAGAAGAAAGUUGAAGAAUAAAAGAGAUGUUGUCACUAACCCUCUUAAAUCGCUUUAAGCCAAUCAAUUAUUACAUUUAGCUUUAACUACCCAAGUUAUUCAACACAUUUAUUUUGAUAGUAAUAAUACUCAUAAGGACUUUAAAAUAAAGUUUUAAUCAUUUAAUUUCAAUUACUUUAUUUUCAUCAUGUGAUAGACAUUAUAGCCAUGCCAUUGCCAACAACAUCCCCAUAGUACCAUGGUCACAUCUCCCCAUUGCCCACCCAUACAUUCAUGGUUCCAUUUUAACUACCCUUUCCUUGACAUCUAUACAACUAUAUAUUAAAGGCACUAAAGCUUUUCAAUUCUAAUUUCUUUUACUUUUUAGAUUAUAAGAAUGGGUAAUUUUCAAUAUGAUCCCUAUAUUUUAUUUAAAUUUGAGAUUUAAUCUAUAUACUUUAAUUUUGACAUAAUUUAAUAUCUCAAUUUUUAUAAUGCCAUUAGUUAGUCUAAAUAUUUUAUUCUAAUUAAAAUGAUUAAUAUAUGAAUUUUUAAGAAUUGUUAGCGCCAUUAAUUUUUUUAUUGAAUUUAUGAUCAUUACAAUGUUAUUUUUUAGUUACAUGGAUACCAAGUUUAUUUUAUUUUUUUCAAAAUACCUUACCAACACAAAAGAAUUUUAACAGUGUUAACAAAUGGACCUAAAUUUUUAAAUUUGAAAAGCAGAGAAACUAAAUUCCUAAAAAUAAGAAAACACAAAUUAAAUUCCAAAUAUACGAAGAGUAAAAAAAGUUUGAACAAAUUGUAACCUUUAAAUUUUUACACUAUAAUUUAAUUAAAAAAUAAAUAAUUUAAUUGGACCCUUUGGACAAUCGUUUGAGCAUACUUUCAAAAUUGCUCAAGAUUAAAUGUUGACAUUUUGACUUGGAUCUCCAUAAUUGUUUUCUUCAUAAGUAAAUAAAUGGUAGUCGAAUUUGGAUGAUUGAAGGAACUAUAAGAUCAACAUGCCUUAUCCAUUAAGGCUUACCCUCAUCCUUAUUCUUUAAACCUUAUCUUGUGAAUUAUGCUGAUGAAUUUACUUAUAUAAGAUUGUAUUUUGAGAUAAAUUUUGGAGGUUUUUAUCCCGAUUUAUUAUGCAUUAAAUUGGUGAUUUUAUCUCCACAAAAUCUGCUAAGAGGAGACUUUUGUACUAGCUUAUAAAUAGACUGUUGAUUGACUUCCUCAUUGAGUUAUUUGGGUGUAUUUAGACCUUGUUCUUUUGUACUAGCUAGCAUAUAAAUAGAGUGUUGAUCAAAUUCCCUGUUUAAUAUUGCAUGUAAUAUGAGGUAUUUGGGGAGAGUAAUUUGUAACAAUAUAAAUUCAACUUUGCAGCUACAAUUAUUAUUACGAGAUGUUAGAUUGGACUUUUGCUAAUAGUUAUAUCAAAUUAACUGUUGAAUAAAAUCAUUCUUUGAAUGAGGCUUGCAAAUAGGAUUUGUGAAUCCAUAUUGAUUCUUUAUUUACUUAUCUCUUUGUCUUACAUUUUGAAUUUGUGUUUAUUUCUUUCUUUACUUUGCUUCUUGUUUGAUGUGUUUAAAAGGUUCUCUCCGAACUUCUAUUCAAUCAUCUAUUUGAAUAUCGAAUUAAAUGUGUAAUGAUAAAAAAAAAAAAGUAAAGGAAAUUUUUUAAAAAAAAUCAUGAGCGAAGGAAGUAGGCAGCCAUCAACAUAAAAUCCCAUACAAAAAGAAACAGUAAAACUCCCUCCAAUACAAAUGAAAAAUAUAAAAGCUCCCCUCAAAAAAAAUCUCCCAAAGAAUACAAAUAUAUAUAAAUAAAUGUAAGCUCAAAUAUGCAUAGUAAAAAGCCCCAUCAAAGAGACUUAAGCCAGUAACAAUAUAUAAUGGAAAUUAAAACACUGAAAACAAAAACCAUAGCUAAAGACACAAAUGGUGAAGAAAAGACUUCAUGGUUUAAAGCAUUAAAGUGAGGAUACCCCAUCCAAUCACCAAGCUCCACACCAUCUUUCUUAUGGACCAUGUUUUCUCUACUCCACUCUGCAAUAAUCAAAUAACAUCUUGUAUUCAUAUUUUUUUCCCACUAUUAUAAUAAUUGGAUACGCAAAAGAAUAAUAGCUUCAUCCAUUGACAACUAAACAUGCUUUUGGAUAAAAAUAUAUUUAGAUUUGAAAAAAUGAAUUUAAACUAUAAUAUUAAAAGAUAUAUUUUAAAAAUAAAUUGGGUUUUAGUUAAAUACUUGAAGUAUAGACAUACUUAGAUAGAAUUAAUUAAUUAUAAAUAUAGAUAAAUUUCAACAAAAUUUAUAGAUGCCAUUAAUAUGAUUUGUGUGUGUUGAUCCAACCUGAGGUCUAAUUAAAGCUUUCCAUGUCAGAGUUUACGUUAGAAUUUAGAACACCCUCUAUAUUUUUGCUAUAUUAGACAUACUAAAUUUUAAACCCCAUAAGAGAAUAUGCAUAUACAUAUACAUACCGUAUCGGUUCCAGCAGGGCCUGGUGAAGAAGCGCCGAGGCUGGGAGUAGGGGCCUCAGUUGAUGGAGACGGUGGGCUGGAGGCCGAAGGUGAUAGCGCUGGAGACUUAGCUUUGGUCUUGCUAGGGGCCGGAGCUGGAACCGUGGCAGGAGGAGAAGCCAAAGGAGCUGGUGGUGGGGUAGCUGGAGGAGGAGUAGCAGGAGGGGGAGAAGCAGGUGGUGGGGUAGCCUGAGGUGGAGAAGCCGGUGGGGGAGUUGCGGGAGGUGGGGUAGCUGGGGGAGGAGUAGCCGGUGGAGGAGAAGCUGGUGGUGGGGAGCUAACGGGCGGGGGAGUCGCUGGAGGAGGAGUGGAAACUGGUGGUGGAGAAGCUGUCACUGGAGGUGGUGAUGAUGUAGGAGGAGGAGUGGAAGCUGGUGGCGGAGAAGUAGUUGUGGGUGUUGGAGGUGGUUGGGUAGUAGGCGGAGGUGUGGAAGCGGGUGGGGUCGGCGGCACCGGCGUGGAUGUCGGAGGAUUACUAGGAGUAGGAGGAGCUUGGCCUAAAGCGCCAGCUACAGCAAUGCAAAACAAAGCUGAUAAGAACAAAAACUUGUUAUUAAGCAUCAUGUUGGAAACAAUGGUGACCCUUUAAUCCUGCACACCCUCUCCGCUUAAACUACGCCCAGCCGCGCAAGCAAAAGAGGGAGAAGAAUAGCAAGUAUGAGAAAUGAAAAGAUGGUGAUAUUUAUAUAGAGGAUAUGGAAAUUUCUAUAUCAUAUUUCAAUUUUAAAUCCCAAAAACAAAUAAUUUAAUAACAUUUUUAUUUUAUUACUAAUGGGAAAAUUAUAUUACUAAUCCUAUGCAAUUUUCUAUUUUAAUUUAGUGUAAUUUAACUCUUUCGUUGUGUUAUUAAUAGGUUCAAAAUUGAUAUUCGAUCGUACAAGCAGAGAUGUAGAAAUGAAUCAAUUUUGUUAAAUAAGCAAUAAAUCUCAAUCUUAGUCAAAUGCUUAAAGCUGUUAUAAAAAAAAAUCACGUCACCAUUUUAACAUUAAUAAGUAUCAAAUUAUAUAGAAGUAAAGGAUUAAAUCUCUAAUUUCAAUUUAGUAAAGGGACUAAACUGGAAUUAAAGGGUUAGAGUUUUUUCCUCGUUUGGUGAGGUAAAAUAAAAACCCUAGUGGGGCAUCACUUUGAUGAUUAUAAAUGAUGCGUUAGUUAGUCAUACUUUAGGUAAAAAACUGUAGGUGAGAUUAGUGUAGAUUGAAAUAUUUUAGUGAAAGGUUAAUUUAUACCUUAAAAAUUUUGCAAUAUUUGGUAGUUCCAUGAAAUGAUUCCCACUAUCAUCAACUUUUCAAUCAUUCAAAUAGGUUUUAAUUUGUUUUGUUGUGAAAUUUUUAAGGAGUCAGGUCCGGUUGUUAUAAAAUUUUAGGUUUGAAUUUGACUUGAAAAAUAGGUUUAAAAUUUUACUUAAACCCAGUCUAGAUAAAAAUAUUAAACUCAAGUCUGGACGUAUUAAACUUUUUAUAUUAUUAUUUAUAUAAAAACAAAUUUAAAAAAUAUAAUACAUCAAAUACACUAAAAAUAUUAAAAUAGAUGUUUCCCAACAAAUUGAAAAUACAUUAAAAAAGUUUUUAUACUUAGCAAGCAAAUGCCUCUAAAAUAGUAGCAAAAUUAACAAUAAAAGAGUUAUAUAAUAUCCAAACAAUAACAGCAAAAUAGUAGUAAUAUAAUAGCAAAAUGGCAACAAAAUAACAGUAGAAAAAAAAAUUUAGGCAAAUUCGGGCUGAGCUGUGUCAAGCCCAGGUAAAAAAAGAUCUUACCCGAGGUCGGCCCUUUUAGAAAAUGAGCCUUAUUUUAUUGUCGAAACUCAUUUUCUAGACCUAUAUUUUUCCCAAAUCCUCCCACUUAUGGGGCGAUAUUUAGGGCUUGGGCAGGUGGCUCGGCGCAUGAUUAGGUCUAACGAUGGAUUCUUUUGUUAGUAAUGUUUAUUUUGGUGUUUGAGUUUUUUGUGUCUUAAUUUGGUACCUAAUUUUGGCUUUAAUUUUUUUUCCAAUUAAGCACUUAAGUUUGGCUUCAAUGUUCAAAUUGGUACCUAAUUUUUUUUUGUCCAAAUUAAUUACCUAUAUUUUGUUUACCAAAGCACGUGUGUCAAACAUUCAUUGGGUCAUAUGAUGACAUUUGGCUUAGGUAUCAAAUGAAUAUCAAAUCCGAACUUGAGUACCAAAUUGAAACAAAAAACACAAAUACCAACUAAGUAUUGAAGCUAAUCUCAAAUAUGGAAUGGUAUGUUAGCCCAUUUGUAAACAAAAUUUCAAGGAAGACUUAAAAUUUAGCAUCUACUAAGCUUUCAGUUUCCCUUUUGUAUGUUACAAUUGAUGUUUGUUUAACGCAUAAACUUGGUAUCUUUUUUCCCGUAAUGAUAUUUAAGCUUUUUUUUAUACUUGAUAUCCAAACUUUCAUUCUGUCACACCAUUUUGAGCAAUUUUUGUACAACUAUAUUAAAAUCUGUAGUUUGGUUAUCUUCAACAUUAAGGAUUUCUACGACAUACUUUUUGCGCAUUCCUCCCAUGACAUUAAGAAGUAGGGAGGCGAAAGUGGUGGUGCUAAAAGGAUCAGUUUAUCUAAUUAAGUGGAGAGUUGAAAAGGGAAAUAAAUUAGGAAGGAGUAGGGGACUCACACAUCCAUAACAUAUGCAUAUGUUAAGAUUAAAAAUUUACACAACCCAAUUGCAAAUGGUGAGACUUGGACUUGGAUACUCAAGGAUCCAAGAUCUCGCCUUAACCAACAAUGUUAAGAUCUCAUUGACUCUUUUGGAGUUUUUUCAAAUUCAGGAUUAAAAAUUAUGAUAUAACUCAAUAUAAUAUUAAAGAGUAAAAAUUAAUCAAAAUUUACAUAUAUCACUCAUUUAAUCAUGUGUACAGAUAAAAGGAAACCACUCGUCCUCUUGCCAACCCUACGUGUAACAUAAUUCACUAUAAAUUCCAUUUACCAACAUAUACAUACAUACAUAAAUAUAAAAGAGAACUUCAUUGGUCUUGGACUGGAUUGGCUACAAACUUUGACAAAAGGCAUGUGUAGGAGGAUUAAAUUCGAUGAAUUGCAUGAUAGUUUCUCCUUUUUGAUAAUUUAGUACAUGAGAGAAUAAUGAUGAUUGUGGGGGGGGGGUGCUCCAUCGAAAUAGCUGGAAUUUAUUUAUUUUAGUGAACUGGCAAAUGUAAUUUGUACGCCAAGUUAUAAGGUGAAAAAGGGAGAAAUCAUAUAGAUUUGGUUGGUAAUGGUAUGUUGAUGUUGAAGCACCUGCGGUGCAACGCCACAAUUAGUAGGCCCCUACCCCCGCUGUCACCCCAUCAUAUGUGCUUUUGGAUGGAUCCAACAUUUUCGUGUUCUUUCCUUCUUCAACAUCAUCAUUAUUAAUUAGUUACUCUUCAAUUUCUAUAUGUAAUUUGCUUUCUUUUCAUUCAUAGGUUUUCUGUUUUUCUUUCUUUGAUUUUGUCUUGUGCACAACUGACGUCCUCCAUUAUUUUUCCCCUGACGUCCUCCAUUAUUUUUCCCCUUUUGUAUAAUUGGGUUUGUGACUUCAAUAGUCUCCGUUUGUAUGGAAAUUAUUUUAUGGAUUUUUUCAUCAUAUCAUUUACGAUAUAUUUUUAGUUAUUUAAUGAUAUUUUAGUAAUUUUUUAUACCAUUGAUACAUAAAUUUGUUAAUUUUUUUACCCAGAACCUUUAAUCUCGAACUUAGAACCCCGAACUCCGAAUCUUGAACCUUGAACCCCAAACUUAAACCUUGAAUCUUGAAACCCUCAAGGUUCAGGUUUGAGGUUCGAGUUCGGGUUCAAAGUUUGUAGUUCAGGGUUUGAGGUUUGAAAUUUAAGGUCUGGGUUUAGGGUCAAGGUUCAAGGUUCAGGAUUUUGGGUUUGAGGUUCGAGAUAAAAAAAAUUAUCAAAAUUAUAUGUCAAUGAAAUGAAAAAAAUUACUGAAAUGUCAUUAAAUAAUAGGAAAGAGACCAUGGAUGAUGUGGUGGGAAUGGUCCAAAAAUAAUUUCUCAUUUGUAUGGGGUAUUGUUCCUUAUCUAUUAUAAUUUGGUAUCUCUAUUUUUAUAAUAUUAUUAGUAAAUCCAAAUUUAUAACGAUGUUGAUUGCUUCAAUAAAAUGAUAAGGUGGAUUUUUAUAGGAAGAAAGUUAUUUGAGUUUAUUCGAAGUUAUAAUUUAUAAUUGUAUUACCAAUUAUUAAAAAUAAAUAACUUAACUCAAACUAAGUCAUCAGAAUAAAUUUGAUUGUGGGAUUUGAAUUUGAGCGCUCCUUAGGCUUCAUUAGCUUAUUUGGGCUCUAUUUACUAAAAGAAAAUUAUCAACAAAAAAAUUCAUGACGAGCCAUUAAUAAUUUUAUUAAUUUGAACUAAUCAAGUCGCUGAUCGAUUUAUCGAGAUAACUUUAGAGAAGAGUUUAGUUAUAUAAGUGUAUGAAAGACAUCCUGAAAGAAUUAGCAGUUGUUAUUGAGAUUGAUAAAGGAGUAAUUUAUUCCAUUAUGAUAGAUUGAUAUAAUUUAAUUGUGUUUUUUUAUUUAUUUAUUUUAAAAAGAGUAGAAGGACGUAGUAAAGGAAUUUUCAUGCAUCAAUAAUUUAUAAUUUAAACUAUGAAAUUUCAAAAAAGAAGAAAUUCAUGUUGAAAUUGAUACUAUCAAGCAAUUUAGAAGUGUAAAAUUUUCAAUAUCAGCUGGAUAUUUAAUGUCAAAUAAACUAAAGAAAUGAGAAAGACAAGCCAAUUGUCCACAAUGAUUAACUUGUUCCUAAAAAGAAAGUUGUACAUUGACUUUGCUUAUAAAUCAAUCCAAUUUUUUUUAUAUAAAAGGAAACAAUUACAUACUUAUAUUGAGUUAUUUGUACCACAACCCAUUUAAUUAUUAUUUUAAUUAUCGAUUGAGUCUUAGUUCAGUUGGUAUUGACAUUAUUAUCGGUGUAGGAGGAAUGGGUUCAAGUGUGCUGAAACGCAUUAUCCUCCUAUUUAAAUGUUGGGAAGGGACUAUAUGAUCGAGAGUAGAUGUGAUAAGAACCUAUAAUAAGAUUAAUGUAAUGCCCCCUCGUUCCUUUAAAUGCUACUUGAAACAUACUUAAUUAUUAUUUACUAAAAUAUUGACAAAUCUGUAAUUUGAAUCUAGAUUCUUAUCAUAUCGGCUCUUUUUGGUACAAUGCUUACAACUAUCCAUAGCCCCUCCCCAAUCAUUAAAUAGGAGGAUAAUACACUUCAACGCAUUCGAAUCCACAUCCUCUUGUACUGACAACAAUGUUAAUCAAUACAAUUCUAAAUACGAGUGUACUACUUAGAUAAUCAUAUCCAAGGUACACAUAGUUUUAAAAUUUGAUCCACACAUUUAAAUAGACCCCACCUCUGAUCUUAUCUAGGAUUUAUCACCGAAGCUGACGGUUAGACAAACAAAACAACUUGAUUGAUAUAAUAUUGAUAUUUUACAGACUCAAUCGUAAUGUUUUAUAGUUCGAGAUGAACGUAGAAUCGUGGCCAUAAUUAUGGAGGUUUGGCUGAAUUGACUCUAUUUCUAAAUAUAUCAUGGUAGACAUUCAAUAUUAAAAAAAAGAUAAAGGGAUAAUAUAAUAACCCAAAACACCAAAUUUUGGUUGGUUUAAUUUGCAGCUUUAACCAAUGCUUUUGCUUGAUCCAUCAAUUAGUGAGGAUUUCGAUCUAAAUUAGAGGGUCCCAUUCGGUUAUUAAGCUCUUUUUCCCCCCUCGUGAUUGCCAUAACAUGGGCCCUUACCCUUUUAACUUUGCUUUGGUUUGGUUUGAUUUAAGGUUUAUUCAUAAAUUGUCCCUUAAACUAUACCUCAAUUUUUAGAUUGGUCCUUAAAGUUUUUUCUAUCAAGAGUGGUCCCCACACUAUCAAAUCUAUCUCAUUUUACCCAAAAAGCUUACGACAUCCAAUAAAAAUAUUUAAAAUGUGACACGUGUUACAUUCUUAUUGGUUAAUAUCAUUUUUUGGGUAAACUAAAAUAAAAUGAACAGUUUAAUGAUCACUUUUGAUCAAAUAAAAAAGUUUUAAGGACUACUCUAGGAAUUGAGAUAUAACUUAGGGGUUAUUUUGUUAAUAAAGCUUUGAUUUAAUUCAAUAGAGAAAUCAUUAACACUGAAAGAGUUUUCUUUAAUUUACUCAAAUGGUCUUUUUGUUUGUGUCACCUAACAUUUUGAAGAACAUCCUUUCUCUGUGUACCUCAUACAAUUCGUUAAUACGAAAAUUUUAUGAUUUUUUUAAAAUAAAUUUAAUUGUCACUUUGCAUGUUACAAAUACUUUUAAAUAAGGACUUUUUUCAUAUGAGAAUACCUUUAAUACCAAUUAAAAAACAUCUUAAACUUAAUUUAUCUAAUUUCUUGGGCAGGGACCUAGCCCAAAAUUGGUAAAAUUAAAAUUAGAUCUUUCUAAUUUUGAAGCACUAAAAUUGGAUUUCUUUUAAAUUGUAAAAUUAUAAAUUUAACCCUUAAAAAAAUUAUAAUUCAACUUUAGCCUCUAAUUUUUUUUCUCUAACUUACAUCUCCGCCUAAUUCAAUAUAUUUUAAAAAAAAAUUGACUACAAACAUCUAGACAUUACCAACAAAAAUAUAUUUAUAAUUAGUAUUUAAUAUAAAAUAUUUUAAUUCUAUAAGCAAUUUUCAAAAUUUUCAUAUAUCUCGAUUUUUCUAUAUAUAUUUUUUUAUUUUUAUUAAAUCAUGAAUGAAAUAUAUAUUAUCUUUCGGAUUCUACUUAUAAAAUCUAAUAACUACACUAAUAACGUAUUAAAUCAUUUUAUGUAUAUAUAUAUAUAAGUUCAAGUGGUCCAUAGGUAGCUUAGAGUACAAGGGAUUAAGUUGAGGGCCCUUAUCAUUUUCUCCAAAUGUGAAGUGAUGUUAACUGCUUAGCUUCCUCCUCUUGCCCCAUUCAUUUUCCUUCCUUUCCACAAUAUAUAUUGUAUAAAUAUUUAUGGGUAAUCGAUUGAGUCUUAACUCGAUUAGUAUGAGUAUUGUUGUCAAUACAGGAAGGCGUGUAUUCGGCACAUUAUCCUCCUAUUUAAGGGUUGGGAGGCUAGGAGUAGUUGUAGAUAUUAUAUUUAAAAAAAACAGAUAUGAUUAAAACCUAUAAUGAGAUUAUUAAAAAAAAUAUUUAUGGGUAAUCAGUUUAUACAAUUUCAAUUAGGCGUAUAAAUCCAAUCAUUAAUCAUUAAAAUGUUUUACUUUAUGCCAUAAUAUUGUUUUAACUGCAGAAGCAUGUGGGUUAAUGAAAACUACUUAUAGUAUCUCAAUUAAAUGUAAUCAACAACCUCAACUCAUAUCUUCCUUCUCUCUCUCACUCUCAAUUAUAUAACCUACUAAUAAUUAACUUUAAUAACCCACUUUCAAGUACAUCUCAGGCUACCUGCCAUACCAAGCCUAAAGCUCCUAAGAUUUUCUAAAAGGUUUGCACAAAAAUACAAAGAUUUAUAGGAUAAUGGAUUUGGGCAAAAAAUUAAGCUUAAUUAUUUAAAUUAUAGGUUGAAUUUAUCGAUAAGUCAUGUUAAACGUAAUGGUAAGAUACAUUUGUACUCUUAAGAAAAGAAUGUAGAUUCAAAUAUUAAAAACGAUAUUGUUAAAAAAAACAAUCACAAAUCUCAAACAUGAGUCAUAAAACAGACAUGUAAAAUACAUUUGGACUCAUUUAAGAUUAUUAAAACAUGGAUAAUUUAACUCAAUAUUGCAAUUUAGUGUUACAAUAUGAUUUCGUGAUAAAAUCAAUAAUGUUGAUUUGUAUUAUUGUAUUAAGUAGUGCAUGAAAUGUAGGAUUAGAUAAAUUUGUAUAAAGUGCAUGCUAAAAACUGUUUUGAAGGCUUUAUAGAAUUCUUUUCGCUUAAAAGAUAAGAGUCUACCUGAUCAGCUAAGGUUUACAAUAUUGCUUAUAGGUUUAGCUUUCAAUCGAAUUGAGUGAAAAUUUUUUGAGUUAAUCGAGUUAACGAGUCCUAUUUUAUCAUUCUAACACAAUUUGAAAUUUUCUCGAAGUCGAGUAAAAUGAAAUUCAAGUUAAGUCGAAUCGAGUGAAAUUGUUCGAGUUAAAUUAAAAAAUUAAACAUGUCAAAUUAAAAUCUUAUUACAGUAUAAUUAAUUUCAUGUUAGAGCACAUAAUAUUGAAACCAUAUAUAUUUGAAAACUUUUUCAAAGCAAGAUAAGGAAAAAAAAUACUUUAGUAUAAUAAACUUGAAUCAUUAAUUAACUUAUUUAAGUCCCCAAAAUUAUUAUUUUAGAACAUUUUUAAAUUUUUAACUUUCUUUAUAUAUUCUUUAUAAUUUUUUUUAAAAAUAUAAUUUUUGGAAUUUUUAUAAAUAUUUUGAAUUUUGAAAUUUAUUUUGAUUUUUUUGUAUUUUUUGUUGAAAAAGACCAAUUUGCUCAUUUUCAAAAUUGACAGGGAUCAAAAGGGUAUUUAUAUCAAUCUAUUACUCGAAUUAUUCGAGUUAUUCGAAUUGUAAAAUUCUACUCGACUUGAACUCAAAACUCGAAUUACUUAUUAAAUUUUACUCGAAAAAAUCAAAUAACUCGAUUCAAUUAACUCAUAAUUCAAUUUUUAUUUUAUUUUUUCAAAUCGAGUUUUGUUCACCCCUAAUAACUUAUUAGCAAGAAUUGUUCAAUUUUAAAAUACAAGCUAAUAAGAUUAUUUUAUCUUGAUAUUAAAUGCUAUUUAUACAACUUAUAAAAGAUGGUCGAUACACACAGAUGGGGUAGACUUUUUGAGUGUUUCAUUUUUUUGGUUCAUGGAACAUUUUGCAAGGUAUAUACACCUUGAUACCUUUGGUAUUAUUUGGAGAGUUUUAUUCAUUUGUAUGCAAAUAUGUUUGCGGUAUGUGAUAAUAUUUUGGGAGAGUGAGUGUAAAGAAUUGCAUACUAGUGAAACUACUUUUAUCUACAUUUUGCAAGAUGGAUACACCAUGAUUAGAGGUGUACAUGAGUCAGGUCGGGUCCAAUCAAAAUUUUAGACCCAUUUGUUAGGCUUGGGUCCAGAUAAAAAUAUUAAAAUUUAGGCUCGGUCCGGCCCGCCUGUAUUAAUUUUUUAUACAAAUUUAAAAAAUAUACAAUACAUCAAAAAUAUUAAAAAUAUUAAAAUAAAUGUUUCUCAACAAAUUGAAAAUAAAUUUUUAAAAAAUAUAUACUUAAAUAAAACUAAGAUAGGUGAAACUUAACAAGCAAAUGCCUCUAAAAUAGUAACAAAAUUAAUAAUAAAACAAUAGUUAUACAAUAUCCAAAUAAUAACAACAAAAUAGUAGCAAUAUAAUUGUGAAAUUGUAGCAAAAUAGUGAAAAACAACAAAAAAAAUAGCAACAAAAUAAUAAUAAAAAAACAGAAAAAAAACUGCAAUUUUUUUUUAUUUUGUAUAUUCGGGUCGGGUUGAGCCGGGCUCAAACCCAAAAAUCCUUACUCGAGGCUCAGCCCGUUUUAAAAUAAAUAUUGUUUAAUUAAUUAAUUAAAAAAUCAAUAGUGUUUAAAAAAUAUCACAAUGAAAUAUUAAAUUUUAUAAGAUUUCAUAAUUCUAAAAAAAUAAAAUAUGAAAAUGUUUAAAAAUUUUAUUAAUUUUUUUAAAAAAAUUAUACAAAAUUUUAAAAAAAUAAACAAAUACUACUAAAAGGUUUUAAAUCAAAAUUAAAUAUAAUGUAAUUAGAAAUUUAUUUUUAAAAUAUUUAUUUUAUUUUUUUAUAAAUACUAUUAAAUGUUUUUAACGGUAACAUAUUUUAAAAAGUAUAAUAAUUUUACAUAAAAAAAUUAUGUUUACUAAUUACAUUUUUUUUAUUUUUUUCCUAACAUAUCAUUAUCUGCAACUUGUCAUAUUAAAGAAUUGAAGAUUUAUUUGAGUAGUUAACUUUUUUACAAAAAGAACUAAUUAAUUUAUUAUUUUUAUAAAUUGUUACACCCCAUACCCGGUCUAGAUGUUAUGGCCGGAUCUUGAGGAAUUACAGAAGUUCAUUUUAAAACUAGAUUUUUAAUUUGAAAUCGUAUAAUAGAAUAAUGUUAACUUUGUAAAAUCGCUUUCUGAUUUUAAGGGAAAUACUCAUUUAAACUAUUUCUUUUAUUGCAGAAAAACACUUCAGUGAUCACUUCAUUUUGCAGCGGAAAUUUUCUAAGUUAUAAAAUAUUGAAAACUGUGGCUUGGUUUGUAAAACAAAUAAUUUUGCAGUUUAAAAAUAUAACAGUUGCAAAAUCCGUUAAAGCAAAUCAAAACAGAAAAUAAAGUCCCAGAAUAAUUUACAGUCCAAAAAAUUCAUAAUAAUUACAUUAACCAUUUUAAUUUAGAGAAUCUAACCCAAGCUCCCACACGUCGUCCAAUAUUAGGUUUCCUAAUCACCUGAGAUGAUAAAAGUAAAGGGUGAGCUAACAAGUUUCAUGUGUAACUCAAUCCAUACAAACAACACAGAUACAGUAACCGAUACGAAUAUAGAUGCAACUACAGAUACUAAUACUGGUUCUAUUUCCAUUCGCUACACACCAUCUUCAUCCAUCCCUACACACGAUUAGGGUAUUAAAUAUCCAUCCAACCCACACACCUAUAAGUGAGCAUAUGUCAUUUUUCAAAAUAGUGCAAUCAAGCUACCAGAAAUAAUGCGGUAAUCCACCAGAAUUAGAUAAGUGUGGUAAAGCCACCAGAAUAGAUAUGUGGUUUAAACUACCAAAUAAGGCAAAUCAUUAAAUUGUCAACACUUCCUCCAUCAUAUCAUUAUCCCACCCCAAUGCACAUGCAAACACUAAUUAGAUAAUAGAUACAUAUAAAUUGCACUAACAAAAGUAAAAUAUUAGAUUUCAUAUCUAUAAGUCAUACAUAACACAUUACGGAACCUAAGAAAUGGCAAACCUCGAAUCGUACUUCAAAUACGGCCCUAACUAAAUUUUACAAAAAAUGGGCUCACACGCCUGUGUGGCCCACAUGAUCUGGCACACGGCCUCACACAUGCUCAUGUGGCCCACGGCCCACUUAACUUAGCCCGUGUGGCUUAUACAGUUUGGCACACGGUAGUGUGGCGUCGACAGUGAAUUUUUUGGCUUCGAGAUUAUCGUUACACACCUAGUCGUUUUUCGAUACUAACACCACUACAAGGAUUCUAGAACCUAAAACAACAUUUAACACGAACAAUUUAGAAACUAUACACUAAAUAUAAGCCACUAAUUCAGCCACAACCACUAACAUUAGGCUUUAACAAGCCAAAAAUUAGUCUUUCGGACAUUUGGUUACUUACCCAGAACAAUAGCGACAGUCCUAAAAAUCUCCUAAUUCACUGAAAAGACGUCACACGCCUCACAAACUUCUCCUAUUGAAACAUAACAUGUCAUACGGAAACGAAUUAACCUUACUACUGAAGAACACACUUACGAGACUUGCACUUGAACAAAAAUACGAAUUCCUUGCUCGAACAUAGCACCACGAUGAUUACACGUCAGAAAAUCAAUACCAAAAUGAUUUAAACACAGGACCUCUAAGUAAGCUGAAGUCUUACCACUGAACCAACAAGCUCAUUUUUAUCAUUAAUUGAGCAAAAAUAAUAUAUAAGCUUAAUAUCCAAAUCAAGGGUUGGGUCAAAAAUUUUUUUAAAAAAAUUAAACAAAAGAAUUUGAAGGCCAUUUUACCAAAAUAGUCCAAAAAAAUAUUAUAUUUACAAAAAUAACUCAGGUUUAAAAACAAUCACCAAAAUAACCUAAAAUGAACAGUACCCACUCGUUUUUUGCACCCAUGAUUGCCUAAUAAUUGUGUCAGAAUUAAAAAAAUUAAUUUUUUUGGGUUUUGGCCUGUCAACGGCCGGAACCCAUGUAUUUUUUUAAAUUGUAUAAUAUUGAUAUACGAAAAAAGGAAAAAAAGAAAAACGAAAAAAAAAAUUUUGGGUGCUGGCCUAUCAAUGACCAGCACCCAGUACAUAUUUUUUAAAAAAAAUUCUUUUUUUUCGCAUCAGAAUCAGAUAACAGAUAUCAGAUAUCAGUACAAUUUAAAAAAGAAUUCUUUUUUUUGUGUCAAAAUCAGAUAUCAAUAUACGAAAAAAAUUAAAAAACAAAUUUUUUUGGGUGUCGGCCAUUGAAUAGCCGGCACCUAGUACAAAUUUAAAAAAAAAAAUCUUUUUUUUUUCGUGUCAAAAUCAGAUAUCAAUAUACGAAAAAAAUUUAAAAAAAAAUUUAGGUGCAGGCCUGUCAAUGGCCGGCACCCAGUACAAUUUAAAAAAAUUUCUUUUUUUUUUCGUGUCAGAAUCAGAUAUUAGUAUACGAAAAAAGUAAAAAAAAAAUUUGAGUGUUGGCUAGUCAAUGGCACGAAAAAAAAUUUGAUAUUUGAUUCUGACACAAAAAAAAAAGAAAUUUUUUUUUAAAAAUUGUACUGGGUGUCGGCCAUUGACAGGCUAACACCCAAAAAAAAAAUUUAAUUUUUUUUUGUAUAUUGAUAUCUGAUUUUACCACGAAAAAAAAAAGAAAUUUUUUUUUUAAAAUUGUACUGGGUGCUGGCCAUUGACAGGCCAGCAUUCAAUUUUUUUUUUUUGUAUACUGAUAUCUGAUUCUGACACGAAAAAAAAGAAAAAAAUAAUUUUAAUUGUACUGGGUGCCGACCAUUGAGAGGCCAACACCCAAAAUUUUUUUUUAAUUUUAUUCGUAUAUUGAUAUCUGAUUUUGACAUGAAAAAAAAAUUUAAAAUUGUACUGGGUGCCGGCCAUUGAAAGGCCAGCAUCCAAUUUUUUUUUAAAUUUUUUUCGUAUAUUGAUAUCUGAAUCUGAUUUUGACACGAAAAAAAAAUUAAAAAAUUAUACUGGGUGCCGGCUAUUGACAUGCCAACACCCAAAUUUUUUUUUAUUUUUUCGUACACUGAUAUCUGAUUCUGAAACAAAAAAAAUUUUAAAAUUUGUACUGGGUGCCGGCCAUUGAUAGGCCAACACCCAAAAAUUAUUUUUUUUCGUUUUUCGUAUAUUGAUAUCUGAUUCUGACACGAAAAAUAUAAUUUUUUUUUGUACAUUCCGGCACCCAAAAUUUUUUUUUCCUUUUUCGUAUAUCAGUAUUAUAAAAUUUAAAAAAAUACAUGGGUUCCGGCCAUUGACAGGUCAAAACCCAAAAAAUUAAUUUUUUUAAGCCUGACACAAUUAUUAAGCAAUCAUGGGUGCAAAAAACGAGUUGGUACUGUUUAUUUUAGGUUAUUUUGGUGAUUGUUUUUAAAUCUGGGUUAUUUUUAUAAAUAUAAUAUUUUUUUAGACUAUUUUGGUAAAAUAGCCGAAUUUGAACCUAGAACCUCAUACACACUAACACAACACAUAGCCACUAAACUAGAUUAAUCACUUUGAUAAUUUUUAACAAUUCAAAAAUAAAAAUUUUGGGGCGUUACAAUAAUAAUAUGGUUUAAAUUAUUUUUUACAUCAUUCAUAAAAAUUAUAACAAACUUACAAAAAGAUUUAAUGAUAUUUAAUUAUUAACGGGUAAAAAAAUUAUAUCAUAUAUCAUAUAUAUUCUAUAUUUAUUAUAAUAGUUUCAUCUUUCAAAUUUUCUUCCUCAUAAUUAAAGCAUAAGUUAUAUUUAUAAUAUUAUAAAAUAUUAUAUUUAAAAAAUUUACACACACAAUCAACCUAUGCAUAGCACGAGAUAAGAAAACUAGUUUAUCAAUAUGAACGAGUUUACAUAAACUUUAAUAUACAAAAUUCGAGCUAAAUCUAGCUUCAAUUUUUUGGUCAACUUCUUUUGACUUUAAAUCUUACUUCUUCUUCUUCUUUUGGCAUAACGACUUAUUUGGCACAAAAACAAAAGUCAUUUUAGCUUUUUAUGUAUUUUUUCACCAUUUUUAACCUUUAAACUUACAUUUUUUGUCAAAUCGCUCCAAAAUGAAUCGGUAUGUUAAUGUUUUUUAACUUUGCUAAUGUUGCAUACAUAUGGAUUGCUAUGUGGAUGACACAUCAACAUUUAAUUAAUUUUAAAAAAUAUAAAAAAACUAUUUUUAAAAAUUAAAAUCAUUAAAAUUAUCAAAUAAAUAUAAAUAUUUUUAAAAAUUAAUUAAAUGUUGAUGUGUCAUCUACGUGGCUAUCCAUACGUAUGUCAUGUCAGUAAAGUUAACAAAUAUUAAUAUUUUCAUCCAUUUUGGAAUAAUUUGACAAAGAAAUAGAAGUUCAAAAACUAAAAAAGAAAAAAUUAAAUAUAAGACCAAAAUAUAUAUUUUUAAAUUGAAGGACCAAAUAAAUGAUUAUGUAAAGUUGUGAAUAUUAAUCUUACCAUAACAAUCAUAAUUCGCUUAUGCUUUAUUCAUUUUUAGGGUUUUCCUUACUAGGAGUCUAGGAUACUUGAAGGCAGAUAUUAUUAUUAUAAAUAUUAUUAUAUAUUAAAUUAAUUUUUAUGUUUAAUAAUUAAAUUUAAACAUAUUUUUUUAAUUAAGGAACAAUAAUUUGGUCCGGAUGCGUCCUUGGACAGUUUUGUAAUUUCCCAAGUUAUUAACUUUUGUUUAGGGUUUAUCAUAGUUAGGAAUUAAUUGGCCUAAUUUCUCAACUUAGAUUUGAUGAUACGAUUAAAAAAUAGGAAAUAUCAAAAUCUGAUAAUAUGAAUUAUUUGUUGACACCUUUUUUUUGAUAAAACGGGGUCGACUUGGAUUUUGAAAACGAAAACGAAAAUGGGAGUCGCCACCAAUCCUUUUUGAUGAGGUGUAAUCGGAUCACCUUGAAAAGUGGUUGUUUUUAAUAAACGAUUUGAUUUUGUUAAAACAACAAUUUUGGUCCACGAAAUUCAGAAAAUCAGGUUCGGGAGUCGAUUACGUACGAGGAAGGAUUAGCACCCUCGUAACGCCCAAAAUUGGUACCUAGUUGAUUAAUUAGUGUCAUAGUGUCGAGAAUUGGAAACUUUGAAGAGAUUCAAAAUACGAUCCUUGAUUUUAAAAAACUUAUAUAAAAUAAGUUACUCGUUAAGACCCUCUCAUUUCGGAAAGAGAAAAUGUCACACCCAAUGAGUUAGGGCAUAAUAUUUCACUUCCUCAAAAAUGAGCUUAUCCAAAAAAAAAACUCGUGCAAUAAAAUUUAAAAGGAUAUUCAAUUGUUUAAGUCAGAUGAGGAAAUCGCAGCCCAAUACGUUAGGGCACAAUUUCUCAAAAUUCUAAACAUUGAAUAUUACCUUUAUUAUUUUUAGGAAAAUCCUCAUCUCGAGAAAACAACGUGUCAUAUCCAAUGCGUUAGGACACAACGUAUUGAAUUCCCGGUAAUGAGCUUUUUAUUCAUGUGUUUUUUUUAUUAAAGAGCAUUCUCGACUAUUUAGAUUAAACGAAAGAAAUUGGAACCCAAUACGUUAGGGCUCAAUCCUCUCGAAGAUCCCAAAUACCGAGUAUUGCCUUUAUUUUCAAAAUUUCCUCUUUUUACAAAUUCGGGUAAAAAUUGAUGUAAUAUUAAAUUUGAUAUAUGAAUAACAGCCGCAUUAAUAAAUGACAAUAAUGAAUAUGACGAUGUAGCAUAAAUAAUACAAGCAAUAGUAACGAAAAUAAAUUAGAUAAAAAUGAGAAAUCGAUGACAUACAAAAUAACAAGUAUAUAAGCAAAUAAAAUUAAAACAUUCUUUUAAAAUAACAAUGAAAAUGUAAAUAAAUAAGUAAAUAAAGAAAAUGAAUAAAAUUAUAAAAAAAUUUAAAAAGAUAUAUAUGUAUGUAUAUUAAAAUAUAUGUAUAUGUAUUUACAAAAUAUAAAAAAAUGUAUAAGUACAUAUAUAUAGGUAAAGUAUGAAAAUAUGUGUAUAUAUGUACAUAAAUUAAAAUGCGUAUAUAUAUAGGUAUAUAUAUAUAUAAAUGAAAUAUGUAAGACUAUACUUAUAAUGAUUUAAAAAUGUACAUAUAUAUAUUAUAGGGACUGUAUGUAUACAUAUGUAGGGAUUAUAAAAUGUAUAUGCCUAUAUAUAUAUUAGAAAUAUGCAUGCCUAUAUAUAUAUAACAAGAUUUUGGAAUAAAAAAAAAAGGUGUAACCGAAUAAAUAAUAAUAAUAAGUAAUAAUAUAAUAAUAUUAAUAGUAUUAAAUAAUUACUUUUAAUAGAAAAAUAACUAAAAUAGCAUAUUGAGGAUUAAAUUGAAAAUAAACGGAGUUUUAGGGCUGGAUUUAAAAAUGGAAAACACAAAGGGGACCGAUUUAUAACACACGCGAAGUCCAGAGGAUUGAUUUGGAAAAUAUCCCAAGCCCUACGCGUAGCGUUUUGAUGCGGACUGAAAUGAAACAUAAGAGAAAUUAUGCAGCCGAAUUAAAAAAACAAAAUGGGACCAAAUUGCACUAGGCUGCGAAAGAGGACGGACCUCUAGCGAAAUAUCCCCCUUCACUGCAGAAACACGAGGAUCCUGAGGGCGGACGGGUCGAGUCACGGGUCAGGGCCAAAACGACGUUGUUUUGGCACCUGAUCCCUAGUUGCAAAACGGGGCCAUUUUAUUUAGGGUAUUUAAGUAAAAAAAAUUGAAAAAUCAAUACAGCCACCAUUUAAAAAAAAUUCAAAACCCCUCCCCUUUUAUCUCAAGAUCCGGCUCUCAGUCCCCUCGGCCUCCGUCGCCCCGCCUUUCUGCUCGCCGCACCGCCACCGUAUUCGACGACCGACGAAGCGCAAGAACGGGCGUUCGAAGCCUUGCCCCGGUGAGUUUCCCCUUUCCUUCUUUUUUUUUAUUUACCAUAUAUAAAAAGAAUUAAAAAUAGAAUAAAAAAUAGGGAUACACUAUCAAAAUAUGGAUCUUGUUCCAAAAUCAAACAAUCACCUUGAGAUUGUUGUGUUUCUUUUUAUUCUUUGUGUCUUUUUGAUUUUCUGAAAUGUUCAAAAGAAAAGAAAAAAAAAACCCUUACAAUCGGUUUUAGAUUGCUUUUAUAGUCAUUUACAACACUUUUUUUUAUCUAUUUUUCUAAUGUUUCUCUUGCGUGCAUGUUCUUCUUUGUAGGGAGUGGUUGGCGCGACAGGGAGGAGCGGUGGUGGUAGCUGAGGCUAGGGAUAGGGUGAGGUGGCUUCUGAAACCCUAGUUUGACUAUUGGGUCAGUGGGUUUUGGGUUGUAAUGGGCUAGUAUUUUGGGUUUAAGUUUGGGUUUCAAUUGGGCUAGGGUGUUUUGGGUUAAAUUUCUUGGACUGUUAAUUUUUUAAUUUGUUUGGGUUUUAUUUGUCUGGGCCCGGGUAAAAAUGGGCUUGUACAUUCUUAAUACUAGUUUUUUUUAUAUGAGUAAAUAGAUAAUUACUUGAACCAAUUUAAUAAAAAUUAAUAUAUUAAAAAAUAUAAUGUCAUCAUUUUAAUAGUUUAUAUCUUUAUAAAUUUUAAAUGAUUAAAUUAAAUUUUUAUUAUUUGAGAGGUUAAAGUACACUUUUACUAUUACUAAUUUAAAAUUUUAUAAAUUAUAAAGGAGACUAAAUAAAAAAAAAUCCAUUUUAGGGAGGCCGGAAAACCUUGCCAGCCUCCCUGACUUCACCAUUAAAAUCUAGAAUAUGCUCCUCACUAUGCGUCGGAAAAUUAAAGAUUUAAAAUUAUAUUAUCGUGUAAUAGAUAUAAUGAUUUUAAUUUUUUAAAUAAAUAAAUAAAGUUAAAGUUAAAAUCAAAUCAAUGUGAUCAAUUGUACUAAAUAUAGAUGAUUUAAGACAUGAUGCAAAUAAAGCAUAGUAAAAUAAUUAAUAUAUAGCAUGCCAUGAUAACAAAUGCGAAUUUAGAGAGGCAGACAAGGGUUCUUUUACUAUUUAGGUUUUUAAGUUUUUUUAAAAUUUUAAAUUAGUAAAUGUAAAAUUGUACUUUGCCCCUUCAAGUUAUAAAAAUUUGAUUUAAUCUUUUAAAAAUCUGGCUUCGCCCCUGCAUGAUAAUAAUAUUAAUACAACACAAAUACACAAAAAAAUCAAAUUUUAUACAUAAUAAUUAUUUACUUGUAUAAUUUUGUAAUAUUUUGAAUACAAAGAAAUAACACAAACAAUUUUCUCUAAAUUGAAUCACUCAAAUAAAAUAUUUUAAAUAUCUCAUAAUUUUAAAAUGUAGUAUAAGGAUAAUUUUAAAAAAUAAUUUAUUAUGAUAAAUUAUAUAAAUUAAAUAAAGAAACAAUACUAACCCAAUAUAAAAGAAAUGUAAUAAUAAUAUCAUAAACAAUUUUUAGUUAAUUAAACAUUGGAUAGCUUCGCUGGAUCAUGUCCUGGCUUCCUCAUGUAUAAGAAAAAGCCUCACAUUGAGGGGCCAGUAGACGUUUGGCCUUCAAACGAUUGACUAAUUUUUGUCUUUUAAUUAGAAUUUGGCACGUUGAUGAUGGGAGGAAAGAAAGGAAAGCGUGAAAUAGAUUUCAUCGUGGUCUGGGUCAUUCGUCCAGAUUCGAAGGUCUACUUAAAAAGUGAGAAAGUUUAAGUAAAAAUAUAGGCUCGAAAAAUAGAUUUCGGCAAAAAAUAAUACUCGUUUUCUAAACGGGUCAAGCCUCGGAUAAGAUCUUUUGAUCUGGCCUGGCCUGAAUUUGCCUAAAAAAAUUUUCACUACUGUUUAGUGUUGGUUUGUUGUUGUUUGCAGCCAUUUUGAUGUUGUUUUGUUAUCAUAUUGCUACUAUAUUACUACUAUUUUGUUGUUAUUGUUUGGAUAUUAUAUAUCUCUUGUUUUAUUAUUAAUUUUGCUACUAUUUUAGAGGCAUUUGCUUGUUAAAUUGCACUAUCUUAGUGUUAUUUAAGUAUAAAGACUUUUUUUAAUGUAUUUUCAAUUUAUUGGGAAACGUUUAUUUUAAUGUUUUUAGUGUAUUUGAUGUAUUAUAUUUUGGGUAGACUACCAAAAUAGUCACUUUUGUUUACCUCGGGUUACAUUUUAGUCACUUAUGUUUGAAAUGUUAGGUUUUAGUCACUUACAUUAUCGUUUUGUUACGAAAUGGUUGUUACUCUAUCAUUAAGAUUUGUUACUAGUUCGUGAUAGAAUGUGCAAGUGUACACAGUCGUUAUCAAGUAAUAAGUAAGUAAAAAGAGUUAUUGUCUCCACAGGGACUGUGUUUAAAUUGAUAAUUGUAAAAUUACUAUUCACAAGUUGGUUAAAAAAACACAAUAUUUUCAAGGUGAUUGAUGUUAGAAUUAAAUUAAUGCAAAUGAAUUAACCUAAAUGCAAUGCAAUGAAAUAAGAUGCAAUGAGAUGGUUUAGCAACAAUUUCAUAAGUUUUAACAAAAAUAACACGAAUGAGCUAGAACAACUACAACACUUGACUCAAUUAGUAUGAUGAUAAUCAGUAUGUUUUUUUCACCUUCAUGUUGGAAAUUCGUCAUGCGUAAUUAUACACGUAGACCUUUAAAUUCAAUAAUGUGUGAUUGUCAUGUGUGGUUGUCAUGUGUGGAUUUUAAUUUACACUAUAGCAAAACAGGUUUUUAGCGGCGUUUAUAGCGGCGUUUGAACGAAAAGCGCCGCAAAAAAUCGAGCAUUAGUGGCAAAUUCUAACAAAUGCCACAAUAUGUAAGCAAUAGCGGUGCUUUUACUAAAACGCCGCAAAUGAUCAAGCAUUAGGGGUGCUUAUAGAAAAACGCCGCAAAAAACUUGGGAAAAACAACGCCGUUUGCUUUUUCCAUUAGCGGCGAUAAUUAACAAACGCCGUAAAAAAUCUAGAAUUAGCGACACUCUUUUACAAACGCCGCAAAAGAUCGAGAAUUAGUGGCGUAUUCUGUAAAACGCCGCUAAAGGUCAAACAUUAGCGGCGCUUUACGAAAAACGCCGUAAAAAAUUUGAGAAAACGACAUCGUUUUGUAUUUUGAGAUUUAAUGGUAUUAGCGGCGCAUUUUAACAAAUACCACAACAGAUCGAGAAUUAGCAACGGUUUUUAUGAAACGCCGCUAAAAAUGAGCAAAACGAUUUCGUUUUUUUGUUUAGCAUUAGCGGUGUUUUUUAAGAAACGCUGCAAAAAAUAGUUUUAUUUUACACUUUUUGGUUUAGGGUUUAUGGUUUUAAGGUUUAAAGUUUAAGGUUUAGGGUUAGUAUUUAAGGUUUAGGGCUUAGGGUUUAUGGUAUAAUGUUUAUUAUUUUCGGAUUAGAAUUUUGAGUUUUGCGUUUAUGGUUUAGAGUUUGUGGUUUGGAGUUUAAGGUUUAGGGUUUAGUAUUUAAGAUUCUUUUUUAAUUACUUUUGUCCCCUAUAAUAUCUAUAUUUAGGGUUUAGGGUGUAUGAUCAUGGUUUAGGGUUUAAGGUUUAUGGUUUAAGAUUUUAAGGUUUAGAGUUUAGUUAAUACGGGAGAGGUUUAUGGUUUUGGAUUUAAGGUUUAGGGUAAUUUAAGAAUUAUGGUUUAGGUGUUUAGGGUAUAGGGAUUAGGGUUUAAAUUUUAUGGUCUAGGGGUUUUAGGAUUUAGGGGUUUUUGGGUGUUUAGGAUCUUGGGUUUAGGGUUUUUUGUCUAAUUAUGAAUUUCAUCCUUCUAUCUUAUAAAAAAAAAGUUAAGCUUUUUUCUUUAAUUCAUUAGAAUUUAAUCUUUGUACUUUAAAAAAAACUAAUUUUAAAAUAAUUAAUAGAAUUAUUAAAAUUUUAAGAUACCCAAAUUAAAUUAUUUUUUAAUAGUAGAGGAAGAAUUGUCUUCCAUCAUUGUAUUCAAUUUUAAAAUUGAACAAUUAAAUAAUGUCAUAUUAAAAAUUUUAAAAAUUUAACAAUUAAAAAUAAUGUCAUAUAUAUUAGUGUAUCAAAUUUUAAUUUUAUAAAAUCGUUAAAUAUUUUUCAAAUAUUUAACGGUCGUGGCGUUUGGACCAAAAACGCACUACACCAAAACAGACUUUUAGCGGCGCUUUUUUAGGCCUUUAGUGGCGCUUUUUAGCACCGUCGCUAGACCAAGACCAUUAGCGGCGCUUCUUUCACAAACACCGUUAAAGACCAUGACCUUUAGCGGUGCUUUUCCCACAAACGCCGCUAAAGACCAAGACCAUUAGCAGCGCUUCUCGCAAAAAUGCCGCUAAAAACAUAACCUUUAAAAAAUUUAUUUUAAUCAAAUUAUAUUUAUUUUUAUGAUAAAUAUUAUAUUUUGUUUUAUUUUAUUUUCUAAAUUUGAACUUUAAAUAUACUUUUAAGGAUAAAUAAAAAAUAUUAUUUAAAUUAAAUUUUCUAUGAAAAUUUUAACUUUAAAACUAAAUAUAAAAAUUAAUGAAUUUAGUUUUAGAAUUUAAAAUAAUAAAUUAAUAACACAAUUAAAAUCCAAAAGUUAGAACUCUUAAGGAAAAAUAAAAAUUUAGAAUCAAAACUAAAAUAAAUAAUACAUAUGCAAGGUAAUAAAACAUACAAUGCAUUUUCUUAAUCAAGUAAAUCUUGGUAAUAAAAUAUAUAAUACAUUUAUUUAAUCAAGGAUCUCUUGUAAUGAACUCAAAGCAAUGAGCGUGAAACUGAAAGCAGCAGAAUCGUAAUGAACUCAAAGCAAUGAGCAUCAGAAUUGAGAAGAAAAAAAGAAUCACGAUACGCAAACGAGAUCCAGAACUUCUGUUCCUUUGGACGCCCACACUGGAUAGUCCCCGCUUCAACGCCAUUGGCUAUCAGAGCCUAAUAACAACAAUAGCAGCAGCAAAAUCACUCAUCAAAAGGUGGAAAAAGGAUAAUUACAAGUUAACAGUGAGGAGAUCGCAUGAAACUGAAAGCAGCAGAUCCGUAUCGAAGCUAGUUGGAAUGGAAAUCCAUGGGAAAGCAAGCAUAGAUUAAAACUUCAUAGAACUUUCUCUAAAAACUUCAUAGUAAACUGCUUCAGUCUACUUUUUAUUUUACUUGUACAACAAUUACAUGAUAUGCCAAAAUAAAAAAUAUGGGUCUGCGCCACAGAAUCCAUAAAAAACUUCAUAGAACUUUCUCUAAACUUUUACUUGCCAAUGUUGUCAACCUUUUUUCAGGAAUUUGGAGCAUGCAGAAACCAUAUAAUUUAGCUAUCCCAUUUUACAGUGAAAGCUAGGAACACACAAGAAACAGAUGAAAAAGGAUAAAUCUAAUACCCGUAAAGCAUCAGUAACUUGGCGUCCUUGUAGCCCAUCUUUUUGCAGAGACCAUCUAUUCUCAGCAUUUUUCUUCUUUGAAAAACCCGUAAAAUAUGGGUUUUGGUGUUAAAUAAUGCAACUGCCAUCAACAUCAAGGUCGAAAUCAUAGCUUAUUCUUCCAUGUUAAGAAAAGUAUGCUAAAAAAUGAGGGUUAGAAAAUAAAAUAAUGCCUGGUUUGAAACAUACACCAUUGAUGUAAGAAUAGGGUUAGAACUCUAUGAACAUUAAGCAAAAUAGCCAAUUUAAAUUCACUUAACAACAUUAAGAAAAAUGAUACAAAUGCAAAAAAGAAAAAAAUAAUAAAUAUAUACAAGACAAACAAAAGAAGAGAAGAUUAGUACUAAACCAAUGUUCCCUUACCGAGAAGACAUGAUUUCUAAUCAAUGAAUUAGUGCCACAAAAUAAACAAAAAGAUCAGCGGCACAGGCACAGAACUUGCGCAUUUUUUAACUGCAAUUAAAUCCAGUUCCAUUUUGCAUAUAUAAAAAGAAAAUAUAAGCUCAAUGUGCCAAAAAAACUAAUAAAAUUUGAGCUCAACUUAACAAAAAUCAAAGUGCAGCCAAACAAUGACUCUAGUUCUGACCUUAAUAAUGGCCAACUAACUAAAACUUCCUUCAUACCAAACAAAGACAGUAUAUCGAUAUUCUUCAUACCAAACAAAGACAGUAUAUCGAUAAGCUUAGUGCUAAAGGCCCGAGCAUUAGCGGCGCUUAGCAUUAGCGGCGCUUCUUCAAAAACGCCGCUAAAAGCCCCAAAAACUCAGAAAACGGUGUCGUUGGGCUUUGGCUUUUUGCAGCGCUUUUUAGAAAACGCCGCUAAUGCUUAUUUUUAGCGGUAUUUUCUGAAAAGCAUCGCUAAUGCUCUACCUUUAGCGGCGUUUUUAUAAAAGUGCCGCUAAUGCUUGAUUUUUAGUGACGUUUUUUGCCCAAACGCCGCUAAAAGCUUGUUUUUGUGUAGUGAUGCCACAACAAUGUCUUAAAAAUUAUACAAAACGGGGCCGUUUGGUUACAAGAAUUUAAUUUUUAGUGGUGUUUUUCUCCACAACGCCGCAAAAGGUAUGCAAUAGCGGCGUUUGUUAUAAAAAUGCCACAACAAUGUAUUAAAAAGUGCACAAAAACUGCGUCGUUUGCUAACAGGAUUUUAACUUUUUAGUGGCGUUUUUCUCAGAAUCACCGCAAAAGGUAAGCAUUAGCGGCGUUUUGUCUAAAAACGCCGCAACAAUGUAUUAAAAAUUGUUCAGAACGGUGCCAUUUCGUUUCAGAAAAUUAAAAAUUGCUCAGAACGUCGUCGUUUUCUUCCACAUAACAAUUUUCUUCCCCUUUCCCGCACCCAGCCCCUAAUUCCCCUUCCAAAUCCCUAAUUCCCCUUCGAAAUCUCUUCCAAAUCCCUAAUUCCACUCAUUCACAGAGACGAACCUGCAGAACUAGCAUUGGUUUUAUUUUUGUUUCUUCGAUUCUUCAUUUCGUUUUUUACUUAUUGGGAGCAUCUAUUUCGAUUUCUUCACAACAUUUAGACGAAGACAGAGUAAACGACAUUCUAUUUUUUGGGUAAGCUUGAACCAGUUUCAUUUCCUUUUUUUACGUGUUUAGGGUUUGGGUUAUUCUUGUUUGUGUGAAUUUUUUGUUUUUUUCAAAGUUAUUGACCCUGAAAUCCAGUUAAUUUGUCUUUGGUUUUAGGGUUUCCGAUCUGUAAAAACGUUCGCAUUUCACACUUUUACUCGUGGAAUUUGUUCUGAAGUGAUUUAAUUUCUUUUCAUCUUCCUAAAGGUAUUUUUUUCUUCUCUCUUAAUUCUAGUUUUAGCAAUUUAGUCUAUUUAGGGUUUAAACCAUUUACUGUUACAUUUUGACAAUAAAAUGCAUGCUUUCGAGUGCCUGAAUUUAUUUUGUAUUGAAAUAUAUUUUAAAAUAUAUCAUUAGUGCAUUAUUGGUUGCUUUCUCAUGCAGAUUUAGCAAUUUAGUCAGGCAGAGGCAGAGUAGUAGUUUUUUCUUUCCAUUUUGAUUGUAGCAAUUUAGUCGGCAAAUUUGGUAGCUCUCACUGGUUUGAAGCAAUACACAGAAAGUCUAGAUAACCAGAAGGUUAGUUAAUCCUUUAUUUUCUUUUUUUUUCAUUUUUUAAAUUUACGUUUGAAUUUGGUAUAUUUUUAGUUGGGACUGUUUUAUUUAGGAAUUUGGUUAAUGUUGCUGCAAGUUCUUUUUUGCUGCAAGUUCUUUUUUGCUCCAUUUUCUACUAAGUGUUGUAUGUUAAGAUCGGUUAUGGAAUAUAUUUGCAAUUAUCAUACAGUAUUUUGGUUUUUAAAAAUCCAAAUUGAAAUCAAAUUGAACCGAACCUUUCACUGGUUUGAAUCGGUUUGGUUCAUCAAUAAAUACAUAAUUUCUUUAAAACUUUUUUUUAUAUUAAAGUUACUUUCACUCGUUUAAAUAUGAAGUUUUUAUUUUCCCACUGUGAAAGUUUUUAAUUUUUAAUUUUUGUUUGGAUAAUUUUGGUUUAUCAACUUGUGAAAUGAAUUGAUUAAACGUUUUUAUGAAUCGAAUUUGUUUCAAGUUCAGAUUUGAUUUGGGUUUGUUGUAAUUAUAUAUUUUCAAAUGAAUAAAUAAUGCAUAAGUUUACAAAACAUAAUGUGUUAUUGCUCACGAAAACCUAAAAGAUUAUGUCCGAAUAAAGACAAAACUGCAGCUAUAGUCCAUCAACAUCAAAUUUGUGGAAGGACUUAAAAGGAUUAUGCUUAAUGAAAAUGGUUGCUAUAAAAAUUAUUUUUUUGAAUAAUUAUGAGUAAAUUUUUUAAAAAAUCGAUCUACUCUAAAUUUAGUGUAUGGCAUAUUUUGUAAAGAUAUACGAUAAAUACACUUGUCAAUUUUUUUAAUUUCCAUUUUAAAAUUGCCGCAAAAACAACUCUUUUUUAUUAGGAUUUAAUUAAAUUGAUUUCAAUCGGCAAAGUAUGAUGAAAUUCUUACUAUCAUUAAAAAAAUAGGUAAAUGUUAUGUUGUUGAGAUGUUUUAGGUUGGUUAAUAUUGGUUACGAUACUUUAAUCACCUCCAAUAUAUAUAAAAAAAAAUUAAAAAUUUGAGAAUUUAUGAAAUGAUAUAAUGUUAAUUCGUUAGCAUUAAAUAUUCUUAUUAUGUUACAAGUCAAUUAAAUUGAUGUCUUGAGCUUUGAUUUAAAUUAAAAAAGAAUAAAUUUAAACAUUAGAACGGAAAUAUCUAUAUUAUAAUAUUUGUAUCUAUAUACUAUUAUUUUAGUGUUUUAUUGAGUUGAUGUUAAUAUUUAAUAUUUUUAAAUGUUUUUAAAACUUAAAAAAUAUAUAUCAUAGCUUACAUAACUUACAUAACUCGCAUAACUUAUAUAUAUCAUACCAUAACUUAAAUAACUCACAUAACUUACAUAACUUAAUAACUUAUAUAUAUUGUCGAAACCAUUUUUAUAAAAUUUGAAAAACGGGGAUCGACUUCGAAAAUAAAAUGGGAGUCGCCACCGAUCUUUUAUUAAGGUGUGACCGGUUCACCGUUAAAAUGAUUUUGGUCUGCGAAAUUUUGAGAAAAUAAUUUCGGGAGUCGGUUACGUACGAGGAAGGGUUAGCACCCUCGUAACGCCCAAAAUUGGUACCAAAUUGAUUGUUUAAUGUCUUAAUGUCGAAAUUUUGAAAAAAUUUUGAAAUACAAUCCUCUGAAGUUUAAAUUUGAAUAAACCAAAUUGCAUAAUAAGACGCACUUAUUUCGAAGAAAUAAAUUGCCACACUCAGUGAGUUAGGGUGCAACAGUUCAAUCUUUAAAGUUAGAUUUGUCCUUUUAGAUUUUAAAAAUUCACGUGUUUUGAGAAGGAUAUUUGGUUAGUUGGGUCAAUCGAGAAAUUGGAAUCCAAUAAGUUAGGGUUCAAUUUCUCGAGAUUCCUAAACACCAAAUAUUGCCUUUAUUUUAAAAUCGAGAGAACAAGAUGUCAUAUCCAGUAAGUUAGGACCCAACAUCUUGAAAUCUCACAUGCUUUAUUUUGAAAUUGUAUGGUUUUAACAAAAUAAGCACUUGGCUAUCUAAAUUCAUCGAGAAGAGUUGAAGCCCAGUAAGUUAGGGCACAACUCACUCGAGAACCAUGAACACUAGGCCUUUUCUGAAAAUUAUGAAAUAAAAUGAUUGUGGUGCUUUGAUAAAAUACAAUUUUUACAAAUGAGACAUGAUUGAAUAGUAAUACAUAAUAUAAAAGAUAAAAGAUAAAUAGCAACACAAACCUACACUAAGACGUAACAAGUAGGUGAUAGAUAAAUACAAAUAGCAAUAAUGAUUUUAGUCAUAUUAUACUAAUACCAACAUCAAUGUUCGAAAGCUAAACAAAUCUAUCAUCAAUUUUAAGAAUACACCAAGAUAAUAAAAAAAUGAAAAAAAUAUCCUACGUAUAAAAGUUUUAAAAUAAAUUGCAUGCAUGAACUCAAAAUAAACUUGAAAUAAAAUAAUAACAACCUUGAAAAAUAGUAUAUAAAAAAAAUUAUAUAAACAUUUAGCAUAUAGAUAUACAAAAAUGAAUUUUAAGAUAUAACCUAAACAAAACAUUAAAAUGUAUACAAAUUAUACCAAAUUCUUAUAAAAAUAUACAUAUUAAUAAAUAAUGAAUCAAAUAAUAACAUGUCAAGUUUGAAGAUAAAAAUAUAUAAUAGAUAUUAAAAAAAUAAUAUAUGAUAAAUUUAAAACAUAUCAAUAAUAAUUUAAAAUAAUAGUAUAUUACAUUUUAAAAUUAUACUAAUAAUAAGUUUAAAAGUAAUGUCAAACUAAAUAUUAAAAUAUGCUAUAAAUAAAUAUAUUAAAAUAAGUACUAAAUUCGAUUUAAAAUUAUACUAUUAAAAUCAAGUUAAAGUUAAGACAUAAUUUAAAUAUAAAGAAAUAAUAAUAAUAAUAAUAAUAAUAGGAUUAAAAAUGAUAUUGGAAUUCAAAUAAAAAUAAAAAUAAAACACUACAAAUAGAAAUAAAAAAGAAAAAAUAAAGAUAAACUAAAUUGGUAAUCGACGUAAAAAAUGAGGGACUAAAAUUGUAAUUAAACGCAUGACCUGGGCAUUCAAUCCUAAUAAUGAAAACGACACCGCAUAACUAUGGAUCAAAUUGAAAACAAAAUAAAAUACACGAUUCAAAAUAAAAAAAUGAAGAAAAUCAAAUCGAAACAUCACAAAACAAGAGGGACUCAUCGUGCAAAUAGACCAAUGAAUAGAGACGCGCGAAUCCUGCCCCAGGUCGGGUCACCACGUUGGUCUGAGCCUCUAAACGAUGUCGUAUUGUGGCCACUGCACAGGCUCUGAACGACGUCGUUUCUUUCACUACUUAUAAGUAGAACCCUAGAGCAAUCAGCAAUUUAUUUUAUUUAAAAUAAAACCUUAAAGAUUUGAUUGCUGUUUUCAGCGCCGUUCUGUGAUGCAGUCAUUCGAAAAGGAACUUCGAAUCCUUGCUCAACCUCCGAUUGCGACAGAGAGAACCAGGAUCCGGCGGCCAGGUAAGUUCUCUUCUAACUCAUCCUUUUUAAAAAGAAAAGAAAAGAAAAGUAACAUAGAUGGAUCCCCUCGCCGCAUCUGUGGAUCGACUACUCAGGAGAUCCUCAGCCUCGUCCGACCCUGAUUGCGACGGAGCGAACGGAGACCGGGUAAGCCUCUCCUUUCCUUUCUCUCUUCUAUUUUAGUACUAAUCAAUGAACAAAGGAGCAGAGAAAAAAAAGAAAAAGCAAAAAGAUUAACAAUCACCUUUCGAACUUUUCGAUUUCUUCGAAUGAAUUUUUUUUGUAUACAAUAUGCAUGUGUGAUUUUUUUUGUCUCUGUGUCCUUUACAAAGGCCUUGCCUUUUUGUUUUAUAGGCCGAAAGAAAAAAUAAAUAAAAAGAAUCCAUUUUUUCGUUUUCUCUGCUGCGUUUUCUUCCCAUUUGCAGGUAUGGCGUGCGGGGCUGGGGACGUGGCAUGUACGGAGGCGCGCGCGAGGGAAAAGGCUCAGAACGUACGGAGGCUGGUCACGUGCGGACAAAAGGAGCUGCUGCGGCGCUGGGGUUUGCCCUAGGGUUGCUCUGUAUUUUUCUUGUUGGGCCGCUUCGUCAUUGGGCUAGGGUUUUAGAAAUUUAGGUUGGGUCUGGGUUGAAUUUGGGUUGUGAUAUUGGGCUUAGUGGGUCUGAUGUAUUUUGGGUUUGUAAUAUGGACUGAUGGACUUUUAAUAAUUUUGUUUUUAUUUAUAUUUUUUUUAUUUAUUUAUUUCUGAUUUGGACCGGGCAAAUUUGGGUUAUUACAUAUAUCAUACCAUAACUUAAAUAACUCACAUAACUUACUUAACUUAAUAACUUAUAUAUAUCAUACCAUAACUUAAAUAACUCACAUAACUUACUUAACUUAAUAACUUAUAUAUAUCAUACCAUAACUUAAAAUAACUCACAUAACUUAACUUAAUAACUUAUAUAUAUCAUACUAUAAUUUACAUAACUCACAUAACUUACAUAACUUAAUAACUUAUAUAUAUCAUAUCAUAACUUACAUAACUCAGAGAACUUACAUAAGUUACAUAACUUAAUUAUACUUAUAAAUAACCAUGAUUACCCGUGUAAUUUAUUGUCAACUUUAGACUUCAAUAACAACGAAAUGGACUGGUCUUGGAUGAAUUUGUCAAGGGUAAGCAACGACUAUCGAAAUGGAGUACAAAUUUUCCUAAAUUUUGUAUUCCAAAAUACAAGCCAAGAGAAUAUGAUUCUUUGCCCGUGUAAGAAGUGUGGCAACAUCAAUUGGCAUUUUCGUGAAGUUGUCUAUGAGCAUCUAAUUGCCGAUGGGUUUCUUCGGGGGUAUAAAGAAUGGAUUUUCCAUGGAGAAUGCACACCUAGUACUUCCUCUUCAACGAUUAAUCUGGCUCAUCCUCAUAGUGCUUACCAUCGGUCUGUCAGAGAAGAUAACAUGGAAGGUCUGUUUCGAGAUGCAUUUACUAUGCGCAAUCAUGGUUUGCAAUCAUUUUCACCCGACUUUGUUGUAUCCGAUGAUUGUAAUAUCGGUAGAAAUGCUUUUACCCAAACGGAAGAAGUAUACCUAAUGAAUAGCCAAAUGGAGAUGCGGAAAAGUUCUACACGCUGCUUAAUGAAAUGAAUGAAGAACUUUAUGAGGGAUCAAAAUUUUCAAAAAUGUCCUUCUGUAUUUGUCUUUUUCAGUUAAAGUGUUUGGGAGGGUGGACUGGAAACUCUUUGACAAUGCUGUUAAAGUUUUUGAGAGAGAUGUUUCUGUUUGCAAAAACCUCUCAUUCAUGCAAAGAUAUGAAGAAACUGAUAAAAGAUUUAGGCCUUGGGUACAACAAAAUUCAUAGUUGCUCAAAUAACUGCAUGUUGUAUUGGGGUGAUCGGAAAAACCAACAGUGUUGUCAUGUAUGCGGCCAAUCCCAUUGGAUAAAUAGAAACAAAAAAGAUGGGAAUGACGAUGAAAAUGAUGUACAGUAAAGAAAGAAGCUAAUUAAGAUUUUACGAUAUUUUCCGCUACUACUAAGGCUUCAAAGGCUUUUCACGUCGUCGAAGAUAGCCGAGUCUAUGACGUGGCACCAUGAUGGACGAACCAAUGAUGGAUUAUUAAGGAAUCCGGUGGAUUCUUUAGCUUGGAAAUCAUUUGACAGUAAAUUUCCAAGCUUUUCAAGCGAUCCUAGGAGUGUGAGGCUUGGGCUAGCAUCUGAUGGAUUUAAUCCUUACAAAAUCAUGAGCACUGCGUACAGUACUUGGCCUGUAGUGCUUGUUCCUUACAAUUUGCCUCCAUGGAUUUGUAUGAAGCAAUCUUCCUUUUUCUUAUCUAUGAUUAUCCCUGGAAAGAAAGGUCCCGGAAAUGAUAUUGACAUUUAUUUGCAGCCACUUAUUGAAGAGUUAAAAUAAUUAUGGGCUGGUGUUGAGACAUAUGAUGUACUGAGAAAGGAGAACUUUAAUUUACGUGCAGCUUUGAUGUGGACUAUUAAUGACUUCUUAGCUUAUGCCAAUUUAUCUGAUUGGAGUACCAAGGGACGUUAUGCUUGUCCUUGUUGUGCUGCGCAAACAUGUUCGCAAUGGUUAUAUAAUGGGAAGAAGUACUCUUACAUAGGACAUUGUCGGUGGUUACCGGGAAAUCAUAGAUUUAGAUUUUAGAGUACUCUGUUUGACGGUACUGAAAAGUUCAGAGAAGCUCCUUCGCAGACCGAUGGAUCUGAAAUCUUGUUCAUGUUGAAAGAUAUGAAUUUCAGUUAUGGGAAGAUGAAUCAACCACCCAACACGCAAAGAAAUAGAAGAUCAAGAGAUGAAUCUGAUGAUGAAGAGGAUGAAGAGGAUGAUCCUAAUGAGGCGGACUUGUGGAAAAAAAGAAGUAUUUUUUUGAGUUGCCUUAUUGGGAGCAUCACAUUUUACGACACAAUCUUGAUGUCAUGCACAUUAAGAAAAAUGUCUGCGAGAACAUCAUUGGGACAAUUUUGAAUGUCGAUGGAAAAUCGAAAGACAAUCUUCAGAGUCGACUUGAUUUAGUCCACAUGGGAAUUCGGCGUGAUCUUCAUCCCCAAGCACUUCCGAAUGGGAAAUAUCGGUUGUCGCCUUCUGUUUUUUCAAUGUCGAAGACGGAGAAAGAAGCGUUCUGCAUGGUGUUGAAGGAUAUAAAGGUCUCAGAUACGUAUGCAUUAAAUAUAUCUCGAUGUGUGAGUAUUAAAGAUCGAAGACUAUAUGCCUUAAAAUCACAUGACUAUCACAUCUUGAUGCAAGAUUUACUGCCAGUUGCUAUGCGGUGUUGUAUGUCGAAAAAGGUGACGUCUGGUAUAAUUGAACUAUCCAAUAUAAUGAAAGCCAUUUGUGGCAAAGUUUUGGAUGUUCAAGAACUUGAGACACUACAAGAUCGAGCCGCAUUGACUUUAUGCAAUUUGGAGAAGAUCUUCCCACCUUCUUUCUUCACUAUAAUGGUGCACUUGCUAAUCUAUCUCCCUCAUGAAACAAUACUUGGUGGACCCAUUUUCUAUCGAUGGAUGUAUCCCAUAGAAAUGUGUUAAUUUAUUUGUAAAUUAUUCAUUCAUUCACCUCUAUGCCUUUAGUUACAACUUUUGAUAAUGUUGUAUAUCGUAUUUAGGUUUCUAUCCAAAUUGAAGUCUUAUUGCCGCAAUAAGCGUUAUCCAGAAGACUCAAUUGCUGAAGGCUACUUGGCUGAGGAGUGUAUGACUUUCUGUUCUAGAUAUUUGGAAGAUGUUGAAACAAGAAUAAACAAACCAAGUAGAAAUGAUGGGCUCACUGAUCAUAACUUGGCCAAAACUUAUUUAUUUCAAAGUUAUAGAGAACUAAUCGGCAAAGUUGAAAUUUCAGAAUUAGAUGAUAGAUCGUGGCUACAAGUACAUCGAUAUGGUCUUUUUCACCAUGAUUCAAUGGAACCAUUACGCAAGUAAGUUCUAGAAUUUGAUAAAUAUUCAUCAAUUACAAUUUGUUUAUCUUCUAACAAAGUAAACAUCUUUUUAACAUAGUGAGUACAAACAAAUCUUGAGAUCUCAUCCACGCUCCCGAAGAUUACAACAUCGAGAGAUUAAUAAGUUAUUCACAAAAUCUUUUCAUGAAUGGUUAAGCCAAACAGUAUGCAAUUGAAGCUUUCAUUGACAAAUAAUAAUAUUUUCUCAUAACAUUUAUAAUUACUCAAUUUACCUUCGAUUCAAUAGGUUUGGAGUGGGAAUGACGUAAAUGACGAAGUUAAAUGGCUUUCUCAAGGUCCGAAUAGAGUAGUAAAAAGAUAUAGUGCCUUCCUCAUCAAUGGAUUCCGAUUUCAAGCAAAAUAUCGGGAGAGAUUGAGGAGAACUCAAAAUUGUGGAAUAGUUGUUAAUUCUUCUAUUACAAGUUAUGCUAGUGCAAGGGACAGUAAUCCUGUUGAGGGAAAUGUGGAGUAUUACGGACUUCUUACUGACAUUAUUGAGUUGGAUUACUAUGGCAAAUGGAAAGUUGUCUUAUUUCGAUGUGAUUGGGCUAACGUUAAUACUGCUCGUGGAAUUAAAUAAGAUCAAUUUGGUUUUACAAUGGUGAAUUUCUCUCGAUUGAUUCACAUUGGACAACAAUUGAUAAAUGAGUUGUAUGUAUUUUCUUCUUAAGUGAAACAAGUUUUUUACUCAAAAGAUCCAACUGAUAAGGGUUGGUACGUUGUACUCCGUAACAUCCCUAGAGACUUGUUUGACAUGGGCAAUGGAAGUAGAGAUGACAUCGACGAUAGAUCAGAAACUUUACCUUUUUCAGAACAAAACUUAAAUGAAAAUAUCCCUAGUACUAGUACACAAUUUCAAUGGGUUCGUCAAGAUGUUGAUGAAGAUAUUUACGAAUUAUGAUGUAGUAAGAUUUUACGAUUUUUUAAUUAUAUGUAAGAUUAUAAUUUAAAUAUUGGUCUUAUUAAAUAUUUCAACUAUUUUAUAUGUGUUGUUAUUGUUCUAAUUAGUUACUAAAAUUUCAACUAUUUUAUGUGUAUUGCAGAUAAAAUGCCUAGAAGAAGAUUGUGAGAUCUAAGUAUUGUUCAAAAUACUCCAAACUCGGAAGAAACAAAUAGUGAACAACUGACUGCUAUUGGAUCUUCGAAUGUUCCGAAUACACCUAACGAACUUGCAGAAUUUCAAAGUAUGUUUAAAUUUAAUUUACAUGCGUAAUGACUUUUAUUAUUGAUUUCUUUUUCAAAUUCUUAUAUUAUAAUAUAUCAUUUUUCAGCUGAAAGUGUGGGACGCGCAGUGGUCGAAGACAUACACUACUUAAAGAUUUAUACGAGUUAGAUCCUGUCGAGCGUGUCAAAGUAUGUAGAAACAGUUUUGGUCAGCCUGUUGGAUCAGAAGCUCGGCUUUUAGCAGAUAUUUGGGCAUUAUAGCACGAAAUGCCAAUAUGUUGCCUAUCAACUACGAGUCAUGGCAUCAAAUGUCAAUAUUAAGGUAACAAAACCUUAAUGUAAUUUAUAAUACUUUGGUUUAAGUUUCAUUUAUAUUACUUUCUAAACUUGUGUUUUUUGUAGGCGAUGUUUGCUUUAGAGGUCUCGGAUAAUUAUGUCAAGAAGGCAUUGGGAAAAAGGUGGAGAGACCAUAAAAUUACUUUAAAGAAAGAAAAUUUUUAAGACAAAAACAACCCUCGAAGAGAAAUUGCGAAAUGUCCCGCUGGGAAUGUUGAGGUACCAAUGGAAAGAUGCGGUUAGAUUUUGGAAUUCAAAGAAAUGAGAGGUAUUACGUACUUCCAAACUCUUAUAACUAUUUCGGUUUAUAGUAUUUACUAUAUACGUAAUAAUAAUUUCAUAAUGUGGGAUCGUGAACGAGUUGGAACAAGCAGCAGGCAAAAACAGAAAUUCACUCACAUAGCUGGGUCGAAAAGUUUUGUUUGUGUAGUUGAGGCCGAGAUUUUUUGAAUUUAUAAAUAGUGUAAAAUAUUUAUUACUUUCCAUUAAAUAAUAUUUUUACUACUAUAUUGUAGGAACUGUCGUCUGGUCAAAAAGUUAGACGCCUUCAACUUUUUGACAUUACAUAUGGGAAGAAAAAUGGAUCUCCUAUGACUUCUGAAGCUGCAGAAAUUAUGGUAUGUUUAGUUAAUAAAAUUUUAAUUAUUUUAAAUAUUUAUAGUGUUUAAUUAUAAUGGUUUAAUUCAUCGUUUGUAAUGCAAAUAAUGUUAAGUUAUGUUGCAUUUGUUUUUAUUAUAUAUUUCGUUUCUAACUCUUUGAUUAAUUUAUUAGAAGAAACUAAAGGAUAAAAAGGCAGAGUAUGAAGCGAUUACUUCGAGUGAUAGUUUUGUUAAUGCUCACGAAAUUGAUAAUCGGGUUAUUACUGAAGUUUUGGGUCCUGAAGGGUAUGGACAGGUUCGAUUUCAAGGAUCUUUUGUUAAUCCAACCCAAUAUUUUGGAUCCAGCUCGCAGCAAUACAUGCUUUCGGGGAGUCAAGCUCAAGUUGAAAUUCAGAGGUUAAGAGACCAGAUGACUCAGAUGCAAGCGAACACAGUUGAGCUAAUUACUCAACUUAAAGCGAAUGCAGCAUCGAGAGAAGCUGAGGUUCAAAGAAAAAAUGAAGAACUCAAGCUACAACUUAAAGAAGAGGUAGCAGCGAGGGAAGCAGAGCAGAGCAGAAAGUACGACGCACUCUAACUACAGCUUCAGAAUAUGAUGAAGAUGUUUCAGCAGUCGCAAAAUCUGCCAUCUUAGACUAUUGUAUGAAUAUUUUUAACAUUUUAGCUUUUAACAUUAUUGUAUUAUACUUCAUUUAUCAAUUUAUAUCAUAUAUCAUUCGUUGAAUUUGAAGUAUCAUUUAGGUUGCUGUUUUUGGUUGGUUUCUAUGUUACAGGAAGGGUUGCAUAUGGAUGAAAAUUGGAUGUUAGAAAUCUGCCAAAAUUAGUGGCGUUUUCAAUAAAAGCGCCGCUAAAGAAUAUGACAUUUAGCGUCGUUUUCUAUAAAAGCGCCGCUAAAGAACAUGACCUUUAGCGGCGUUUCUUAUAAAAGCCCCGCUAAAGAAUAUGACAUUUAGCGGCGUUUGCUAUAAAGGCGCCGCUAAAGAACAUGACCUUUAGCGGCGUUUGCUAUAAAAGCGGCGAUAAAGAACAUGACCUUUAGUGGCGCUUAUCUUUAAACGCCGUUAGAGGUUAUGAUCUUUAGUGGUGUUUGUGGUAAAAACGCCGCUAAAUAUCAUGUUCUUUAGCGGCAUUUAUGUGAGAAAAAAGUCACAAAAAAUAACGGCAUGGUCUAUAGCGGCAUUUUUUGCGGCUCUUGUGAAAGUGCCGCAAAUACUUUUAGCGGCGCUUAUAGGCCUAAAAAAUGCCGCUGAAAGCCUAUUUUGCUGUAUUGUUAGUUUGUUAAGUUUACUCUGGAUUAUACCAAUUUUUAAUUUAUUUAUACUUAUAAUUGUUUGAUUCUAUUUUAUGAUUACUCGAAUAAUUUUUAUUGUAAUAAUUUAAUAUUUAUAAUCACUCAAACAUAUAUUUAUAUUGUAGUUUAAAUACUUAAAAAAAUUUUCAAAUCAAAAUUUGCUACCCUCUUCCUUUUCCCACACAGAUAGGUAAUUCCUUUUCUAUUUUCUUUUUCUUUUUAUUAUAUUAAUACAUUCUAAAUAAACUAAAUAUUUUAUAUAUAUAUAAUACAAGCUCAAUUCAACAACUUAUAUUUACUGGUUUAGAUAAUAUAGUUGAUAAGUUUUAACCAAAACACCCAACUGAGAAAUUUUUGUCAAAAUAUGCCUUAAAUUUUCACAAAAAAUAAAUCAAAUAACGGGAGGAUGAAAAUGAAUUUAGGUUAGAAUAAAUUUAAAUAUAACCAACUCAUGAUUUAAGUAUUGUUGUAGGAAUUAGAUCGGAUCAACUGAUUGGUAUAUUGAUCCAAACAAAAAAAUUCAAUCUAUUUUUGAGCAAACACUUAGAAUCAAUUGAACUGGGGCAGAAAUCAAUUGUAUCGAUUUUAUAAUUUUUAAAGAAUUUUUUUUAUAUUUUUAUAAUUUUAUGACUUAAUAAUUUAUUUAAUUAAAACCAAAUCGACGAUGAAACCAAAAAUCGAUGUUGGUGUGGUUUUUAAAAUCAUAGAUUUAAGUACUUAUGACAUCAUGUUCUCAAAAACUCAAACCUUUAUCAACAUAUAGAAUCGAAUCGAAUAGCGUUUUCAUCUCCCAAGUUUCUAUACAUAAACUAUGAACACUGAAUUAAACAAUACAAAAAUGGUAUUCUUCUUCCACUGACAUUUGAUAUCGGCUUCAGAAAAGGCAAAAGACAAGAAUAAAGAGAUAAAACAAAAGAUUAAAUCAAUCCUAUAUCCUUGACUGACAUAAUUUACCUUAAAAACUCUAUAUUUUAACCAAUCCCACCUAUAUGAUUUUUCUGUUUUCCUAUACAUAAAUUAAAGCUUACUUGGAACCAAGUCAUUGUAUUGUAUUUCACGUAAUUGUUUGAAGCAGAUCCUCAUCUCCUCCAUCUGCAUUGAAGGAAUAGAUGUCGACCGGGGCCAUCGUGCAACCCAUGGCGUUCUGCUUGGUUCUUUUAUUACGGGAGGAGCCUCGGUGUUUGUCUAGAUAGAUUACAAUCACGGUGAUAUCGUCGUGAAAAUGGCGCCUUAUCCCCUUUUCGAUUUUCUUGAUGUCACUGUAUCUCAUCUCCCUUUUCUUUGCAACUUCUUGAAGUGCAGCUCUUACCAAUCUCUUGGCAAUACCCUGCAAGCAUUCAAGCAAACAAAUAUCAAUACCGAAAUGCGUUGCAUUUCCAUACGUUUCAUUAGGUUAAUGGAAGAACACGAAUACUCACGGCUCUCGGGUUUUUGAAAACGAUGUUUACAGCAGCUUCAUCACUCAACUGCUCCCAUAGGCCGUCUGAUGCAAAGAUGAGGAAUUGAUCCUGGGGCUUCAGCUUUCUAAUAAGGAUCGAGGGUUCUGCUGUAAUAACCGGCCUUUUAAGAGGAACGGGGUUUCCGAACUGCUGGAAGAUCGGAUCUCUAUAAAACUCAGGUUUCUUCAGGUAAACAUCACCUAUAGAUCUUGACACCUGAAAUAAGACGAACAAAAAUGGCUCAGACCAGCAUGACCACUCACAUGCUCAAAGAUCAUGUAUUAAUCAAUCAUCUCCAGUUCUACAAUCCAAUGUACGAUAAAAGCUAAUGCAUCUUAUUCUCUCGAUACUGAACGGAUCGAAGUAUAAAGCUCAACUUGCCUACUAAAGUAAAGGGGAACAACAUCACAAAAAGAGAAGAAAAACAUAAAAACGAGAGAGCAAUGAUUCCCUGCAGUUACAUAAGCCUAGCUUUAUGCUUCAGGGGCCUGCAUUUGUCCAUCUCAUGCAUACAACGCAUACUAUAUGGAAAAUAGCAGCAUGAAACAGUACUGGAAAUCAGACCAAAAUAUUCUUGGAAAAGUCGAAAAACUCAGAAUUAUAACCAUUUUUUAGAAUGAACUUUCAUUCUAAUGCACAAUGUAUACAUCCAUAAUUAUAUUAUACCUCUCCAUCAAGCAAAAAGAAACAAAUGGGUUGCAAGCAAUGCCUACGAAGAGGAAGUUAAUUGGCAACUAUUUCUAGAAUCAACACAUUGAUCAUUCCUCAAGCAGACUAGUUUUGAACUAAACGAUUAUAAAUCAACUUGUCAAUAAAAUUGUACCUGGAUUAUGCCCUUAAUCCUCCAAACUCCGUGGGUGUAAACCACUAUAUGUGAGUCAUCUGGAUGAAGUUCCUCGACCUCCUUUCGAACUUCCUCAACUCCAACAUUAUGAUCAGUUGACAACCUCUCUGCCACUACUGUGUUUUCCUUAUCCCCCGAAGCUUUCCUGCCAAGAACAGCUCUCGAGUCACCGAGAUUUGCCACGUAUAACACAUCAUUCGAAAUUGCACCAACUAGACAGCAUGAUCCAACCGAAGCAAUUUGAGGCCUCACAGGCAAUGAUCGCUUCACCAAACGCAAAAACUCCUCUUCAGUGGCAUUGAAUGCCUUCUUUAUCACAUCUGCAGAUAAUCCCCCUUGUUCUGUAGCAAAUUCUACAAUGAAUAAAGAAAAAAAAAUUAAGGGUCUCCAUCAAUCUUUUUUAGAAUCCAAGUGCAUGCUUAUCACUGAAAAGGAUGCAAAACAAAGAAAAAUAAAUGACCUGAAAAAUGCCAAAACUUGAACUACACUUACUAAUUAUUCUGAAAAAUUCAAGUCCAAACAACCCCAAGUAGAUACAAAUUUAGACAAAUAGUUCAUAUUCUCUUUUCCCAUCAAAACAGACAUAGUACUACAUGACUAUGGAGCGGGGCAAGAUAGAUAUUGUCAAAUUCAUUACUGUUCCAUUGUUGGCAUGAUCUGCCUCGACCCCACUCUGCUUCGCCGUAAAUGUUAAAACUUGAAUAUCAUUACUUUUAAUAUGCAUAAUCUAUCAAUACCUCACCUAAUAUAUACAUUUUUACUCGUUUUAAAAGCUAAAUAAAUAAGAAUAAGGCAAAUAUCAAAAUUAAGUGCCCCAUAGGUCCCUCUUUUACUGUUAAAAAUUAGAAAAAGAAAGUCUAUUUGGAGUCAUCAGUUCGAAAUCUAUCAAACUAAAUACAUAUUUGAUGAUUCCAUAGACAGCUUAUGAUUUUCCUGACAAGGUCGUAUCCAUAUACAUACAUGAUCACAUGUUCAUUCAUGUCAUACAUACAUACAUACAUACAUACAUACAUACAUACAUACAUACAUACAUACAGAAUAGAAUGGGAAAAAAGGAAUGUUGCAAUAAAGAGGGAAAAAGGGAAUUACUGUGGAGAAAAGGGAAGAGAUGUUUGUUAACAAAACGGGAAGCUUCGGGACCGCCAUGACCAUCGUAGACGCCAACGUAGGUAGCAAAAGGAGAGGCCAAGACUUGGCUUUGAUCUUCGAGGCAGUUGUUAGCCUGCACGACGGCGAUGGAGAAAUCACCGGAAGCGUGGGGUUUAAGGUCAGCGUGCCACAUGAGAGCAUCCCCACCAGCUCUAACGCCAAGACAACGUUCGAGCGGCCUGGAAAGGGAACGUAACAUCAUCAUCAUCGUGUUUAAAAAAUAAUAAUAAUCCCUUUAUAGGGAAUUUGAUUAAAUGAAAACCUCUUCGAUGGUUUCAAUGGGGGGUUUCACUUUGGGGGAAGAGGAAAAUGGGAAGAUAUUAAGAGGGAAAGAGAGAGUAGAAAGUGGGGUAAAGUGAAUGGAAAAGAAAUGCCGCGUAAAGAGAGGAAGAUGAUGAUGACCAACGACCCCCGAUACUUGCUGUAAUUACUUCCCACUCUACGCGUUAACUAAUACCCUUUUUCUUCUUUUUUGACUUUUAAACCCAAAUCCUUUUUUUAUUUUUAAUUUAUUGAACGGAGAAGGUUAGGUCUAAUUUAAUAUUUCAAUUUUUAAAGAAUCGGAUCGGUGGUUGAAUUAUUCUCGAUUUAAUCUGUUAAUUUAGUUUAACUUAGAUUUGUUCAGGUGGUUCGAUUUGAAGAUUUGUUCGAAAGAGGAGAGAAUUUGGAUAAAAAUAUAAGCUUAAAAAAUAAAUUUUAAUAAAAAAAAUAAGGUACAUUUUUUAAAUGGGUCUCAAUAGAUCCAAACAAGAUAUACAAAUUUCUAAUAGAUCAGAUAAA